UUCAACGGCAGCAUCAUCAACCACCGGAUGAUGUAUCAAAAUUAGAAUGAAAAUAUUACAUAUUAAAAGUCAAAAACAAAACAGCAACAAGCAAAGAAUAUGCAUCCAUAGAACUUAGAGCAUGGUCAUGUUUACAACGGUUAAAACUACUACUCCUUCCGCCUCAAAAUGUAAGAUUAUUUUUUGCACUAUCAUAGUGUCAAAAAUGUUAUUAUAUUUUGGGACAGAGGUAGUAUAAUACUGCUGAGCAGAAGUCUAGAACAGCAUAGGACACCUUCAGCCUUCACUUUGCCUGCCUCAUACCAACAUCAAAACACACUUUGUGCUGACCAAAUUGGCAAAUUGUGCAUGCCAAGGUUUCAACGACAGCAUCACAACCACUGGAUGAUACAAGUCAAAAACACAAUAGCAGGCAGGCAGAGAAUAUGCACGCAUUGAGCAUGUUCAGGUUUACAGUGGCUUAACUUAACACACUGGACUAUAAUGCUAUACUAAGUAGUACUCCCUCCAUUCCUAAAUACUUGUCUUUCUAGGCAUUUCAACAAGUGACUAUAUACGGAGCAAAAUGAAUGAAUCUAUACUCUAAAAUAUGUCUACAUACAUCCGUAUGUAGUAGUCAUUUGAAAUGUCUAGAAAGACAAAUAUUUAGGAACGGAGGGAGUAGAAGGCACAGGACACCUUCAGGCCUUCACUUAAACCGCAGUUUGUCAGGAUGCCGGCGAUGGUCUUCAUGUGGAGUUCUUUGGAGCAGCCUCACAAGAAACUGGCCAAGCUGAAGAACUGAGUCUUCACUUAAUCGCAGUUUGCAGGAGGCCGGCGGUGGGCUUCAUGCAGAGUUCUUUGGAGCAAAAAGCACCCUCACAAAAAACUGGCCAUACUGAAGGAUUGAGUCAUCGGGAGAACUGACGGGUCCAACAUACUCAUCAUGAAAAGUCCACUGAAACAGCGAUUCAUCGACUCUUAGAAGAACAUCCAAAUUUUCAUUUCUCUUAACCGCGACAAUAUGUUGGAACAGUUUCACACUCCCAGAUAUCUUGUCAUCAAACAGCACAAUCUCAUCGUCAUAGCCAGUGCUUAAAGCAGUGAACUUCACGUGAUGAGGAUGGUCAACCUCUGCAUAGACUUGUACUACCGCCUCAAUACUUCGUGCAAUGAUCAUGUAUUUCAGGUCCAAGUUGCAAUCAACACCAGGAAUCCGACCACCCAGCAUAAUAUCAAAAUUUGCACGGACUUCAAUCUCAGCAUAUGCAGAAAGUAUAUGCUUGUCAGCUGAUCCAUUCCCCUCCUUCUUUACCCAGAGAUCAACUUCUAGUAGUGCCUCGUCCAGUACAUAUAUUCCUCGACACGGGCUACAAAGAGGCAAGUCAAAGGAUUCCUGCAAUUUGAUAUCUUAUUAGAACCCAACAAGCUACAUCAACCUUCAAAGAUAUACUCCCUCCGUUCCUAAAUAUAAGUCUUUGGAGAGAUUCCACUAUGAACCACAUACGGAUGUAUGUAGAUGCAUUUUACAGUGUAGAUUCAUUCAUUUUGCUCCGUAUGUAGUCCAUAGUAAAAUCUCUACAAAGACUUAUAUUUAAGAACGGAGGGAGUACAUUAGUACUGUACCAACAGAACAAACUCACAUAAGACAUGCGUGUUCGUCUAAAUCAAAUAUUGGGUGAAAGGAAGCAAGCAUGUGACUUUAAUGUCAUUUUAUCCCUUUGACCCCAUUCAUCUCGGCAGCUUAAAGAUUAAUGGGUACAAAAUAUUCACACACAUUAUAACCCCUCUCUCAGUCCCAAAAGAAUGGGUACCUCGCUAUCAUACACAAAAAGCUUGCUGGUUUAAGUUAUAACCAUAUUAUUACCAUGUCUCGUUCCCAAAAGUUUAAGACAGGGAAAAUCACAAUUAGUAACCACAGACGCCUAGUAUCUUGCUGAUUAAAGUUAUAACUAUCUUAAUGCACACAAGCAGUCAACUCAUGACUUGUGAAAAGAAAUAGAUAAAGUGCUAAACUGAAGUAUAUUAACCAGAUGACGAUUUGUAUGUACUUGUAUUAGUACGCACAUCAUAUAAAAACUAAUGUGAUCUGUUAAAUGGCAGUGCUUCUUAACAGCGCAAAUGCUUGCCAUUGAUUAUUUAUUUUUACAAAAGAUGCAGCUCAUCUCAUAGAUCAUUUAAUGGACCCAGGCAAAUAAUAAAUAGAUCCAAAACAAAUCAACUUAGAUGACUGACAUAAAAUAUCAUAGAGUUGAGCUGUUGAACAUCAUAGGUCAGCAUCCAGCAAUUUUGUAAACAAAGCAAGCUUUAUUUACCUGAUUCACAAUCUCUACAGCAGUAUCUCUAGGACAGUUAAAGAGGUAAUUCCGUCGCUGGUCCAAGUCAUCGCGAACAGCAAGUAUUCCAUACACACUAAUGGGAUAGGAGAGCCCAGAGCUUGGUAACCUCAUUGAAAAGAACUGUAGCAUCUGUUGUGGUGUGCGAUAUCCAAGAGUUGAUGGAGCUGCAAAUAUAUAUUAGGAACCAGAGUGAGUUGUUAAGCAGACAGCACAAAAACAUAUUACUCUACUACGAAUGAGUGGCACUUACUGGUAGAAGUAUCAUGGGUCUUGUAAACACUGUGGUAGCAGUACCCCUCCAUGAAGCAUAGAGAUGUUGUGGGAGGGAGCAGUUUCAUAGGAAAAGGAGGCAAAGUAGUAGAAUCGUCGUGGUGCUCCCGGGCCAGAAUGUCAUCAAACAGUUUCGAGUAUUCUCCCAUCUGCUUGCAGUACCUCUCAAUCCAUUCCUGCUCAAUUUCCUCUGCUUCGCUCUCAGGAUAGAGCUUUCCUGGAGAAUCAUUGUGUCAUAGAUCGGCAGAUGAUCUGUGGGUGGUCACGAGUUUUGUUUUCAACUGAAUAGAGAAUUAGAUACCUGGGCAGAUUAUCUUCGUGUUUGGUUUUUUGUCCUUGUAAACGAGUUGGCCAUUGCAGUUGUCGUCAUCAUCAUCGCUAUCGACUACUUCAUUCCCUGAAGAAUUAGUGUGGAAUCCCAGGAAGUUAACUUAUUCAUGGUUGAAAUUUCGGGGAAAUUUAAUCUGGAGGCACAAAUGGAUACCUGGGCAAUCUUUCUCCUCCCCUUCAAUCACUCGGCCAUCGCCCUCGCUCCAGUCGCUCCAGUCUGAUUCGCUCUGCUCCCGUGGGAACUUGAGGUCCAGAGCAUGCCAGGCAACCUGACCAGGAUCUGAAUGUGUGCAAUUACAUCAAAGUAAUUGAUCAGCUCAAGCAAGAUCCAUCCGAAACCUUCCUGAUGGAGCGUGAAUAAAUAAAGUGAAGUAAAGGAGUGUGCACAUUGUACGCACCGGUGACCAUGCGCGCCGGCUGGCCAUGGGGGUCGAGUUCGCCUACCUCCACCUCAUCCAGCGUAUCAUGGAGGUGCUCCGUGCAAGGGCUGGGGUGGCGGGCGGCGUGAGGCGAACCCGUUGUUUCCCCUGAUCCGCGGCAGGAUCGCUUCUCCGUUGGCGCCAUGGCAACGCCAGGGGUUCCCUUGGCGGCGGCGGCGGCGCGUUGUGUCGGCAGUCGGUUUUCGGUUCGUGAUGGUUGGCAGCGGCGCGUUGGGUUGGGAAAGAUUUACGGAUUAUUUUUAGUGAAAUAUACUGUAGUAUACUCGAGAUUAUAUUACUACAUGCUAUAAGGAAAACAUUACAAGGAGACAUACACACUAUGAGUACAUCCACACAGGAUACGGAAGAACACCAAAUCCGACUUGACCACAUAGUCGCCCCCCUAACUCGCCUCGUCGCCGCCGGAGAGAGAAAAAGAGCUACCCAAAGGCCCAAGACGCAUCUAACCCAACCAGGCCCAUCAGGAAGAAGAAAGUCCGUCAGAAAAUAUGCCCUAGAGGCAAUAAUAAAGUUAUUAUUUUAUAUUUCUUUUUUCAUGAUAAAGAUUUAUUAUUCAUAUUAGAAUUGUAUUGAUCGGAAACUUAAAUACAUGUGUGAAUACACAAACAAAUAUCGUGUUACUAGUAAGUCUCUACUAGACUAGCUCGUUGAUCAAAGAUGAUUUAGGUUUUCUAACCAUAGACAUGUGUUGUCAUUUGAUAACGGAAUCACAUCAUUAGAAGAAUCAUGUGAUGGGCAAAACCCAUCCGUUAACUUAGCGUAUGAUCGUUUAGUUUAUUGCUACUGUUUUCUUGAAUGUCAAAUACAUGUUUCUUCGACCAUGAGAUCAUGCAACUCCCGGAUACCGUAGGAAUACCUUGUGUGCUAUGAAACGUCACAACGUAACUAGGUGAUCAUAAAGAUGCUCUACACGUAUCUUCGAAGGUGUUUGUUGAGUUGGUAUGGAUCGAGAUUGAGAUUUAUCACUCUGAGUAUCGGAGAGGUAUCUCUGGGCCCUCUCGAUAAUACACAUCAUAACAAGCUUGCAAGCAAAUGACUAAGAAGUUAGUUACAAAAUGAUGUAAUUGCGGAACGAGUAAAUAGACUUGCCGGUAACAGGAUUGAACUAGGUAUGAAGAUACCGACGAUCGAAUCUCGAGCAAGUAACAACCGACAAACAAAGGGAAUUAUGUAUGUUAUCACAACUGUUCAACCGAUAAAGAUCUUCGUAGAAUAUGUAGGAACCAAUAUGGGCAUCCAGGUUCUGCUAUUGGUUAUUGAUCGGAGAUGUGUCUCGGUCAUGUCUACAUAUUUCUUGAACCUGUACGGUUCGCACGCUUAACGUUCGUUGACGAUAUAGUGUUAUAUGAGUUAUAUAAUUUGGUGACGAAUGUUGUUUGGAGUCCCAGAUGAAAUCACGGACAUGGCGAGAAGCUCCGGAAUCGUCCGGAGGUAAAGAUUGAUAUAUAGGACUAUGAUAUUCAGACACCGAAAGAGAUUCUGAGUGCACCGGUAAUGAGGACAUUACCUAUGUAAAUACCAGCAAAGAUAUUAGGUGCACGUACAUUAUUUAGGAUUAUUGAAGGCAUUUGCAAAAUAAAUAUCAUGAUGAGAGAUUAUGCACUUGAAGUUUACACGAGCUAUACAAGUGCACCAUGCACAUGUAGCCAAGGAAAUGCUCCUCUACAUGCAUGCGACAGAAAGAUGGAAGGAGGAGCCAGCCUUGCAUGCUACGAUGCUCAUGUACAUCACGUUGGGGCCACACAUCUUGUCAACCGAAGGAAACAUCAAUUCCGACUAAGGCGUGCAGAAGUUGGACUCCAUACGACCUGCGUUUCAUAAACAAGGACCCAACGCGGCCGCCACUCCUCUUAAUAAAUAGCUAGCUAAAAUUAGGGUUUAGAUUUAAGGUUUUGUUUAGAGAAGUUUAGAUAUUGCUACUUUUAUUUGUCUUCGCUCGUAGUGGCUAGUGCGACCGUCAAGACAUCCUAUCAGAACCUCAUUUUGUGAGAUUAUUCCAUCUAGCAUAUUCGCAAUUUCAGAUUGCUUUGCUAUUAUUUUCUUGCAUGUUCUUUAACUUGCUUGCAGGAAAAAUCCUUCGUGGAUAGGUCGAUCGUGCCGUUGGCCCGGUCGAUAACGUCGCGGAGUUGGUUCGGCGAUUGUCGUGGAUAUCAGUCAUGUAUGGUUCUCUCUGUACGGUUGGUAGCCGGAUCGUGAGGGUUAAGUCCCAAAAAAAUUAUUGUUAUCCCCUCUCAUUGAAAGAUCGGGUCCCCAAUUCACAUCAAGUGGUAUCAGUUUUCAGGUUCAUCGGUGAGAGAUUUACAAUUUUAUUAGGUUAGAUUGUUUUUCAAUUCUACAACCCAAAAAAAGCCAAAAAAUUAGAUUAGUUCAUCCGCUGCACCCAUCUUUUUAACCUUUAGCAGUUUUUGCAUCUAGUAUUUGUGUAAUUGAAUUUUUGGUUGCAUUCAUCUAAUGCUAGUGCUGGUCUAGAUUAGUCCGAGAGAAAAUUCUCUACUAGAUUGAAUUAUCCUUUGUUUCUCCAUGGCCUACUUCCCAUAACUGGCCUUACUAAAACUUACAGAGGAACUUUCUGGCGUAAAACACCUAUAAUGGGGCAAUCUGACUAGCUGGUCAAAAUCCGUUCCGCGGUGUUUAAGUGAUGCUGGAAGGUCUAAAUCAACUGCUUCUCAAGAAUGGCUGGUAAUACCACUUAAGGGCAGAUAGACUGUCCACCAAGUGCCGUGUUCCCUAGAGUUUGGUUCAAAGUCUAAGGUAUCUCCGCCGCCUUCAUAAGAGCGGGAAGACAAGCAAAGAAAGCUUCAAGGUUUCCCUUCCUGCAUUCAGAGCUUAUCAAUUCGUCCCAUGCUAUAUAGUGAAGCAAAGCCUACUUUUUGGCGACUUUCACUUUCAACCCGAUUCACCGCCUACGUACCCUUUACGUCCAGUCAUUCCAUUUUUCCCGCAUUUUUUGAUUCCACUUCUGUAUCAGAAAUUAGUGUCAAGGGAUGGAGUUACUGUUUCGUUAUCUAUGUCUCACGUUGUUUGCUCUGGGCUGGGCCACCUCAAAUGGCCUGAGCCGCAUGCGGGGAGACCCGCAUGUACGUUUUCAGGAGGAUCCGGCUGGCCGGCGCCCACCCGACUAGAGGGACUGAGAAAUUAAUCGAGUACAAAACUUAUCUUCAAGCUUUACCUUAUUUUGAUCGUUUAGAAGGUGUUUCUUCCAUCAAUCAUCCAGAUUUACGUCGUAUAGCAACAGAUUUUGUGCACAAUAUUUUCCGUCGCGAAUUCGUCCAUGAUCUGAAUAGGUAAACGAAAAACAAAUCUUCCUUUGUUCGGCUGCGCGCCACACCAAUACAUCCGCGUCGUUCACCGCUUUUCGGGUGUAUUCAGUUUUGCACACGCGCCUGCGCGAGCUGCACAUGCACCCCAUGUCCCAGCUUCUUGCCGCUAGACAGGAGCAUCCCGAUCCUAUCUUGUCAUCCAUCGGUACUUGAUUGCUUCCACCAUUAUUAGCACAUGUUCCAUCACCCAUCACCUCUUUUAGCACACGUUCCGUCACCCAUCACCGCGAGUUGUGUUGUGCAAUUUGCAUUUGCAUCUCUAAGAGCAACUCCAAUGGGGCGACCCGAACGGAUGACCAUUUCGUCCGCUUUUUGUCCGUUUGGGUCGGCCGCCCGCCCGGCAUCCGUCAUGUUUUAAAUAUGGGUCGGCAGGCGCCCAACGCGCUGACCUUUAUAAGCCAGCGUGGCUGCCUGCCCUCCUUUUUUUGUAUGAUUGCAUAGUUCAAAAUAAAGACGUUUUGGACUGAAUAAAAUAGCGUAGUUUAUUACAAGACAAAUGAAAAUAAAAAGGUCUCACAUAGCUCUCACAUAGUUUUGCAAACGAAUAAAAGAAGAUACAUCUAUUGUUUGCCAACACGAGCCCACAUAUGCUCAACCAAAUCAUCUACAGUUGCACAUGACUUUCCCAAUCACGCAUGUCUCGAUGAAAUUGGAUGAACUAUUCAAACGUUGCUGCUACUCCAUGCUCAGGCACAACAUUCUCACCCUAAAACUGAAACCCUUGAUCAUACAGACGUUCCGGGCGCUCAUCUUUUACGAUCAUAUUAUGCAUGAUCACACAAGCAGUCAUCACCUCCCACAGUUUUUGUGUGCUCCAGGUAUUAGCAGGAUACCGAACAUUGCCCCAUCGAGAUUGCAAAACACCAAAGGCACACUUGACAUCCUUCCUAGCACUCUCUUGCUCUUGGGAAAAUCUUUUCCUCUUCUCUCUGACAGGGUUGGGUAUUGUCUUGAUAAUAGUGGUCCACUGAGGAUAGAUACCGUCACCCAGAUAGUAUCCUUUGUCAUAGGUGUGGCCAUUGACAGUAAAGUUCACUGGUGGGCUAUUGCCUUCGGCAAGCCUGGCAAACACCGGUGAGCGCUGAAGCACGUCGAUAUCAUUGUGUGAUCCGGCCAUGCCAAAGAAAGAGUGCCAGAUCCAGAGAUCUUGAGACGCCACAUCCUCAAGUAUGACAGUGCAAGCCCUGACAUGGCCCUUAUACUGCUCUUGCCAAGCAGAAGGGUAGUUCUUCCACUCCCAAUGCAUGUAGUCUAUACUAUCAAGCAUCCCUGGGAAGCCCCUGCUGGCAUUCAUUGCCAACAAACGUGUUGUAUCUUCAGCAGUCGGCUCUCUCAAGUACUCAGUGCCAAACACAACAAUAACAACCUUGCAGAACUUAUAAAAGGACUCUAGGCAAGUAGACUCACUCAUAUGAACGUACUUGUGAAUGAGAUCACCAGGCACCCCGUAUGCAAGCAUUCGGAUGACGGCAGUGCAUUUCUGAUAAGAGGAAAAACCAAUCUUGCCAACGGCAUCCUCUUUGCACUUAAAAUAGUCAUCGUAGCCGACUACCCCCUCUCUAAUAUGGAAGAUGCCUAUGUGACGCCCGGAUAAUUAGACUACAGUAAUCCCAAGCUAAUGAUGCCACGUCACCUCCAUUACUGUGAUUAAACUCACGUUGAUUCGAACCCGAUUCAAAUUCAAAUUUAAAACAUAGGCAAACAACAAAAGUUUUCAAACUUUAAAACUAAAAUGUCCGGAGUGAACUAAAUAAUGCAGCGGUAAUUAUGAUGGAGAAACCUAACUUUAAUAAAAUGUUUAAGUGUUCAAAAUAAUUAAAAUUGUAGGUUAAAUAAUAAAAUAAAUGCCUUUUGAAUUUUAUAAAAUAUUAAACUAUUUUAGUUGGGAUAAGAACUAAUGUGGCAGUAGUUUAUUUAAAAGUACCAAUUUAGGUGUUAGUGAUAAUUUUUACUAAAACUAAAAUAAAACAGAAAAGAAAUAAGAUAAAAAAAGGAAAAGGGCAGAAGAUAAAAACAGAAGACUAAAGAAAAGAAAAGGCCCCCCCCCCGGCCCCUCGGCCCACUAGGCCACCAGGCUGCCAGGCAGCCCAUGACCCACCCCACUCUCCCUGGCCUAAAAGGCCACUCCCCCGACCCCAAACCCUAAAGCACCCCCACUNNNNNNNNNNNNNNNNNNNNNNNNNNNNNNNNNNNNNNNNNNNNNNNNNNNNNNNNNNNNNNNNNNNNNNNNNNNNNNNNNNNNNNNNNNNNNNNNNNNNNNNNNNNNNNNNNNNNNNNNNNNNNNNNNNNNNNNNNNNNNNNNNNNNNNNNNNNNNNNNNNNNNNNNNNNNNNNNNNNNNNNNNNNNNNNNNNNNNNNNNNNNNNNNNNNNNNNNNNNNNNNNNNNNNNNNNNNNNNNNNNNNNNNNNNNNNNNNNNNNNNNNNNNNNNNNNNNNNNNNNNNNNNNNNNNNNNNNNNNNNNNNNNNNNNNNNNNNNNNNNNNNNNNNNNNNNNNNNNNNNNNNNNNNNNNNNNNNNNNNNNNNNNNNNNNNNNNNNNNNNNNNNNNNNNNNNNNNNNNNNNNNNNNNNNNNNNNNNNNNNNNNNNNNNNNNCUUCUGGAUCGGGGCAACAACCUCGGCGCCGGCGCCCCACUGCUUACCCCGCCGUCCCCCCGUCGCCAGGCGCUCGUCGGACCCCGUCGGCGCCAUCCUGUCGUCUCUCCCUCGCCCUUCCCCUUGCUCAAGAUCGUGCCCGAAGGCUGCAGACGCCGCGGCCACCGCCGCCCCGCUUGGACCUCGUCGGACGCCAUCGCCGGACUGCCUCCCCGUCGUCCUCUCCGUCGCCUACUCGUCGCCGUCUUCCUCAACGGCUCCAACGGGCCUCGCCGCCCCAGAUCCCCUGCAACGGGGGUGAGCAACGAACCCCCCUCUCCUUCUCCCCCCUGCUCCUGGCUGCGCCUGGCCGCGCCAAAGUGCGCGUGCGCCCGUCCCCCUCACCUCUGACCGAGCUCGCACUUCGUCGGAGCCCGCACUUCGUCAGAGCACUUCGUCGGGGCGCUAGCUCCUCGAGCUGCGGCUGUGUCGUCCGCGAGCGCGCCAUCGAACCUCCCCGUUGCUCGCCCUGCCCGACCACCGCUCCCAGCGCCCACCUCCGCAACCGGCUCCUGCCCCGCGCCCCGGCACAACCCCGCCGUGGCCUUGCCACUACCGCCUUCGGCGGCUGGAUUCGCUGCACCUGUGGCCGGCGCCCCCCCUGUCGAUCUGGGCGUAUGCCCAGUCGGGCUGGGCACCAGCGCCCGUAACGCCCGACCCAGUAUGGCCCUCUGGGCCACUGCCAACGGGGCCCACGCCCCAGAACGUUUUAUUAAAAAAAAGGAAUUAAAAUUAAUAAUAAUAAAAAUAAUUAAUUAAUUAAUUAAUUAAGGAAUUAAUUAAGUUAAUUAAUCAUAAUUAGAUUAAUCAAAUUAACUAAUUAGUCUAAUUAAACUGUGAUUAGUUUAGCUAAAACCUGAUUAGCCUAAACAGGGUAUGACAGGUGGGCCCCGCUGGACCCACACGUCAGUUUGACCAGUCAACACCCCUGUUGACUGCUGACGUCAUGCUGACGUCAUGAUGACGUUAGCAAACACUGUUUUGGAUAAGGUUGGAUUUAAAUGAAUAAAUAAAAUCAAAAAAUGAUUUAAAUCUUUAGAAAAUCAUAUCUUUUAAUCCGUAACUCGGAUGAAAAUACUUUCUACAUGAAAGUUGCUCAGAACGACGAGACGAACCCGGAUACGCAGUCCGUUCGUUCGCCACACACCCCUAACCUAUCGAACUCGCAACUUUCCCCCUCCGGCUCCUCUGCCCGAAAACGCGAAACACCGGGAAUACUUUCCCGGAUGUUACCCCCCCUUAACCGGUACCACCUCAUACCACGUUAGGGCACACCUAGCACCGCUCAUUGUCACGUCACGCAUCGUCGUGUUUAUGUUUGCAUUGUAUUCAUUGUUUCUUCCCCCUCUUAUCUCCGGUAGACUACGAGACCGACGCUGAUGCCACCGAGUACGACUACGUCACCGACGACCCCUCCUUCUUGCCAGAGCAACCAGGCAAGCCCCCCCUUUGAUCACCAGAUAUCGCCUACUCUUCUCUAUACUGCUUGCAUUAGAGUAGUGUAGCUUGUUACUGCUUUCCGUUAAUCCUAUUCUGAUGCAUAGCCUGUCAUUGCUGCUACAGUCAUUGAUACCUUACCCGCAAUCCUAAAUGCUUAGUAUAGGAUGCUAGUGUUCCAUCAGUGACCCCACACUCUUGUCCGUCUGCCAUGCUAUACUACUGGGCUGUGAUCACUUCGGGAGGUGAUCACGGGCAUAUACUAUAUACUUUACACUGUUACAUUACUGGUGAUACUGUUUGGAGAUGGGGGCUGAAGGGGCAGGCGGCUCCAUCCAGGUAGUGGUGGGCCUGAGUUCCCGACGGCCCCCGACGGUUACUUUGCGGCGGAGCGACAGGGCUGGUUGAGACCACCUAGGAGACAGGUGGGCCUGGCCUUGUUCGGCAUUCGCGGAUACUUAACACGCUUAACGAGAUCUUGGUAUUUGAUCUGAGUCUGGCUAUGAGCCUAUACGCACUAACCAUCUACGUGGGAGUAGUUAUGGGUAUCCCGACGUCGUGGUAUCAGCCGAAGCCCUUCAGACGUUAGCGACGGAGCGGCGCGUGCCGGAUUGGAACGUAAGCCUGCUCUUGUAUUAAGGGGGCUAGUUCUGCUUUCGGCCGCGUACGCAACGUGCAGGUGUGCUAUGGGCGAUGGGCCCAGACCCCUGUGCGCUUAGGUUUAGACCGGCGUGCUGGCCUCUCUGUUGAGCCUAGGUGGGGCUGCGACGUGUUGAUCUUCCGUGGCCGGGCAUGACCUAGGAAAGUGUGUCCGGCCAAAUGGGAUCGAGCGUGUUGGGCUAUGUGGUGCACCCCUGCAGGGAAGUUAAUCUAUUCGAAUAGCCGUGAUCUUCGGUAACAGGACGACUUGGAGUUGUACCUUGACCUUAUGACAACUAGAACCGGAUACUUAAUAAAACACACCCUUCAAAGUUCCACAGACAACCCGGUGAUCGCUUUUCCGCAGGGCGACGAGGAGAGGAUCGCCGGGUAGGAUUAUGCUACUGCGAUGCUGCUGGAGAUGCUACUUGGAGAUGUUACUUGGAGAUACUACUUGGAGGACUCAAUCUACUCUCUUCUACAUGCUGCAAGACGGAGGUUGCCAGAAGCGUAGUCUUCGACAGAAUUAGCUAUCCCCCUUUUAUUCUGGCAUUCUGCAGUUCAGUCCACCGAUAUGGCCUUUUACACAUAUACCCAUGCAUAUGUAGUGUAGAUCCUUGCUUGCGAGUACUUUGGAUGAGUACUCACGGUUGCUUUCUCCCUCUUUUCCCCUUUCCCUUCUACCUGGUUGUCGCAACCAGAUGCUGGAGCCCUGGAGCCAGACGCCACCGUCGACGACGACCCCUACUACACUGGAGGUGCCUACUACUACGUGCUGCCCGCUGAGGACGACCAGGAGUAGUUAGGAGGAUCCCAGGCAGGAGGCCUGCGCCUCUUUCGAUCUGUAUCCCAGUUUGUGCUAGCCUUCUUAAGGCAAACUUGCUUAACUUAUGUCUGUACUCAGAUAUUGUUGCUUCCGCUGACUCGUCUAUGAUCGAGCACUUGUAUUCGAGCCCUCGAGGCCCCUGGCUUGUAUUAUGAUGCUUGUAUGACUUAUUUUAUUUGUAGAGUUGUGUUGUGAUAUCUUCCCGUGAGUCCCUGAUCUUGAUCGUACACAUUUGCGUGCAUGAUUAGUGUACGAUUGAAUCGGGGGCGUCACAGCCUACUCAUACGAAAACGGCGGUGGAAUUUCUGAUGUUUGAACAACGGGUUUGUUGUAUCAAAGUAGUCCUUCCAAAGAAGGAAAUGCCCGCUCUCUCGGUUGCGAUUCAACGCCGGAAGGUGGCCCAGAAUGGAGCCACGGAACAAUGGCCGCUGGCUGUUGAGGUGGUGAUGGACCAACACGACAACCAAUAUCUCCUCCUCGUCAUCAGAGGACGAAUCGUCGGAGUCGCAAAGGAAAUUGUGAAAAAAGAACUCGUCGGCGGAGUCCAUUUUGUACCUUGGCAAACUGUCGAACAACUUGCGGGCGUCGACGAAGGAGACGGCUAACAAAGGGAGUCGCGGCGCGCACGGACCAGCUAGCUGUCCUGCCGGCGUCCGACGAGCGUGCCGNNNNNNNNNNNNNNNNNNNNNNNNNNNNNNNNNNNNNNNNNNNNNNNNNNNNNNNNNNNNNNNNNNNNNNNNNNNNNNNNNNNNNNNNNNNNNNNNNNNNNNNNNNNNNNNNNNNNNNNNNNNNNNNNNNNNNNNNNNNNNNNNNNNNNNNNNNNNNNNNNNNNNNNNNNNNNNNNNNNNNNNNNNNNNNNNNNNNNNNNNNNNNNNNNNNNNNNNNNNNNNNNNNNNNNNNNNNNNNNNNNNNNNNNNNNNNNNNNNNNNNNNNNNNNNNNNNNNNNNNNNNNNNNNNNNNNNNNNNNNNNNNNNNNNNNNNNNNNNNNNNNNNNNNNNNNNNNNNNNNNNNNNNNNNNNNNNNNNNNNNNNNNNNNNNNNNNNNNNNNNNNNNNNNNNNNNNNNNNNNNGCGGCUGUGUGGUGGGGGGGCGUGGGGGGGGGGGAAGCAGUCAGCUCCCGGCGGCAAGACGGCGGUGGCACGCGAUGUGGGAGUGGGCGGUGUAGCUGGGCGGAUGUGGAGGCCCCGACAGCUGGCAGAGUCGCCGGCAAAAAUGGGCGGCAACAUCGGCGAUGGAGGAGGAGGGCGAGGGUUGCUGUUGGAUGGGAAAGGGCAAUGUGACACAGACCAACGGGCCCGGGGGAGGAGAGGGCGAUCAUGCGCGCGUUCGUCGUGUGUUCGCGCCGACGCAAAUCCUGCUAAAAAAUGGGCCGGAAAUGGGUUGCCCGCGGACGAAAGGCGGAUGCGCGUCCGUUUGGGUCGGCGCAUUGGGCCGCCUUUUCUGUCUGCGUCGACCCAAACGGAUGGCGGCGGAUGAAAUGGGUCACCCCAUUGGAUUUGCUCUAAGAGCACACAAGUUUCUUGUUAGUCCUAUCUCAGUCCAUGCGUAUACUUGUUGGUAACUGGCCUGGUAAAAAAAUAGAAAAAAGCAAAAAAUGCGAAAAAAUAGAGAAGAAGAAAAGACAAAAAGUGAAAAAAAAUAAGAAAAAAGAAAUUGAAAAGAAAAAAAACAAAUCAGUCCGGCUAGUGUCUAUUCUGGGCUAUUUUGUUCUGUUUUGGGCUAGCAUCUAUAGUAUUAUUUUUGUUACCACACUUUGACACUCCACACUUAUCAUAUGUUUUGAGCUUUGUUAUAUAUUUGUGUGCUUUCUCCUACUUAGCAAUUUUCACAUAUAUUUGAUUCAGUACCUGGGCUUAGAUUGUUUUCUCUCUUGCUAGUCGACUGCCAGCACUAGUUAGGAGUUUGAACAAUUAUUCAACUUGCAUUGUUUUCUGAUAAAUUGAUCCACUGCUAUUCUGAGUUGAGAAUACUCUGCCAAGCUACAUUUUUUCCUACCAACAAGUACAGAUUUCGGUUCCGCUGAUUCCUACUUAUCACUCCAACCAAUCUUCAUCGAUUGUUUGAAGCCAACACCAACGCGCCUAUCACCACCUGUUGCAUUGGUAAGAACAAGUAAAAUUUGAUACUAAGCUUGAGUGUGAGCGAUUUUUUCCACCAUGUCCUACUAGUUGAUAGGGUUUAUACACUGUGUUUUUUCUCUUUCGCUAACUAUGAUCAACCCCCACUUGAGGGUCUCACCGCAGAUGUGGAAGUCACUAGUGAGCGUCGCCCAACUUGAGGGUGCUCAGAUUGCGGCCGAAGAGAGGCUCAAGGCCAUAGAGGAUGCAUAGGGUGUUGCGAACACACAACUACAGGACAUCUUUUCACGUUUGGACGAGUUGCGGACUACACCCCCCCCGGUCAACAACAACGUUGAUCCUCGCAACUCCACAGGUGGCGCCGCUAUUUCUCUAGCUUGGUGUGUGCCAACUGGUCAUCCACAACACCCAUCUACUGCCACUGAUGCCGCCACCAUAUACCAGCACCAACAAAUUCAUCCCCGCAUCACCGAGCAACAUGGGGACGACUAUGAGGAUUAUUUUGGUGACACCGAAGACGACCAAAUGGUCAACCACCACAAUGACCGUGCUCAUCGACAACUACGUUUCAACCGUCAAGGUAUGGCACGAGGUCCACACAUGUAUGGUGUUCGAGAUUACGACCACUCCCAUGCUAAAAUUAAAUUUACUAUGCCUACUUUUAGUGGUAAAUAUAAUCCAGAUGCUUAUCUUGAUUGGGAACUUUCAGUUGAACAAAAAAUUGCAUGUCAUGAUAUUCUUGAGAACCAAAGAGUAAGGGCAGCCACUAGUGAAUUUACAAACUUUGCUUCUAUUUGAUGGAGUGCGUAUUGCCAUGUUAAUGAGAACAAUAUACCUACUACUAGGGAUGCUUUAAAACGAUCUAUGUGGCAACAUUAUGUUCCUUCGUAUUAUGCUCGUGAUAAACUAAGUGAAUUGCAACGUUUAAAACAAGGUACUAGUUUUGUAGAGGAUUAUUAUCAAGAAUUGCAAAUUGGUUUAAUGUGAUGUGGAUUAUUUGAAAUGGAAGAUGCUAUGAUGGCUAGAUUUUUAGGUGGUUUGAAUCGUGAUAUUCAAGAUAUAUUGGACUACAAGGACUACAAUUCUAUUACUCAUUUGUUUCAUUUUGCUUGUAAAGCUGAAAGGCAAGUAGAGGGACGACACAACAAGGGAGGAGGUAACUUUUCUGCAGGUCAUCACUCAACAUGGACACACUCUCCAACUGUCCCAACCACUACUGAGGCACCACCACAUAUCUCGAACAAUGGUGCACUUCCAACAAGUUUAAAACCAGCUCCACAAUCCUCGGCGCUUCGAAAGGAACUUCUCUAGCACCUACCACUUCGUCUGGAUGCACACGGGACAUGAAGUGUCAUAUAUGCAAAGGUGGCGGGCACUUGAUGAAGGACUGUCCAAACAAACAUACAUUCAUUGUGCGGGAAUAUGGUGAGUACUCAUCUGCGAGUGAUAUGGAUAAAGAUACGCGUGUUAUGCUUGCCACUAAUAAUGCAUGUGACACUAAGGAGCAUGACAUGGAGGAGAUACAUGUUAGUGCUGAGAUGGCAGAUAAAUACCCAAGCCUUAUAACCAUGCGAGUACUUAGUGCCCAGGUGGGGCAUGCUGAGAUGCCUCAACGCCAUAAUCUUUUUCGAACUAAGUUUGUUGUCAACGGACAUUCAGUUCGUGUGGUCAUUGAUGGUGGGAGCUGCAAUAAUUUGGCGAGUAUAGAGAUGGUCGAGAAACUUUGCCUCACCACUGCAAGACACCCGCGUCCAUAUUUCAUCCAAUGGUUCAACGAUUGUGGUAAGUUGAAGGUAACACGUCAUGUGAGAGUUCAUUUUACACUUAGUUCGUAUCAUGAUUAUGUUGACUAUGAUGUUGUACCUAUGCAAGCUUGUUCUUUAUUGUUAGAUCGACCUUGGCAAUAUUAUAAUAGUGUCACCCAUCAUGGUAGAACAAAUUCAUAUACUCUCGUUUUUGAAGAAAAAACUAUUAACUUGCUUCCAAUGACCCCUGAUGAAAUAAUAAAUAAUGAGAAACCUAAAUCAACGGAUCAUACUACACAUAGUAUGCUUGCUGUCAAUACUGAUUUUUUUUGUUGGGUGUCCAAACUUCUGAUCUGGACAUGACGCGUGCCCAGAUAGUUAGUCUGCAUCCAUGUCAUUCAUAUACGGACUCUGUGUGGGAUAAAAUGACUUUGCCUAUACAUGUUGCAUCUAUUUUUGCCAUAUCCUAUGAUGAGUUUCAGGAUUAUUGAAGGCAUUUGCAAAAUGAAUGUCAAGAUGAGAGAUUAUGCACUUGAAGUUUACACGAGCUACACAAGUGCACCAUGCACAUGCAGCCAAGGAAAUGCUCCUGUACAUGCAUGCGUCAGGAAGGUGGAAGGAAGAAGCCAGCCUUGCAUGCUACGAUGCCCAUGUACAUCACGUUGGGCCACACAUCUUGUCAACCGAAGGAAACAUCAAUUCCGGCUGAGGCAUGCAGAAGUUGGACUCCGUACGACCCACGUUCCGUAAACAAGGACGCAACACGGCUGUCGCUCCUCUUAAUAAAUAAAUAGCUAAAAUUAGGGUUUAGAUUUGGGGUUUUGUUUAGAGAACUUUAGUUAUUGCUACUUUUAUUUGUCUUCGCUCAUAGCGGCUAGUGCGACCGUCAAGACAUCCUAUCGGAACCCUAUCAUGUGAGAUUAUUCCAUCUAGCAUAUUCACAGUUUCAGAUUUCUUGACCAUUAUUUUCUUGCAUGUUCUUCGACUUGCUUGCAAGAAAAAUCCUUCGUGGAUAGGUUGAUCGCGCCGUUGGCUCAAUCGAUAAUGCCGUGGAGUUGGUUCAGCGAUUGCCGUGGACAUCAGUCGUGUACAGUUCUCUCUGUACGGUUGGUAGCCGGCUCGUGAGGGUCAAGUCCCACAAAAAUUGUAGUUAUCCUCUCUCAUCAAAAGAUCGGGUCCGCAAUUCACAUCAACCGUCCAAGUCCCACAGAAAUCAUAGUUAUCCGACUGUCUACUACAGCUAGUUGUGCCCGACUCCGACAAGGGAGGGGUGAUGACGGUGGAGCGCCUUUGGCUCGCUUCAGUGCUUGUAGUCGUCGCUAGGUGGUCAAUGGAUCAGGAUGUAAUUUUUAUUAUUUUUGGUGUUCAUUGUACUACCAUGAUUAAAGAUUAAUAGAUCGGAAGUUUUCUGGCAAAAAAAUUGAGUUGAUGUUUUCGUUUUUGUAUUCCCCCCAUCAAAACAAGGUAUUAUAUGUUUUGAUAGAAUAACUAACCGGAAUUGUUUUCCUAAAUAUCAUCAAAAAGCUCAUUUUCUAAAAUCUUACCUCUAAUUCCUGAUACAUCUCCAAUGUAUCUACUUUUCCAAACACUUUUGCCCUUGUUUUGGACUCUAACUUCCAUGAUUUGAAUGGAACUAACCCGGACUGACGUUGUUUUCAGCAGAACUGCCAUGGUGUUAUUUUUGUGCAGAAAUAAAAGUUCUCAGAAUGACCUGAAAUCCACGGAGCAACCUUUUGGAAUUAAUAAAAAAUAUUGGCAAAAGGAUCAGCAUCAGGGGGGCCACACCCUAUCAACGAGGGUGCAGGGCGCCCCCUUUGGGCGCGCCCAUGCCUCGUGGGCCCCCUGGGACUCCACCGACCACGACCCUAACUCCGUAUAUUCACUUUUGGGGAGAAAAAAUCAGAGAGAAGGAUUCAUCGCGUUUUACGAUACGGAGCCACCGCCAAGCCCUAAUCUUCCUCGGGAGGGCUAAUCUGAAGUCCGUACGAGGCUCCGGAGAGGGGAAUCUGUCGCCAUCGUCAUCAUUAAACAUCCUCCAGCACCAAUUUCAUGAUGCUCACCGCCGUGCGUGAGUAAUCACAUCGUAGGCUUGCUGGACGGUGAUGGAUUGGAUUAGAUUUACCAUGUAAUCGAGUUAGUUUUGUUAGGGUUUGAUCCCUAGUAUCCAUUAUGUUCUAAGAUUGAUGUUGCUAUGACUUUGCCAUGCUUAAUGCUUGUCACUAGGGCCCGAGUGCCAUGAUUUCAGAUCUGAACCUAUUAUGCUUUCAUGAAUAUAUGUGAGUUCUUGAUCCUAUCUUGCAAGUCAAUAAUCACCUACUAUGUGUUGUGAUCCGGUAACCCCGAAGUGACAAUAAUCGGGACCACUCCCGGUGAUGACCGUAGUUUGAGGAGUUCAUGUAUUCACUAAGUGUUAAUGCUUUGGUACGGUAUUUUAUUAAAAGAAGGCCUUAAUAUCCCUUAGUUUCUAAUAGGACCCCGCUGCCACGGGAGGGUAAGACAAAAGAUGCCAUGCAAAGUUCUUUUCCAUAAGCACGUAUGACUAUAUUCGGAAUACAUGCCUACAUUACAUUGAUGAACUGGAGCUAGUUCUGUGUCACCCUAUGUUAUAAAUGUUGCAUGAGGAAUCGCACCUGACAUAAUUAUCCAUCACUGAUCCAUUGCAUACGAGCUUUUCACAUAUUGAUCUUUGCUUAGUUACUUUUUCGUUACCACUGUUAUGAUUACUACAAAAUUGCUACUAUUACUUCUGUCACCGUUACCGUUACCUCCAUACUACUUUGCUACUAAAUACUUUGCUGCAAAUAUUAAGUCUUUCAAGUGUGCUUGAAUUGACAACUCAGCUGCUAAUACUUAAGAAUAUUCUUUGGCUCCCCUUUUCCGAAUCAAUAAAUUUGGGUUGAAUACUCUACCCUCGAAAACUGUUGUGAUCCCCUAUACUUGUGGGUUAUCAAGACAAUUUUCUGGCGCCGUUGUCGGGGAGCAUAGCUCUAUUAUUUGAGUCACUUGGGAUUUAUAUCUACUGAUCACUAUGAGGAACUUGAAAGAUGAAAGAACCAAGAUUUUUCCCUCAACUACGAGGGGAGGUAAGGAACUGCCAUCUAGCUCUGCAUUUGAUUCACCUUCUGUUUUGAGUAAACUAGCAACACCUACUGUCACUGUCAAAACCAGCGGAUCUCGGGUAGGGGUUCCUGAACUGUGCGUCUAAGGUUGAUGGUAACAGGAGACAGGGGACACGAUGUUUACCCAGGUUCGGGCCCUCUCUAUGGAGGUAAUACCCUACUUUCUGCUUGAUUGAUCUUGAUGAAUAUGAGUAUUACAAGAGUUGCUCUACCACGAGAUCGUGAUGGCUAAACCCUAGAAGUCUAGCCUAUAUGAUUGUGAUUGCCUCUACGGCCUAAAUCUUCUGGUUUAUAUAGACACUGGAGGGGACUAGGGUUAUACAAAGUCGGUUACAGAGAAAGGAAUUUACAUAUCCUAACCACCAAGCUUUCCAUCCACGCAAAGGAGAGUCCCAUCCGGACAUGGGAAGAAGUCUUCUGUCUUGCAUCUUCAUAGCCCAACAGUCCGGCCCAUGUUAGUAGUCCGGCCGUUCGAGGACCCCUUAAUCUAGGACUCCCUCAGUAGCCCCUGAACCAGGCUUCAAUGACGAUGAGUCCGACGCGCAGAUUGUCUUCGGCAUUGCAAGGCGGGUUCCUUCUCCAAAUACUCCACAAUAGUCUUUGAACCCGGAAAAUGUGUCCGACUCUGCAAAACAAAUACCACACACAACCGUAGAGAGUAUAAUAUUUCACGAGUCCAAUCCGCUGACAACCUUUUGUAGCGUGACAUCACGUUACCGCCCGACCAUUAUUUGAACCGUUUUUUAGCCUGGCGCUCAAUAUUUCGAGGUGUGGUUUCAUUGGAACGUUUUGUCAAAGCAGAGAUCAUGUCCCCUUAUUGCGGGAUUCUCAUCAAUACGGGCAUGGGUAACCCAACCGUGCCAUUUGCAUGACCCUUGGGGAAUAGGAGAUUUUUAAGGCGAUUGGGGAGGCGCAUGAUUUUCACUGCCUUUAUAAAGGGAUAAGGAUUCACCCUUUUCACCCACACCUUCUCUCUCUCUUGCCCAUCCCAUUCUCGAGCUCCAGCACCCAAGUUCUCAUCCUCCCCGCCCCUAGAAAGCACUCUAGCCAUAUCCGGAUCUAGAGCACUGGGCAAGUGGAUGGCCUCCUCCAUCAGGGAGAAGGACAUUACGAAGCUCCGGGAGGCCGGGUACUUGGCUAAGGAAAUCGCCCAUCGUCUUCCGGGCGAGGGACAGAUCAUACCCACUCCGGAGCCCCAUGAGAGGGUGGUAUUCAUCUCCCACUUCGUCUGCGGGCUGGGAUUCCCUCUCCACCCAUUUGUCCAUGGACUGAUGUUCUACUACGGGCUGGACUUCCACGACCUGGCCCCCAACUCCAUCCUCAACAUCUCGGCAUUUAUUGUUGUGUGCAAGGCCUUCCUCCGCAUCCCACCUCACUUUGGACUAUGGCUAAAGACCUUCAAUGUGAAGCCAAAGGUGGUGAGUGGUCAACAAGCAGAGUGCGGAGGCGCCAUGGUGGGCAAGAUGCCCAACGUUACAUGGCCCAAAGGUUCCUUCGUGGAGAUUGUCAAAGGGUGGCAAUCAAAGUGGUUCUACAUCACAGAGCCACAUGACACCACCUGGGCCGCGGCUCCCUCAUUCCGGACUGGAGUCCCGAUGCGGCUCACCUCCUGGCAAGAGAAAGGCCUGACCUGGUCUUCUCUGGACGAGCUGACAGCGGUCCAGACGCGCAUUCAGAACAUGAUAAACAAGAAAAUAAAGCUUGUCAACAUGAUCCAGGUGAUGCUUAUUCGCCGGAUCCUUCCGUGCCAACGCCGGACUUGCCAUCUAUGGGAGUUCGAUCCGGCCAAGCACCAGACCCUACUGGAGCUCUUGGCACUAUGCACGAAGAUAUCUGGAAGGUGCUCUUCAAGGCCAACGAGGCGCGGCCGGCCACGACCAAGGAUAGCGAGCACGACUUAACCCACCCUGCUAGUCCGGUAAGUUUUUCAUGUUUUUAAGGUGUACCCUUUACUUGCAUACUCGAGGAAGGCGCCUAAGCGUCCCUAUUGAUUCUUUCAGGCCUGGACAGAGAAGGUAGAGAGGAUUAAGUGUAUAGCUCCGCUGCCCGAGGACCCAGAAAUCCCGCUUCUGACGAAGAUGCUGGUUCCGGUGCCUUAUCAGGCGUCGGAGAAGAAGGCCAAGAAGAAGGCCAAGGGGACUAGAGGUGGUCUCCAUCGCAAGGGCACUUCAGACGCGACGUCCGAAGACACCGAGACUCAUUCCUCCAUCGCCGAGAAUGACGAGGAAGAGGAGGAAGAAGAAGAAAGUUGUUCCCCCCUGGGGGGAGAAAGAAGAGGCCAGUCUCCACGCGUCUAGAGGCCGAGGCGCCCAAAAGGGGAAAGGUUCCCUUCCAGACAGCUCCACUGCGGCCAUGAUACGUCUCGAACGUAUCUACUUUUCCAAACACUUUUGCCCUUGUUUUGGACUCUAACUUGCAUGAUUUGAAUGAAACUAACCCGGACUGACGCUGUUUUCAGCGGAACUGCCAUGAUGUUGUUUUAUGUGUAGAAAACAUAAGUCCUCGGAAUGUCCUGAAAAUCCACGGAGGCACUUUUUGGAAAAUAUAAAAAAUACUGGCGAAAGAAUCAAGACCAGCGGGCCCACACCCUGCCCACGAGGGUGGGGCGCGCCAACCCCCUGGGCGCGCCCCCCUGUUUCGUGGGCCCCCUGAGGCUCCGCCGACCUCAACUCCAACUCCAUAUAUUCUGUCUCGCGGAGAAAAAAUCAGAGAGAAAGUUUCAUUGCGUUUUACGAUACGGAGCCACCGCCAAGCCCUAAUCUCUCUCGGGAGGGCUGAUCUGGAGUCCGUUCGGGGCUCCGGAGAGGGGGAUUCGUCGCCGUCGUCAUCAUCAACCAUCCUCCAUCACCAAUUUCAUGAUGCUCACUGUCGUGCGUGAGUAAUUCCAUCGUAGGCUUGCUGGACGGUGAUGGGUUGGAUGAGAUUUACCAUGUAAUCAAGUUAGUUUUGUUAGGGUUUGAUCCCUAGUAUCCACUGUUCUGAGAUUGAUGUUGCUAUGACUUCGCUAUGCUUAAUGCUUGUCACUAGGGCCCGAGUGCCAUGAUUUCAUAUCUGAACCUAUUAUGUUUUCAUGAAUAUAUGUGUGUUCUUGAUCCUAUCUUGCAAGUCUAUAGUCACCUAUUAUGUGUUAUGAUCCGACAACCCCGAAGUGUCAAUAAUCGGGAUACUUCUCGGUGAUGACCGUAGUUUGAGGAGUUCAUGUAUUCACUAUGUGCUAAUGCUUUGUUCCGGUUCUCUAUUAAAAGGAGGCCUUAAUAUCCCUUAGUUUCCGCUAGGACCCCGCUGCCACGGGAGGGUAGGAUAAAAGAUGUCAUACAAGUUCUUUUCCAUAAGCACGUAUGACUAUUUACGGAAUACAUGCCUACAUUACAUUGAUUAACUGGAGCUAGUUCUGUAUCACCCUAUGUUAUAGCUAUUACAUGAGGAAUCGUAUCCGACAUAAUUAUCCAUCACUGAUCCAAUGCCUACGAGCUUUCCACAUCUUGUGUUUCGCUUAUUUACUUUUCCGUUGCUAUUGUUACAAUCACUACAAAACCCAAAAAUAUUACUUUUGCUACCGUUACCUUUAUUAUCAUACUAGUUUGCUACUAAAUACUUUGCUGCAGAUACUAAGUUAUCCAGGUGUGGUUGAAUUGACAACUCAACUGCUAAUACUCAAUAAUAUUCUUUGGCUCCCCUUGUGUCGAACCAAUAAAUUUGGGUUGAAUACUUUACCCUCGAAAGCUGUUGCGAUCCCCUACACUUGUGGGUUAUCAGGCGACCGACAGCAGCUCGGAGUGGCGCCCCAGGGCCAAGCCCCUGGCCCAAUCGUAAGUAUCCGAACACAUUCAUAUAUCUGGCCUCUCUACUUCAUUGUUUUGACAUGUUGAAUCAUGUAUUUGCAGUCCGACUCGGUCCAACCUCGAGCGGUCCUUAUCUUCGGAGGAUUCGCUGGACCCGGAGGCGAUGGACAGCGGGACCCUUCCAGCGGCCUCCUCUCCCAAGGACAUGGAUGGCACCAUGGCGUCGUCCCGAAUGAUCCCAAGCCCGGGAGAGAUUCAGGAGGCCGUCAGGGAGGCGCCGGAGGGUGAAGCCUCGGCUGCCGGACACAUGGGGGAGCGGACUCCCAUGGAUACUGACGAUGGGGGCCAUAUCCAGUUCGGCCCCCAUAUAUCCGAAUACAGUUCCGGAGACGCAUAUGGCUUCGGAAUCAGGCCAGCCGCCUCUUUCGAAAGAAGGAGGUGUGCCUGUAACCCACAAGUAUAGGGGAUCGCAACAGUUUUCGAGGGUAGAGUAUUCAACCCAAAUUUGUUGAUUUGACACAAGGGGAGCCAAAGAAUAUUCUCAAGUAUUAGCAGCUGAGUUGUCAAUUCAACCACACCUGGAAACUUAAUAUCUGCAGCAAAGUGUUUAGUAGCAAAGUAAUAUGAUAGUGAUGGUAACGGUAACAAAGUAAAGACAGCAAAAGUAAUGUUUUUGGUAUUUUUGUAGUGAUGAUAACAGUAGCAACGGAAAAGUAAAUAAGCGUAAACCAAUAUAUGGAAAACUCGUAGGCACCGGAUUAGCGAUGGAUAAUUAUGCCGGAUGCGGUUCAUCAUGUAACAGUCAUAACAUAGGGUGACACAGAGCUAGCUCCAAUUCAUUAAUGUAAUGUAGGCAUGUAUUCCGAAUAUAGUCAUACAUGCUUAUGGAAAAGAACUUGCAUGACAUCUUUUGUCCUACCCUCCCAUGGCAGCGGGGUCCUAAUGGAAACUAAGGGAUAUUAAGGCCUCCUUUUAAUAGAGAACCGUAACAAAGCAUUAGCACAUAGUGAAUACAUGAACUCCUCAAACUAUGGUCAUCACCGGGAGUUGUCCCGAUUAUUGUCACUUCGGGGUUGCCGGAUCAUAACACAUAGUAGGUGACUAUAGACUUGCAAGAUAGGAUCUAGAACACACAUAUAUUCAUGAAAACAUAAUAGGUUCAGAUCUGAAAUCAUGGCACUCGGGCCCUAGUGACAAGCAUUAAGCAUAGCAAAGUCAUAGCAACAUCAAUCUCAGAACAUAAUGGAUACUAGGGAUCAAACCCUAACAAAACUAACUCGAUUACAUGAUAAAUCUCAUCCAACCCAUCACCGUCCAGCAAGCCUACGAUGCAAUUACUCAUGCAUGGUGGUGAGCAUCAUGAAAUUGGUGAUGGAGGAUGGUUGAUAAUGACGACAGCGACGAAUCCCCCUCUCCGGAGCCCCGAACGGACUCUAGAUCAGCCCUCCCGAGAGAGAUUAGGGCUUGGCAGCGGCUCCGUAUCAUAAAACGCGAUGAAACUUUCUCUCUGAUUUUUUUCUCCCUGAAAGCCAAUAUAUGGAGUUGGAGUUGGCGUCGAAGGGCCACCAGGGGGCCCACGAGGUAGGGCGGCGCGCCCAGGGGGAGGGGCGCGCCCCCCACCCUUGUGGAUAGGGUGUGGGCCCCUGGUCUUCAUCUUUGGCGAGGAUUUUUUAUUAUUUAUUCUAAGAUAUUCCGUGGAGUUUCAGGUCAUUCCGAGAACUUUUGUUUUCUGCACAUAAAACAACACCAUGGCAAUUCUGCUGAAAACAGCGUCAGUCCGGGUUAGUUCCAUUCAAAUCAUACAAGUUAGAGUCCAAAACAAGGGCAAAAGUGUUUGGAAAAGUAGAUACGAUGGAGACGUAUCAACUCCCCCAAGCUUAAACCCUUGCUUGUCCUCAAGCAAUUCAGUUGACAAACUGAAAGAGAAAAAGAAAAACUUUUACAAACUCUGUUUGCUCUUGUUGUUGUAAACAUGAAAAGCCAGCAUUCAAGUUUCAGCAAUUAUUAUGAACUAACCAUACUCACAAUAACACGUAGGUCUCACAAUUACUCAUAUCAAUAGCAUGAUCAGCUAGCGAGCCAUAAUAAUAAAACUCGGAUGACAACACUUUCUCAAAAUAAUCAUAACAUGAUAUAACAAAAUGGUAUCUCGCUAGCCCUUUCUGAGACCGUAAAACAAAAAUGUAGAGCACCUUUAAAGAUCAAGGACUGACUAAACAUUGUAAUUCAUGGUAAAAAAGAUCCAGUCAAGUCAUACCCAAUAUAAACCAAUCAUAAUAAAUGCAAAUGACAGUGUGCUCUCCAGCGGGUGCUUUUUAAUAAGAAAGGUGAUGACUCAACAUAAAAGUAAAUAGAUAGGCCCUUCGCAGAGGGAAGCAGGGAUUUGUAGAGGUGCCAGAGCUCGAUUUUGAAAUAGAGAUAAAUUAUAUUUUGAGCUGCAUACUUUCACGGCCAACGCAACAACUAUGAGAGGGCUGUAUCUUCCAUACUACAUGCAUUAUAGGCGGUUCCCAAACAGAAUGGUAAAGGUUUAUACCCCCCCCUCCUCCACAAGCAUCAAUCCAUGGCUUGCUCGAAACAACGAGUGCCUCCAACAUUCAACGGGUCCCAGGGGGAGUUUUGUUUAAUUAUUUUGAUUUGUUUUGAUGUUUUUGGAUCAUGGGACUGGGCAUCCCGGUUACCGGCCCUUUCUCGUGAAUGAGGAGCGGAGUCCACUCCUCUUGAGAAUAACCCACAUAGCAUGGAAGAUAUAAGCAGCCCUAGUUGCACAUGAGCUGCUCGAGCAUACAAAACAGAAUUUCAUUUGAAGGUUUGGAGUUUGGCACAUACAAAUUUACUUGGAAUGGCAGGUAGAUACCGCAUAUAGGAAGGUAUGGUGGACUCAUGGGACAACUUUGGGGUUUAAGGAGUUUGGAUGCACAACAGUAUUCCCGCUUAGUACAGGUGAAGGCUAGCAAAAGACUGGGAAGCGACCAACUGAGAGAGCGACAACAGUCGUAAACAUGCAUUAAAAUUAAUUUACACCGAAUAUAAGCAUGAGUAGGAUAUAAUCCACCAUGAACAUAAAUAUCAUGAAGGCUAUGUUGAUUUGAUUCAACUACAUGCGUGAACAUGUGCCAAGUCGAGUCACUCAAUUCAUUCAAAGGAGGAUACCAUCCUAUCAUACCACAUCAUAAUCAUCUCAAUAGCAUGUUGGCACGCAAGGUAAAACAUCAUAACUCAUAGCUAAUCAAGCAUGGCACAAGCAACUAUAAUCUCUAAAUCUCAUUGCAAAUAUGUUUACUUCAUAAUAGCUGAAUCAGGAACGAUGAAUCAUCAUAUUUACAAAAACAAGAGAGGUCGAUUUCAUACCAGCUUUUCUCAUCCCAAUAAGUCCAUCAUAUAUCAUCAUUAUUGCCUUUCACUUGCACGACCAACGGUGUGUAUAAUAAUAAGAGUGCACGUGCAUUGGACUAAGUUGGAAUCUGCAAGCAUUCAACUCAAGAGAGAAGACAAGUAAUAUGGGCUCUAAGUUAAAUAAACGGUCAUGCAUAUGAGAGCCACUAAGCAUUUUCAAUAUAGUCUUCUCGACCCCCAAAGAAAGGAAAAGAAAUAAAAACUAUUUACACGGGAAAGCUCCCAACAAGCAAAAGAAGAACGAGAAAUGUUUUUGGGUUUUCUUAUUAAUUAUUACCACUACAGCAGGAAAAAUAAACUACUACCAAUUUUUAUUUUUUGUUUUUCUUAAGGUUUAUUAAACACACAAGAAGAAAGCAGGAAAAGGGAAAUAAACUAGCAUGGAUAUUACAGUGAAAGAGUAUGAGCACCGACAUCUAGCAAUGAGUGUGUGUGAGCAUAAAUGUAAUGUCGGUGAGAAAUACGUACUCCCCCAAGCUUAGGCUUUUAGCCUAAGUUGGUCUAUUGCCAGGGAUAGCCUGGCGGAUACCCAUAGGUGUAGCUGGGGUCAUACGGUGACGCAGAGGCUACGGCCUCCUGAGCUGCAGCGUGGCGUCGAGCUGCCUCCACUCUCCUCUCGUACUCAUCUGCCUCCUCUCUGGUAAUAAUAUAUUUUCCUCUUGCCUGAAAAUCAAAGAAGGUAGGAGCAGGAAGAGCAACACGGACCACAUGCCGUUUGUUAAAGAUUAGUCGAUACUGGAAAGGUGGUCCAGUCCUCUCAAUAAAUUGGUGGGAAACAUAGAAUCAAGAUCUAAAUAAGCAGGAGGUAACUCCAAGUCACCCUCACGAAUGUCUACAUCAAGAAAAUUAGCUAAGCGGGUUGCAUAAAUUCCUCCAAAGAAAUCUCCGUUAUGUCUAUUAUGAUGCAACCUACGAGCUACAGUGGCUCCCAUAUGAUAAGAUUGGUCCCCUAACACAGCACUUCUGAGAAUGCUGAGAUCAGGCGCACACAUGUGGCAUGCUUCAUCCUUAGCAGCUAUACAUCUACCAAUGAAGAGAGCAAAAUAAUGUAUAGCAGGAAAGUGAAUGCUCCCUAUAGUGGCCUGCGCUAUAUCUCUAGAUUCCCCCACAGUUAUUCUAGCAAGAAAGUCUCUAUAUUUAGAUUUAGGGGGAUCCCUAAUACUACCCCAAGAUGGAAGCUUGCAUGCAAGAGUGAGAUCCUCCAAGUCCAUGGUAUAAGAUUUGUCAUAAAGGUCAAACAUGACUGAAGGAGAAUUACGCGAAGAUGAAAAAUCAAACCUCCCCACAAAUGAACUUGUGAGGUCACGAUACUGUGGGCAUUUAUCAGCUUCAAAGUCCUCAAGACUGGAAUUACACAAAUAUGCGUAGAAUUCUUCUUUAAUUCCCACUUGAUUCAUAAAAUUUUCCGAAGGCCAUUCACAGGGCCUCACGAGUGCGUCUCUUGGUGGUUCCUCGUCACCAUCACGCAUUGCAAGCAUGGGGCCUUUCUUCCUUGAGGAACCACCUUGGAACAUCUUCCUAAGCAUAUUGUUUUCUCUGAAAAUAAUUCUGAAAUUUUUAGUAACUUCAAAUAAAAGUGAACCAACUUCAAUAAAACUGAUAGCAACUACUCAGACAAGUGCCUAGAGCAUAUAUCAAGCAUUAGAACUACUUGGAACCAUAUACGUUUGACAUGCAAGCUCAAGAACAUGGUCACCUAUGCAGCACAAAUUUGCAAUGAAUAAAGCACUAGAACAAAAACUAAUUGGACCAAUGGAGGAGUCACAUACCAAGGAACAAUCUCCCCAAGCAGUUUUGCGAGAGGUGCUUUGAGCAAGGAGAUCGAAAAUCACAGCAAAAGCGGCUGGAACACGAGCUUGAGUUGGUUUUUCGGGUUUGUGCGAGACAGACGAAGAAGAUGGGUGCAGGGAUAAGUGGAGGAGGGCCACCGUGGGCCCACGAGGCAGGGGGGCGCGCCCAGGGGGGUAGGGCGCACCCUCCACCCUCGUGGCCAGGUGGCAGCUCCUCCCGCGGUAAUUUUUGCACAGUAAAUCCUCAAAUAUUCCCGAAAAAAUCAUAUUAAAUUGGCAUGGCAUUCUGAGGACUUUUAUUUUCGGCAUAUUUUUAUAUUGCACGGAUAAGUCAGGAGACAGACAGAAAAAAUAUUAUUUUACUUUAUUUCUACUAAAUAACAGAAAAUAUAAAGAGGGUACAGAAGGUUGUGCUUCUAGUUUCAUCCAUCUCAUGAUCAUCAAAAUCAACCCACUAACAAGGUUGAUCAAGUCUUGUUAACAAACUCAUUCCGAAUAAUCACGAAACCGGAGAAAUUUCGAAUGACACUAAGUUACCUCAACGGGGAUAUGAAAAUCCCCAACAAUAAGAAUAUCAUACUUUUUCUUGACAGUAGGAAGAGGAAAUUCAAAACCUCCAAAUAUAAUCGAUGGAACUUUUCCAAUAGAGUUGAUACUAUAAACUUGAGGUUGUUUCCUCGGAAAAUGUACCGUGUGCUCAUUGCCAUUAACAUGAAAAGUGACAUUGCCUUUGUUGCAAUCAAUAACAGCCCCUGCAGUAUUAAGGAAAGGUCUUCCAAGAAUAAUAGACAUACUAUCAUCCUCGGGAAUAUCAAGAAUAACAAAGUCCGUUAAAAUAGUAACGUUUGCAACCACAACAGGCACAUCCUCACAAAUACCGACAGGUAUAGCAAUUGAUUUAUCAGCCAUUUGCAAAGAUAUUUCAGUAGGCGUCAACCUAUACAAGUCAAGUCUACGAUAUAAAGAGAGAGGCAUAACACUAACACCGGCUCCAAGAUCACAUAAAGCAGUUUUAACAUAAUUUCUUUUAAUGGAGCAUGGUAUAGUAGGUACUCCUGGAUCUCCAAGUUUCUUUGGUAUUCCACCCUUAAAAGUAUAAUUAGCAAGCAUGGUGGAAAUUUCAGCUUCCGGUAUCUUUCUUUUAUUAGUAAUGAUAUCCUUCAUGUACUUAGCAUAAGGAUUUGUUUUGAGCACAUCAGUUAAUCGCAUACGCAAAAAGAUGGGUCUAACCAUUUCAGCAAAGCGCUCAAAAUCCUCAUCAUCCUUUUUCUUGGAUGGUUUGGGAGGAAAAGGCAUGGGUUUCUAAACCCAUGGUUCUCUUUCUUUACCAUGUUUCCUAGCAACAAAGUCUCUUUUAUCAUAACAUUGAUUCUUUGAUUGUGGGUUAUCAAGAUCAACAACAGGUUCAACUUCUACUUCAUUAUCAUUACUAGGUUGAGCAUCAUCAUGAACAUUAUCAUUAACAUUUCCACGAGGUUCAUGUUCAUUACCAGAUUGUGUUUCAGCAUCAGACAUAGAGAUAUCAUUUGGAUUAUCAGGUGGUUCAGCAACAGGUUCACUAGAAGUCUGCACAGUUCUAUCAUUUUUCUUUUUCUUCCUCUUAGAAGAACUAGGUACAUCAAUAUUAUUUCUCUGAGAAUCUUGCUCGAUUCUCUUAGGGUGGCCUUCGGGACAUAAAGGUUCCUGAGUCAUUCUACCAGUUCUAGUAGCCACUCUAACAGCAUAAUCAUUUUUCUUACUAUUCAUUUCAUCAAGCACUUCUUUCUGAGCUUGAAGUACUUGUUCUACUUGAGUGGUAACCAUAGAAGCAUUUUUGCUAACAAGUUAAAGUUCACCUCUAAUAUUAGCCAUAUAAUCACUCAAGCGUUUAAUCAUAAAGGUAUUCUGUUUUAAUUGUCUACCAAAAUAAGCAUUAAAGUCAUCUUGCUUAAACAUAAAGUCAUCAAACUCAUCCAAGCACUGACUGGCAAUUUUAGUAGGAGGGACUUUAGCUUUAUCAUACCUAUAGAGAGAAUUUACCUUUACUACCUGUGUCGGGACAUCGGGAGGUUCUUCAGUAAAUAAGUAAUUGAGAUCAUAUACUUCUUCAACAGGCGGUAAAUUAAGACCAUGUAUUUCUUCAAUAGGAGGUAAAUUCUAACAUCUUCAGCUUUAAUACCUUUUUCUUUCAUAGAUUUCUUUGCCUCUUGCAUAUCUUCGGGACUGAGAAAUAGAACACCUCUCUUCUUCGGAGUUGGUUUAGGAAUAGGCUCAAUAAUUGGCUCAGGAGCUGGCUCGGGAGGUGCCCAAUUAUUUUCAUUUGCCAACAUAUUAUUCAAUAGAAUUUCAGCGUCAUCCGGUGUUCUUUCCCUGAAAAGUGAACCAACACAACUAUCCAGGUAAUCUCUGGAAGCAUCGGUUAGUCCAUUAUAAAAGAUAUGAAGUAUUUCAGGUUUCUUAAGAGGAUGAUCAUGCAAAGCAUUAAGUAGCUUGAGAAGCCUCCCCCAAGCUUGUGGGAGACUUUCUUCUUCAAUUUGCACAAAAUUAUAUAUAUCCUUCAAAGCAGCUUGUUUCUUAUGAGGAGGGAAAUAUUUAGCAGAGAAGUAAUAAAUCAUAUCCUGGGGGCUUUGCACACAACCAGGAUCAAGAGAAUUAAACCAUUUCUUAGCAUCACCCUUUAAUGAGAACGGAAAUAUUUUGAGUAAAUAAAGGUAGCGCGAUCUCUCAUUAUUAGUAAACAGGGCAGCUAUAUCAUCUAACUUACGAAGAUGUGCCACAACAGUUUCAGAUUCAUAGCCAUAAAAAGGAUCAGAUUCAACCAAAGUAAUUAUAUUUGGAUCAACAGAAAAAUCAUAAUAAUCCUGAUCAGGAACACAGAUAGGUGAAGUAGCAAAAGCAGGGUCGGGUCUCAUCCUAUCUCUAAAAGAUUCUUUACUCCACUUAACUAGCAACCUCUUACGUUCAAGACUAUCCUGGCAAGCAAGAACAACUUCAAUAGAUUCAGCAUUAAAAAGAUAACCCUCAGGAAUAGCAGGCAUAUUUUCAUCAUCACUAACAUCAUCGUGUUCAGUUUCAAUAAUUUCUCUUUCUCUAGACCUAGAAAUUUGUUCAUCUAGAAAUUCACCAAGGGGCACAGUAGUAUCAAGCAUAGAAGUAGUUUCAUCAUAAGUAUCAUGCAUAGCAGAAGUGGCAUCAUCAAUAACAUGCGACAUAUCGGAACGAAUAGCAGAAUCAGGUUUAGGUGUCACUAGCUUACUCAUAACAGAAGGUGAAUCAAGUGCAGAGCUAGAUGGCAUUUCCUUACCUCCCCUCAUAGUUGAGGGAUAAAUUGUUGUCUUAGCGUCUUUCAAGUUCUUCAUAGUGUCCAACAGAUAUAAAUCCCAAGUGACUCAAAGAAUAGAGCUAUGCUCCCUGGCAACGGCGCCAGAAAAAGGUCUUGAUAACCCACAAGUAUAGGGGAUCGCAACAGUUUUCGAGGGUAGAGUAUUCAACCCAAAUUUGUUGAUUCGACACAAGGGGAGCCAAAGAAUAUUCUCAAGUAUUAGCAGCUGAGUUGUAAAUUCAACCACACCUGGAAACUUAGUAUCUGCAGCAAAGUGUUUAGUAGCAAAGUAAUAUGAUAGUGAUGGUAACGGUAACAAAGUAAAGACAACAAAAGUAAUGUUUUUGGUAUUUUUGUAGUGAUGAUAACAGUAGCAACGGAAAAGUAAAUAAGCGUAAACCAGUAUAUGGAAAACUCGUAGGCACCGGAUUAGCGAUGGAUAAUUAUGCCGGAUGCGGUUCAUCACGUAACAGCCAUAACAUAGGGUGACACAGAACUAGCUCCAAUUCAUCAAUGUAAUGUAGGCAUGUAUUCCAAAUAUAGUCAUACGUGCUUAUGGAAAAGAACUUGCAUGACAUCUUUUGUCCUGCCCUCCCGUGGCAGCGGGGUCCUAAUGGAAACUAAGGGCUAUUAAGGCCUCCUUUUAAUAGAGAACCAUAACAAAGCAUUAGCACAUAGUGAAUACGUGAACUCCUCAAACUAUGGUCAUCACCGGGAGUGGUCCCGAUUAUUGUCACUUCGGGGUUGCCGGAUCAUAACACAUAGUAGGUGACUAUAGACUUGCAAGAUAGGAUCUAGAACACACAUAUAUUCAUGAAAACAUAAUAGGUUCAGAUCUGAAAUCAUGGCACUCAGGCCCUACUGACAAGCAUUAAGCAUAGCAAAAUCAUAGCAACAUCAAUCUCAGAACAUAAUGGAUACUAGGGAUCAAACCCUAACAAAACUAACUCGAUUACAUGAUAAAUGUCAUCCAACCCAUCACCGUCCAGCAAGCCUACGAUGCAAUUACUCACGCACGGCGGUGAGCAUCAUGAAAUUGGUGAUGGAGGAUGGUUGAUGAUGACGAUAGCGACGAAUCCCCCUCUCCGGAGCCCCGAACGGUCUCCAGAUCAGCCCUCCCGAGAGAGAUUAGGGCUUGGCGGCGGCUCCGUAUCGUAAAACGCGAUGAAACUUUCUCUCUGAUUUUUUUCUCCCCGAAAGCCAAUAUAUGGAGUUGGAGUUGGCGUCUGAGGGCCACCAGGGGGCCCACGAGGUAGGGCGGCACGCCCAGGGGGGAGGGGCGCGCCCCCCCCUCGUGGACAGGGUGUGGGCCCCCUGGUCUUCAUCUUUGGCGAGGAUUUUUUACUAUUUAUUCUAAGAUAUUCAGUGGAGUUUCAGGUCAUUCCGAGAACUUUUGUUUUCUGCACAUAAAACAACACCAUGGCAAUUCUGUUGAAAACAGCGUCAGUCCGGGUUAGUUCCUAUUCAAGUUAGAGUCCAAAACAAGGGCAAAAGUGUUUGGAAAAGUAGAUACGACGGAGACGUAUCAGUGCCUAUUCCACCGGUGACUUCUGUCCAUCCAGAGGCACCGGAUAAUUUGUUGGAAGCGCUGCGAGGCGCUUCCAUUGUUGAGGAACUCCAUACCCUUAUGGGUACGGUGACUGAGAGGAUUCAGUCCGCGAAGAGCGGACUGACCGAAGCCUGCACAAGCCUUCUAAUAGGCUUUGAGGUUAGCAAUUUAAUAAAAAGAAUGUCACAGUAUAGAUAGUAGCCAUUGAUACUAUGUCCGGUGUUUGGAAAGAAAAGCCGAUUAGAGGAUCAAAUAAUUUUCACAGGAGACUAACCUAACAUGUCUAUGUGAACAAACAGGCCUUGCUGCUGGCUACGACCUCUCAUACUGCUGAAGUCUCUAGACUGAAGCAGAGUCUGGAGCGGACCAAGGAGGAGCUCGUCCGCAUGAAAAAGCAGUUGGAAGAUAAUCAAGGUAUGCAAUAACCUUGGAUAUAUUCAGGAAGGAUGAAUGGUUUGUGCUGACUAAAGUGCCAUUUGAUUUGUUAGGGGCGGCGACCUAGGUGGAGACCCUCAAGAAGGCGCUGGCCGAGGCUAAGGAGAAAGCGGCCAAGGAAAAGGCCGCCCGUGAAAAGCACGAUGCCAGGGUUAGUGAGGUCCAGCAGGAGCUCCGGGACGCCGUGAUGCGAGUCCUUGGAGCACAAACUUGCGGAUCAAGAGUCCGAACUGGACGAGGCCUGCCAAAACAUACACGAUGCCCGGGUUGAAGCCCAAGGCGGCCUCCAGGAAAUCCAGGAGGCCAGGAAAAUCGCGGCAGGUAAGGCCUUUAUUAUGCAGAGCAAAUAUGUGAAGAGAAGGUUCCUCUUACUGACCCGGAUUUGGAGUUCUCCAGGGGCGUGUGCGGAUCUGCCGUGCAGCGUUUUAGGCGUUGUGGAAUUCUUCCGGGCCGAAGAGGGGGGCUUCACGGAUUAGCUAUUUUGGUCACAAUACAUUGCGCUAGAAUAUCCGGUGCCCUUUAGCGAUCAGCUCAAAUAGUUGGUCGAGUUGCACAGGAUGGCCGAACUAGCCAUGAAUGAUUUGAUAAUCCGGCUAUGGCCUGCCGAAGCUAUGCCCAGCAGCUACUUCGGCCUCGUGAAGCGGCUAGUCAGUUCCUGCCCUCGGCUUGAUGCCAUCAAGCGGUCGGUCUACAUUGAAGGCGCGCGCAUGGCCUUCGCCCGAGUCAAGAUGCAUUGGGUGAAGAUGGACGCCGUGAAGGUUGCGACCGAGGGACCGCCCGCGGGCAAGGAGCACGGCACACCCGAGCUGUAUUUUGACAGUGUCCUGGACGGAUCCCGCCGUGUCAAUAGAAGUUUUAGGCGCAGCCCCUAGUGUUUGUAAGUCUGAACUUGGGAUGUUGUAAAUACCUGAUUGGAUAAAAACCAAUUCAUUGCGUAAUGCGGAAAAAAUCGCUAAAGAUUUGAAAACCUCUCAAACAGCUUACCGGCUCACGCCGCAUCAUGACAGUCAGUUUUUGGCUUUCUCUACUGAGGUGCUCAUACGGAUGAACCAGGACACAAUCGCAGUAGUUCUCCCUUUACUACCCUAGCCGAUAUAGCGGAACAUAAGGUAGCAAGCACAGGAGCCGGGCAACCCAACUAUUGACCAAAGACAUGAUUCGGAGCCGAUGCAUAUAAUGCUAUAAGUUCGAAGUGCCGAACUACACUGUAAAAUAGUGUCCGGACUUUGUUGCAGUAUUAUGGAGCGUAAUGAAGCCCCUAGCGAAUUAAGGCGUACCAGAGUGUACAGGUGCAAUUUGAUAAAAAUAUCAAGAAAAAGAAAAAAAGGAAAUAAUAGGCUAAUGCUGCAAAAAAUGGGCCGCAAACUAUUUUUCAUUGUAGUUUGAUUAAUACGUCAAAGCGUAUUUUGUACAAGUAGCGCGAUAAGCAACAGGACUAUUUAACAUGCCACAAUCAAGGGAGAGCUGCGUGCGGGUCCUCAAAAACAGGUAUAGCGAUCGUUUAAAGAAACCACCUGGAAAUUCCCCCAUACGUCAAUGCUUCUUGCCGUCUUGGUGUAUCCGUCCCUCUAUAGGUCUGUCGAUCAGGUCACCAGGAAGGACCUGGGAAGAAAAGAGACCUAAAAAGAAAAAGAGAAGGUAAAAGUAUGCGGGUCCAGGAGCGGUUGAGCCGUACUAUGGACCAUGAUCUAGCUGUGCCUCCGUCUAUGCUCAUGGUAUUUUAAGUGCAUAGUUAUGUAUGCGUGGUACGAAUGUUGCCGCUUGGUCGGGACUGGGACGGAGGCUGGAUUGCUAGUCAAGCUCUUGACGAGCUGGACUGUCCUGCUGCAGGGUAGUUCGGACUCGUUUGACAGUAUCCGGGAGCUUGGCAGCUGAAUUAAGGUUCUGCCUGAAAAGGCCGCUUUGUACUUCUGCUGCAAGGGCCGCGGUGUGCUCCUCGGUAUGGAGGGAGCGUUCCAUGUUUCCAUUGACUGUUAUGACACCGCAUGGUCCGGGCAUUUUGAGCUUGAGAUAAGCGUAGUGCGGCACCGCAUUGAAUCGAGCGAAUGUGAUUCGUUCGAGCAGUGCGUGAUAGCCACUGCGGAAGGGGACGAUAUCGAAGAUCAAUUCUUUGCUUCGGAAAUUAUCCGGGGAUCCGAAGACCACUUCCAGUGUGAUUGAGCCCGUAAAGCAGGCCUCUACACCUGGUAUGACACCUUUAAAGGUGGUUUUGGUGGGCUUGAUCCUUGAGGGAUCGAUACCCAUUUUGCACACUAUAUCCUGAUAGACCAGGUUCAGGCUGCUGCCACCGUCCAUGAGGACUCACGUAAGGUGGAAUCCAUCAAUGAUUGUGUCGAGGACCAGUGCGGCUGAACCGCCAUGAUGGAUACUGGCCGGAUGGUCCCUGCGAUCAAAGGUGAUGGGGUAGGACGACCAUGGGUUGAACUUUGGGGCGAAUGGCUCCAUCGCGUGAAGUCCUUGACCGCGUGCUUGUGCUCCCUCUUGGGGAUAUGGGUAGUGUAUAUCAUGUUCACCGUUUUUACUUGGGGGGAAACUUCUUCUGACACCCUGUGUUCGGUGGCCGGGGCUCCUCGCCAUUGUCCUCGCUUUGUGACCCCUUCUCCUUGUUCUCGGCAUUUAACUUGCCGGCCUAUUUAAAAACCCAACACUCUCUGUUGGUAUGAUUGGCUGGUUUAUCAGAAGUGCCGUGGAUUUGACAUGGAUGAUCAAGUAUGCGGUCCAAACUGGACGGGCCUGGAUUGUUUCUUUUAUAUGGCUUCUUCCACUGAUCGGACUUAGAGCCACUGAAUCCGGCAUUGACCGCCGUGUCUUCGGUGUUAUCACUGUUGCUUCGACGCUUGUGUCUGUUGCGUUGGGGCUUGCCGUUGCUGUUUCUGGCUUCAGAAGUGCCAGGUUUGCUUGCAUUGUUAUUGCUACGGGCUAGCCAGCUAUCCUCGCCCGCGUAGAAGUGGGUCAUAAGCGUCGUGAGGGAUGCCAUGGACUUCGGUUUUUCUUGGCUGAGGUUUUGGGCGAGCCAUUCGUCAUGGAUGUUGUGCUUAAAGGCCGCUAGGGCUUCGACAUCCGGACAGUCAACGAUCUGGUUCUUUUUAGCUAAGAACCUAGUCCAAAAUUUCCUGGUUGACUCUCCGGGCUAUUGAACUAUGUGACUUAAGUCAUCGGCAGCUGGAGGUCGGACAUAUGUACCUUGGAAGUUGUCGAGGAAGGCAUCUUCCAAGUCUUCCCAGCUGCCAAUGGAGUUUCCGGGCAGGCUGUUCAACCAGUGCCGAGCUGGUCCCUUGAGUUUUAGCGGGAGGUAUUUGAUGGCAUGAAGAUCAUCACCGUGGGCCAUAUGAAUAUGGAGAAGGAAAUCCUCAAUCCACACUGCGGGGUCUGUUGUCCCAUCAUAUGAUUCGAUGUUCACGGGUUUAAACCCUUCUGGGAAUUCAUGUUCCAUUACUUCAUCAGUGAAGCAAAGGGGGUGUGUGGCGCCUCUAUACCGGGCCAAGUCGUGACGUAGCUCUGAUGGAGUUCGUCUACGGUCUUCGGUCCGGGCGUGGUUAUGUUUGUCACGUCCGGUCAGAUGGCCAUAUCGCGCAUCGGGGCACGCCCCCGCGAUCCAUAGAUCGAUCUGGUCUGUCCUGCUUUGUUUUCCAGGUCAUGCCGCAGGUCAUGUGUGUAUCCCCGAGCUGUUGUAUUUUUGUUUUUAUGACGAGGUAGUGCAGGCUGGUGUUCGGCUCGAGCUGCCGCUUUGUCCUGGCCACGUGGUGGCCGGUCGGCCGCAUUAUGCGCUGGUAGGACAGGCUCCAGCGCCUCGUCAUCGAAUUUGGGUAACAAUUUGUGCUUCGGGUAGCUUUUAGUUCGGUACUCGAGGCCGUAUUCCUCGGCUGCCAGGACAUCAGCCCAUCUACCGUUGAGCAGAUCUUGAUCAGAUCGAAGCUGCUGCUGCUUCUUUCUCAGGCUCCUUGCAGUGGCUAUUAGCCAGUACUUAAAGCACUCCUGUUCGACGGGCUACUCAGGCACGAUAAAGUCUUCGUCACCGAGAUGCACCUUGUCCUCAGAGAGUGGAAGGUAGUUACUGUCCUCGGAGUCUUUGUUCGUGGCCUGCUCGUUAGGGCUAACUCACCCAUCUUCCCGUUUGUCCUGUUCGGAGGUUGGCUCAACGGGGUCUUCAUUGUCUUCGGCAUCGUCCGGAGUAUUGUUUUCUCCUAUGACAGUAUUGUUGCUUUUACUACGGUGUGGCUUAGAGCGGCACCGCUGAUGCCGGUGCUUUGGCUGUAUCUCAGGAGGCUUGUCCUCGAUUGGAUUUUCAUUGUCGUCGUUGUUCUCUUUGGGUGUAUCCACCAUAUAUACAUCAUACGAGGAGGUGGCUGUCCAGCGCCCUGUAAGUGGUGGUUUUUGUGCCUGCUCCUCUCUGACAUCGUCGUCCAUACCGUCGAUGUCUUUGGAGUCGUAGUCGAGCAUGUCGGUUAAGUCCUCGACAGUGGCUAUGUAGUGGGCGGUGGGUGGGAAACGAAAUUCUCCGUCAUCGGCUUCCAAUUCAAGCCGGAUAUAGUUUGGCUGAGAGUCUCCUGUCAAGGAGAGGGCUUUUAGUGAGUUUAGCACAUCGCCUAAAGGAGAGUGCCGGAAGAUGUCCGCAGAGCUGAACUCGAAGAUCUGUGCCUGAUCAGGUUCGAUGGGCGCAGAUGUACGCGGUUCGAAACUUACGGUCGAAAACGAAUCCGAGGUUCCGAUGACAUAGGCCCCGCUCGAGGUUGGACCUGUGUGCGGCUCCAGCGCCUCUAAGUCUGCGGCUUCCGUGGCGGGGUUGAGCAUCCCGUCCUUGGAUGGCGCAAUCUGCUCCGGAUCUAGGGCCAGAGCGGUUAUAGGCGCUAUGUCCCGAGCAUGAUCUGAUGACAGAUUUAGGUCAUGUUCAUCGUGGUGGCAGGGAGCGGCCGUCUUGGGCUCGAACCCGUCGAAGAUCAAGUCUCCAUGGAUAUUGGCCACGUAAUUCAAGCUUCCAAACCUGACCUGGUGGCCAGGGGCAUAGCUGUAGAUCUGCUCUAGAUGGCCAAGCGAGUUGGCCCGUAGUGCAAAGCCGCCGAAUACGAAGAUCUAUCCAGGGAGGAAAAUCUCCCCCUGGACUGCGUUGUUGUAGAUGAUUGAUGGAGCCAUCAAGCCUUUUAAUGACAAUGCAGCGGAACUCUCAAUGAAAGCACCAAUGUCGGUGUCAAAAUCGACAGAUCUCGGGUAGGGGGUCCCGAACUAUGCGUCUAAGUUUGAUGGUAACAGGAGAUAGGGGACACAAUGUUUACCCAGGUUCGGGCCCUCUCUAUGGAGGUAGUACCCUACUUCCUGCUUGAUUGAUCUUGAUGAAUAUGAGUAUUACAAGAGCUGAUCUACCACGAGAUCAUGAUGGCUAAACCCUAGAAGUCUAGCCUAUAUUAUUGUGAUUGCCUCUACGGACUAAACCCUCCGGUUUAUAUAGACACCGGAGGGGACUAGGGUUAUACAAAGUCAGUUACAGAGAAAGGAAUCUACAUAUCUGAAUCACCAAGCUUGCCAUCCACGCAAAGGAGAGUCCCAUUCGAAAAUGGGAAGAAGUCUUCUGUUAUGCAUGUUAAUAGUCCGACCGUCUGAGGACCAUGUUAAUAGUCCGACCGUCUGAGGACCCCUUAAUCCAGGACUCCCUCACCUACACCUGUAUUGAUUCUGAUAUGUCGCAUUUUAGUGAUGAUGCCACUUCUGCUAUGCAUGAUGCUUAUGAUGAAACUACUUCUAUGCUUGAUAAUACUAUGCCAUUAGGUGAAUUUCUUGAUGAACAACUUGCUAGGGUUAGAGAGAAUGAUAUUAUUGAAACUGAUAAUAUUGAUGAAAGUGAUGAUGAAGAUUCUCCCCCUAGAUAUGAAUUGCCUGAUGUGCCUGAGGGUUAUGUUAUGGAUGAAGAAACCGCUAGAGACCUUUUUGCUUGCAAAGAUAGAUAUUAUCUUAAGAAACUGUUAGCUAAGCUGAAAGAAAAGUCUCUGAAUGCUAGAAUGAAAUAUGACCCUGCUUUUGCUACUUCACCUAUCUGUAUUUCUGAUAAGGAUUAUGAUUUUUUCUGUCGAUCCUGAGUUAAUUACUUUGGUUGAAUCUGAUCCUUUUUAUGGCAAUGAAUCUAAAAGUGUUGUGGCACCCUAUUCACUCAUGAGGAAAAAAAUCGUUAUUACUAUAUCCUUAAGUUAUUUUUGUUCUCAUUAAAGGGUGAUGCUAAGAUAUGGUUUAAUUCUCUUGCUCCCGGUUGUGUGCGUAGUCCCCAGGAUAUGAUUUAUUACUUCUCUGCUAAAUAUUUCCCCGCUCAUAAGAAACAAGCUGCCUUAAGGGAAAUAUAUAAUUUUGUGCAAAUUGACGAAGAGAGUCUCCCACAAGCUUAGGGGAGGCUUCUCCAAUUACUUAAUGCUUUGCUUGAUCACCCUAUCAAGAAAAAUGAAAUACUUGAUAUCUUUUAUAAUGGACUAACCGAUGCUUCUAGAGACCACCUGGAUAGUUGUGCUGGUUGUGUUUUCAGGGAAAGAACUGUUCAGCAAGCUGAAUUGCUAUUGAAUAAUAUAUUGAGCAAUGAUAAUGAUUGGACACUUCCUGAACUAACUCCUAAGCCAACUCUAAAGAAAAGGGGUAUCCUUUUUCUCAGUCUUGAAGAUAUGCCAGAGGCAAAGAAAUCUAUGAAAGAAAAAGGUAUUAAAGCUGAAGAUGUUAAGAAUUUACCACCUAUUGAAGAAAUACAUGGUCUUGAUAAUCUGACAUAGGUAGUAAAGGUAAAUUCUCUCUAUAGAUUUGAUGAAGGUGAUAUUCCUCGUUAUAAGUCUGCUAGUCAAUACUUGGAUGAGUUCGAUAAUUUUAUUUUUAAGCAAGAAAACUUCAAUGCUUAUGUUGGUAGACAAUUGAAACGUAAUGCUUAUAUGAUUGAACACUUGAGUGAUUAUAUGUCUAGAGUAAAAGGUGACCUUAAGCUUAUUAGUAAACAUGCAUCCAUGGUUACCACUGAAGUAGAACAAGUACUUAAGGCACAAGAUGAUUUUCUCACUGAGUUAAAUGAUAAGAAAAAUGAUAAUGCUGUUAGAGUUAUGACUAGGGGUGGUAGAAUGACUCACUAACCUUUGUAUCCUGCAGGCCAUCCUAAGAGAGUUGAGCAAGAUUCUCAGAGAACUAAUGUUGAUGCACCUAGUCCUUCUAAGAAAAAGAAAAGGAAAAAUGAUAGGACUUUGCAUGCUUCUAGUGAACCUGCUAUAGACACACCUAAGAAUCCCAAUGAUAUUUCUAUUUCUCAUGCUGAAACACAAUCUGGUAAUGAACAUGCGCCUAGAGAUAAUGUUAAUGAUGAUGUUCAUGUUGAUGCCCAACCUAGCAAUAACAAUGAUGUAGAUAUUGAACCUGCUGUUGAUCUUGAUAACCCACAAACAAAGAAUCAACGUUAUGAUAAGAGAGACUUCGUUGCUAGGAAGCACGGUAAAGAAAGAGAACCAUGGGUUCAGAAACCCAUGCCUUUCCCUCCUAAGACAUCCAAGAAAAAGGAUGAUGAGGAUUUUGAGCGCUUUGCUGAAAUGAUUAGACCUAUCUCUUUGCGUAUGCAUUUGACUCAUAUGCUUAAAAUGAAUCCUUAUGCUAAGUAUAUGAAAGAUAUUGUUACAAACAAAAGAAAGAUAUCGGAAGCUGAAAUUUCCACCAUGCUUGCUAAUUAUACUUUUAAGGGUGGAAUACCAAAGAAACUAGGAGAUCUAGGAGUACCAACUAUACCAUGCUCCAUUAAAAGAAACUAUGUUAAAAUUGCUUUAUGUGAUCUUGGGGCUAGUGUUAGUGUUAUGCCCCUCUCUUUAUAUCGUAGACUUGAUUUGAAUAAGUUGACACCUACUGAAAUCUUUUUGCAAAUGGCCGAUAAAUCAACUGCUAUACCCUUAGGUAUUUGUGAGGAUGUGCCUGCUGCAGUUGUAAACGUUACUAUUUUAACGGACUUUGUUAUUCUUGAUAUUCCCAAGGACGACAGUAUGUCGAUUAUCCUCAGUAGACUCUUUUUGAAUACUGCAGGGGCUGUUAUUGAUUGAAACAAAGGCAAUGCCACUUUUCAUGUUAAUGGUAAUGAGCAUACGGUACACUUUCCAAGGAAACAACCUCAAGUUCAUAGUAUCAAUUCUAUUGGGAAAAUUUUAAUGAUUACUAUUGGAGGCUUUGAAUUCCCUCUUCCUACUGCCAAGAAGAAAUAUGAUAUUUUUAUUGUCGGGGACAUGCAUAUCCCCGUUGAGGUAACCUAGUGUUAUUCGAAAAUUUUCUGGUUUUAGGUUAUUCGGAAUAAGUUCGUUAACAAGACUUGAUCAACCUUGUUAGUGGAUUCCUUUUGAUGAGCAUGAGAUGGAUGAAGUUAGAAAGCACAACUCUCUGUACCCUCCUUUUACUUUCUGUUAUUUAGAUGAAAUAAUGCAAAAAUAGUAUUUUUCUGUCUGUUUUUUGAAUUAUCCAUGCAAUAAAAAAGAUACCCCGAAAAUAAAAGUUCUCCAAAUGCCCUGAAAAUGAAGUAUGAUUUUUUUGUAGAAUAUUUAAGAAUUUCUAGCACUGAGAAAACACCAAGGGGGCCCACCAUUUGUCCACUAGGGCACAUGGCGCGCCCCCCACCUCGUGGGCCCCACAUGGAACACCUCCACUUAUUCCAGCACCCACUCACUUCGUCUUCCUCCAGAAAAAAUCCUUCCAUAGCUCAAACCCGUGUUCGAGCUCAUCUUGUUGCCAUUUUCGAUCUCCUUGCUCAAAGCUCCAUUCACAAAACUGUUUUGGGGGAUUGUUCUUUGGUAUGUGACUCCUCCAAUGGUCCAAUUAGUUUUUGUUCUAGUGCUUUAUUUAUUGCAAAUAUUUGCUGCUAAGCUGACCCUAUUCUUGAGCUUGCAUGUCAAAUUUAUUUGGUCCCAAAGUAGUUUUAAUGCAUGAUAUAGCCUCUAAGCACUUGUGGGAGUAGUUGCGAUCAAUCUUGUUGAGUUUGGUGCACUUUUAUUUUGAGUCACUAAAAAUUUUAGAUUUUUUAGAGAAAAUGAUGAAGAGAUUGUUGAGGGGCUGUCGGUGUCAAAACCGGCGGAUCUCGGGUAGGGGGUCCCGAACUGUGCAUCUAGGCGGAUGGUAACAGGAGACAAGGGACACGAUGUUUUUACCCAGGUUUGGGCCCUCUCGAUGGAGGUAAAACCCUACUCCUGCUUGAUUGAUAUUGAUGAUAUGGGUAGUACAAGAGUAGAUCUACCACGAGAUCAAGGAGGCUAAACCCUAGAAGCUAGCCUAUGGUAUGAUUGUUGUUCGUCUUAUGGACUAAAACCCUCCGGUUUAUAUAGACACCGGAGAGGGCUAGGGUUACACAGAGUCGGUUACAAUGGUAGGAGAUCUACAUAUCUGUAUUGCCAAGCUUGCCUUCCACGCCAAGGAAAGUCCCCUCCGGACAUGGGAUGAAGUCUUCAAUCUUGUAUCUUCAUAGUCUUGGAGUCCGGCCAAUGAUGAUAGUUCGGCUAUCCGGACACCCCCUAGUCCAGGACUCCCUCAGUAGCCCCUGAACCAGGCUUCAAUGAUGACGAGUCCGGCGAGCAUAUUGUCUUCGGCAUUGCAAGGCGGGUUCCUCCUCCGAAUAAUUCAUAGAAGAUCGUGAAUACCAGGAUAGUGUACGGCUCUGCAAAAUAAAUUCCACAUACCACCGUAGAGAGAAUAAUAUUUACACAAGUUCAAUCUGCUGACGCAUUUCGUGGCAUGACGUCACACCACGGCCAAGCCUUUACUAGAAUCGUUUUUGUCAUACCACCUCAGCGCGUUUAGCGAAGCGGUUUCCUUGGCACGUCUUGUCGAAGCAGAGAUCGUGUCCCCUUAUUCCGGGAUUCUCAUCAAUACAGACGUGGGUAACCCAACCGCGCCAUUGAUUGCGGCGCUUGGGAGAUAAGCGAGUUUUACCAGGCUGGGUGGGACGCAUAGUUUCGUCCGCCCAUAUAUAAGGGGAUAAGGAUCCACCUUUUUACCUACGCCUUCUUCCUCCUUUGCUUAUCCAUCUCCGUGCACUCGAGCUCCAACGCCCAAGUCCGCACAUCUCACCUCAACCUUCUCCAGCCAUGUCCGGAGCGGGAGGCAAGUGGAUGGCCUCCUCCGUUACGGAGGGGCACAUCAAGAAGCUGCGCAAUGCCGGAUAUUUGUCCAGCGAUAUCGCGCACCGGCUCCCCGACGAGGGGCAGCUCAUCCCCACCCCCGGGCCCCAUGAGAGGGUGGUAUUCCUUCCCCAUUUCCUCCGCGGACUGGGCUUCCCACUCCACCCCUUUGUCCAGGGGCUCAUGUUCUACUAUGGCCUGGAUUUCCAUGAUCUGGCCCCGAAUUUCAUCCUCAACAUCUCGGCGUUUAACAUCGUGUGCGAGGCCUUCCUCUGCAUCCAGCCCCACUUCGGCUUAUGGCUAAAGACCUUUAAUGUCAAGUUGAAGGUUGUGAAGGGCAGCCAAGCGGAGUGCGGAGGCGCCAUGGUGGGCAAGAUGCCCAACGUCACUUGGCUCGAGGGCGCCUUCGUGGAAACCAUCAAAGGGUGGCAAUUGGGGUGGUUCUAUAUCACCGAGCCGCGUGACCCUGAAUGGGCAGCGGCCCCCGAAUUCAGAUCUGGCAUCCCCAUGCGGCUCACUUCCUGGAAAGAGAAGGGCCUGCUGUGGGGUGAUUCGGAAGAGCUGACCGGACUCCAAUCCUGUCUCCAAACCCUGGUGAACAAGAAGCUCAAGCUUGUCAAUGUAAUCCAGGUCAUGCUCAUCCGCCGGAUUCUCCCCUGCCAACAGCGGGACUUCAGCUUGUGGGAGUUCGAUCCGGCACAGCACCAGACCUUGAGCGGGCUCUUCGACACUACGUACGAAGAGGCCUAGAGGGUGCUGUUCAAGGGCACCGAGGCUCACGCAUCCGCUACCGAAGAUCGCGGAUUCAGCUCGCAGCGUCCGGCUGGCGAGGUAAGCUAUGUUAUCCUUUAUGGGACACUUGUUUUUCAUAGUUUGACUCUAUGCGGGAUCUAAACUCCCAAUACCUUUAACAGUCCCGGCAGAAGACGUCCGGACAGGUUAACUUUCCGGCUCCCCUUCCAGAAGACCCAGCGAAUGCCUGUUUGACAGGGCUGCUGGCCCCGGCGCCUUACGUGGUGCCGGAGAAGAAGGCCAUGAAGAAGGCCACAGGAACCCGGAGGAGUUCCCGGCGUCAGGUGUUAUUGGAUUCAUCGUCCGAUGACUCCGAGGCAGACUCCUCCCAUGAGGACGAGGAGGAGAAGAAAGAGGCCUCUCCCCCAGCGGGGGGAGAGAAGAAGAGGAAGGCUUCCCCAACGGGGGAGGCCGAAGGGUCCAAGAAGGGAAGGACCCUUCCCCCGGACUGUUCCACCAACACCGACGACGACGACGAGGAGUGGCCCUCAAGGGCCAAGCCCCUGGCGAGAUCGUAAGUAUCCGGACUCCUGAACAAUUCAUAAUUUUUCUUUUUGUCACACGGUGUCUUUCUAACGCCAUAUACAACCCUGUAGUCCGCCCAAGGACGAUCUUCCCGCUUCGUCGACCGUGUCCUUGGGUACGUCGGAUGUGAAUAGCACUUCACUUCCGACCGCCUCCUCCCCUCGUGAUGCCGACGACGCCGAGGUGGGAUCCCAGAAAGGGACCCACCAGGAGGAGGAGGCCUCGGAGGUGCCGCAGGGCAACCUCCCGGACUUUGGACUGGACUCCGCACCGGAACCUUCAGUUGUUCCGGAGUCCGGCGGGCGGCCCCUUCGUAAGAAGGGCAAGACUGUGACGCCGGCGGCCUCCGUCCAACCGGAGGCGCCGGAUAACUUGCUGGAGGUACUCAACGGCGCUUCCAUCGACGAGGAACACCGCACUGUCAUGAGUGCGGUGAUUCAGAAGGUUCAGCUCGCCAAAAGCGGGCUGACCGAAGCCUGCAGCAGCCUUCUAACAGGCUUUGAGGUAAGAAUUUUAAGAUAUGUAAUAUAGUACCACAUAGACAGUAGCCCCUGAUGCUCGGUUCGGUGUUCGGAAAGAAAGUCGGACUGAGGAUCUAAAAAGAUAUACGCAGGAGUCUUAACAAAAAUAUGUCAAUAUGGGAAUGCAGGCUGCGCUGCUGACCUCUGCCGCACUGACUGCGGAGGUCAAUGCCUUGAAGAAGAGCCUCGAGCGGUCCGAGGGCGAGCUCGGCCGUGCCAAGAAGCAGCUCGAGGACAAGGAAGGUGAGUAACACCUUAUUAAAGUUGUACCUUACAGAAAAGGAUUUGGUUGCAAGAGGAAUGACGAGGAUAACGUGGGUACUCCAGGGGCUACGAACAAGGUGGCGACCCUGAAGGAGGCGGUGUCCGCGGCCGAACGCAAUGCGGCCGCGAAAUGCGCCGAGCGAGAGAGGCAGGAGGCGCGGGUGUCGGAGGUACAGCAAGAGCUCCAGGAUCUCGUGGAAAAACACGAGAGUUUGGAGCGUGACUCGAAGACUCGAGAGUCCGAGCUUGCGUCGGCUCUUGAGAGUGCCAAAGCCGCUAAGGCCGAAGCCUAGAAGGCCCUCCAAGAAAUCGAGGCAUUGAAGAAGAUAGCAGCGGGUAAGGCAUUCUUCAUGCAAAGCAAGCAUGUAAAAGUGAAUUACCUGUUACUUACCCGAAUUUGGAGCUCUCCAGGAGCGUUCGCAGAUCUGCCCCGUAGCGUGUCCGAUGCUGCCACUUUCUAUAGAGCCGAGGAGGGGAGCUCGACGGAGAAGGUGUUCUGGUCUCAUUAUGCUGAGGCAGGACAUCCGGUGCCCCUUAGCGACCAGCUGAAGCAGCUGGUCGAGCUCCACAAGGUGGCCGAACAGGCCAUGAAGGGCCUUAUAGUUCGGCUAUGGCCCAAAGAGGCCAUGCCUGGGAGCUACUUCGGCCCGGUGCGGCGGCUGGUGGAUGCGUGUCCCUGGGUUGAAGUCAUCGAGCACUCCGCCUGCAUUGAAGGUGCCCGUCGGGCCCUUGCCCGUGCUAAAGUGCACUAGGGCAGGAUGGACGCUGAGAAGCUUGUGACGGACGCGCCACCAUUGGGCAAGGAGUAUCGCACGUCCGAGAUGUAUUAUAAGGGUGUCCUGAAGGGUGCCCGCAUUAUUGCGGUGAGUUCUCCAAAGAUGUAAUUUUUUUAGUAGACUCGCAUUUUGUUAUCCUAUGCGCUGAAAACUUCGUUCAUAUGCGCUAAGCAAAACUUUUUAAUUUAAAAUAUUACCUUCUGUGCGGCCGUUUAUCAAAUCUGAGAGAUGGCAAGUCAUUGGCUUCGGCCCCCCAUGCCACGAGUGCUGGGGUGUUCGGGAUAAACUUGAGCGCUCUUGUUCCCAUUUUUGGGUCCAUCUAGGGAGGCGCUCAACACAACGAACGAGGCAACCGGACUUAUAAUGCUUGAACACUCUCACUUAGCCAUAGAAUUCUAUAAUUUUAAAUUUCGGCGAAGCCCCUAGUGUUCGGAAGGCCGAAUUCGGGGCGCUAUCCACGCCUGGGCCGGACAAAGCCGGUUCCUCGCUCUAAGCGGCAUAAGUCUUUAGGGACUCGAAAAAACCUCUCGAACGGCGACCGGCUCUCGCCCCAUCAUGACGGUCAGUUUUAGCUUUCUCCACUGAGGUGCUCGCCCAGCUCAACGGGGGCACAAUCGCAGUGGUUCUCCCAGCGCUACCUUAGCCGAUAUAACGGAACGUAAGGUACCAAAACAUGGGAGCCGGGCAAACCCAACUAUUGACCCAAGACAUGAUUCGGAGCCGAUGCAUAUAAUGCUAUUAGUUUGGGGUGCCGCACUUAUGAAAGUGUUCGGACUUAUCACACCAUAGUAUGGGGGACUUUAAGCCCCUGGUGUAUUUAGCCGUACCAAAGUGUACGGAUGCAACAUGUCAUAAGUGAACAUAUGUGUAAGAAAGGAAUGCAAUUAUAGGCAAAAAGCGAUGCAUUGUUUAUUCACAAAAAAAGGUACUGCCAUGAAUGCAGGACGAUACAAAUAGUGCGAUAAGCAAGGGGUGGGACUAUUUAACAUGUCCCCCUCCAGGGGUAGGCUGCGGAAUGGUGUAUAAAAUAGGUAUAAUGCUCGUAAUGGAGACCACCUGGAUGUUCGUCGUGGCUUUUCUUCUUCCCUGGCUGUUGUAUCGUGAGUCCGGCGGGUCUAAUGCCGGACAAGGCCUCUGGUAAACGGAGUCCUGAGGAAAAAGAGAAAAAAAAAGAUGAUGACCUAUUUUGGAGCCCCUGGUGUGGUUGAGCCGCACUCUGGGCCUGCCGUGGUUGUGCCCCUCCCCCUUUGCCCAUGGUAUUUCCAGAGCGUAGUGAUGUACGCGGAGUACUGGUUUUGCAAUUUUGUAAGGGCUGGAGUUUGGGCCGCAUUGCUACGCGUGCUCGGAACGUGCCAGGUGGUCUUGUUGUAGGUUACUCCGGGCGCGCUUGACGGUGUCCGGUCGCUUAGCAGCCGGACUCGAGAAUUGCCUUAAGAGGCUACUCUGAACCUCCGCCGCGAGGGCCGCUGUGUGCUCCUCCGUUCAGAGAGAGCGUUCGGUGUUUCCGUUGACCGUGAUGACUCCUCGAGGGCCUGACAUCUUGAGCUUGAGGUAUGCGUAGUGCGGCACCGCAUUGAAUUUUGCAAACGCGGUUCCUCCGAGCAGUGCAUGAUAGCCGCUGCGGAACGGAACUAUGUCGAAGAUUAACUCCUCACUUCGGAAGUUAUCUGGGGAUCCGAAGACCACUUCCAGUGUAACCGAGCCUGUACAAUUGGCCUCUACACAUGGUAUGAUGCCUUUGAAGGUCGUCUUUGUGGGUUUAAUCCUUGAGGUGUCUAUGCCCAUCUUACGCACUGUAUCCUAGUAAAGCAGGUUCAGGCUGCUGCCGCCAUCCAUCAGGACUCUAGUGAGGUGAAACCCGUCGACGAUUGGGUCUAGAACCAAUGCGGCAAAUCCGCCAUGGCAGAUGCUGGUGGGGUGGUCCCUUCGAUCAAAAGUGAUCGGGCAGGAGGACCAUGGAUUGAACUUUGGGGUGACUGGCUCCAUCGCGUAUACGUUCCCGAGUGCACGCUUCCGCUCCCUUUUGGGUAUGUGGGUUGCGUAUAUCAUGUUCACCGUCCGCACCUGUGGGGGGAAACCCUUCUGUCCUCUAUUGUUCGGCGGCCAGGUCUCUUCCUCGUCAUCGCUAUGCAGCCCCUUGUCAUUGUUUUCGGCAAUUAACUUGCCUGCCUGCUUGAAUACCCAACAAUCCCUGUUGGUGUGAUUAGCUGGCUUUUCGGGGGUGCCGUGUAUCUGGCACGAGCGGUCGAGUAUUCUGUCCAAAUUGGAUGGACCCGGAGUAGUUCUCUUGAAUGGCUUUUUCCGCUGACCGGGUUUGGAGCCUCUGAAUCCGGCGUUGACUGUCGUAUCCUCAAUAUUAUCGCCGUUAAUGCGGCAUUUGUGCUUGGUGCGACGUGACCUGCCAUUGCGGUCCUUGGUAUCCGGACUGCCAGAAUUUUUGUUGAGGUUGUUACUGCGGGCUAGCCAGCUGUCUUCUCCCACGCAGAAGUGGGUCAUGAGUGAUGCGAGGGCUGCCAUGGAUUUCGGCUUCUCCUGUCCUAGGUGCCGGGCGAGCCACUCGUUGCGGAUGUUAUGUUUGAAGGCUGCGAGGGCCUCUGCAUCCGGACAGUCGACGAUUUGAUUUUUCUUGGUUAAGAACCGUGUCCAGAAUUCUCUGGCCGAUUCGUCUGGCUGCUAAAUUAUGUGGCUUAGGUCAUCAGCAUCUGGUGGUCGCACAUAUGUGCCCUGGAAGUUAUCAAGGAAUGUGGCUUCCAGGUCCUCCCAACACCCAAUUGAUUCUGCUGGCAAGUUGUUAAGCCAAUGCCGAGCUGGUCCUUUAAGCUUGAGUGGGAGGUAUUUGAUGGCGUGAAGAUCAUCACCGCGGGCCAUGUGGAUAUUAAGGAGAUAGUCCUCGAUCCAAACCGCGGGGUCUGUUGUGCCAUCGUAGGAUUCAAUGUUCACGGGUUUGAACCCUUCGGGGAUUUGGUGAUCCAUUACUUCGUCUGUGAAGCAUAGUGGGUGUGCGGUGCCUCUAUAUUGGGUUAUAUCACGACAUAGCUCAAGCGAGCUUUGUCUACUGUGUUCGGCCCGGCCGGGAUUGUUGUAUCCAGCGCGACGGUUGUUGUCGCGUAUCGUGGGGCGCCCACGUGAUCUGUAGAUCGAUCUUGAUUGUCUUGCCUUAUCCUCCAAUAUGUCUCGCAAGUCCGGCGCAUUCUCCCGUGGCUUUGUACUUUUUGAGCGAUGUCGGGGUACGGCUUUAGUGGAGGGCCUAGAGGCCUCUCUGUCGCGGCCACGAGGUGGCUGGUCGGCCGUAUUGUGCACUGGUGAUGUAGGUUUAUAUGCUUCCUCCUCUGAUCGAGGCAGCAGCUUGCGUUUGGGGUAGCUUUUGGAGGGGCGUUCGAGUUCGUACUCUUCGGCCGCAAGGACUUCAGUCCAUCUGUCGUCUAGCAAAUCUUGGUCAGCUCUAAGCUAUUGCUGCUUUUUCUUGAGGCUGCUUGCCAUGGCCAUAAGCCUGCGUUUAAAACGCUCUUGUUCGAUGGGAUCCUCAGGCACGAUGAAUUCGUCGUCGUCGAGGCUUGCCUCGUCUCCGCAGGGAGGCAUGUAAUUAUCGUCCUCUACCUCUUUGUCUGCCGCUCUCUCGUGAGGGCUGGCUUCUUCAUCCUCCUGUGAUGAAUCUUGCUGGAGGGGGUUGUCUUCGGCACUGUUCGGGGUGUUAUUGUAUCUGGUGCCAGAAUCUCCAUUCUUGCUGUGGCGGGAUUUAGAGCGCCCCGCUGAUGCCAGCGCUUAGGCUGUUUCUUGGAGGGGUCUUCCUCCACUGUUCCAUCGCCAUUCCCAUCCUUUGGGAUGUCUACCAUGUAUAUGUCGUAUGACGAGGUGGCUUUCCAGUGCCCCGCAGGCGCUGGUUCUUGGUCGUCUCCGACAUCGUCGUCCAUACCAUCGAUGUCUUCGGAGUCGAAGUCUAGCAUGUCGGUUAGGUCGUCGACAGUGGCUACAAAGUGGGUGGUGGGUGGGCUUUGAAUUUCUUCGUCGUCCACAUCCCAACCGUCCUGACCGUGGUCCGGCCAGGGCUCUCCUGAUAACUAGAGAUACUUUAGCGAAUUUAGGAUGUCGCCAAAGGCGAGUGUUGAAAGAUGUCCGCAGCGGUGAACUCCAUGAUCGGUGCCCAAUCGGAUUCGAUUGGUAGGGGCGCGGGAGGUUCGGAUUCCGACGAGGAAUCCGUCGCCUCGGAGUCACGAGCUUUACAAGGGAUAGGGUCGGUAUUCGGCUCCAUCGCCGUAGAGGUAGCAGCCCCUGAGGUGGUGUCUAGCCACCCAUCCUCGAUCGGCACAGUCGGCUCUGAGUUAAGGGUCGGAGCGGACUCUUGUGCAGCCUCCAGGGCACUGUCCGGCAGCAGAGCUAGAUCAUGCCCAUCGUGACAGUGCGGCGCGCUCGGCUGUGGCUUGAAUCCAUCGAAGAUCAAGUCUCCGCGGAUGUCGGCCGUAUAGUUCAAACUUCCAAAUCUGACUUGAUGGCCAGGGGCGUAGCUUUCGAUCUGCUCCAGAUGGCCAAGCGAAUUGGCCCGCAGUGCAAAGCCGCCGAAUACAAAGAUUAUGUCCGGGGAGAAAAGUCUCACCCUGGACCGCAUCGUUGUUGAUGAUCAAAGGAGCCAUCGGGCCUAUGGGCGAUGACACAGAGGAACUCUCAAUGAAAGCACCAAUGUCGGUGUCAAAACCGGCGGAUCUCAGGUAGGGGGUCCCGAACUGUGCGUCUAGGCGGAUGGUAACAGGAGACAAGGGACACGAUGUUUUUACCCAGGUUUGGGCCCUCUCGAUGGAGGUAAAACCCUACUCCUUCUUGAUUGAUAUUGAUGAUAUGGGUAGUACAAGAGUAGAUCUACCACGAGAUCAAGGAGGCUAAACCCUAGAAGCUAGCCUAUGGUAUGAUUGUUGUUCGUCCGAUGGACUAAAACCCUCCAGUUUAUAUAGACACCGGAGAGGGCUAGGGUUACAAAGAGUCGGUUACAAUGGUAGGAGAUCUACAUAUCCAUAUUGCCAAGCUUGCCUUCCACGCCAAGGAAAGUCCCCUCCGGACACGGGACAAAGUCUUCAAUCUUGUAUCUUCAUAGUCUUGGAGUCCGGCCAAUGAUGAUAGUUCGGCUAUCCGGACACCCCCUAGUCUAGGACUCCCUCAGGGGCUCUUCGGUCCGAAGCUCGAAGGGUAAGCAGAAUAAGGAGAACAAAAAGCCCACGUACAAUCUUCCUCGCACCGCCGAAAUCCGGCCAUGCGAAUGACCUUGUGAUGUGUUCCUAAGGGCCGCUGGAAUUUAUGAUGACUUUAUUACUUGGCUGAGAACGCAGGCCUCAUCGACUUCCUCCACGACUACCGCGAAUAGUAUCUCCUACUCACUAAUAUUUUUGUGCAAAAUUUUUAUUUCCAUGCUAAGAAAUCACCACCUUCAGUGGAGUUUCACUUAUAUGAUGAGGUUAAGGAGAUGUCACUCCAUGAUUUUGUCGGUUCUGCAAGAUACCCUUUGUGGGUAGCAUCGAGGAACUACAUCAUAGUGAUGUGGAUGGAUUUAUUGAUAGAAUUGUUGUAUGGGAAACAAGAAAGUUUCUGAUGCAAGAAUUACUAGUAUAUAUUUUCCUGUUCUACGUUACUUUGUGAUAUUUUCUAGUAGGUGCUUAAUUGGUCGCGGGAAUAGUGAAAAUCUUAGUGCUCCUGAUCUUGUUAUUUUGCGCCAUGCUUUGUUUCGUGAUACAACUUCAGCCUAGGCGCUAUUGUUGCUAAACGGUUAAGUCUAAACCGUACAAAGUGCCCCAUCUUUGGCGGUACCUUUGUUUCACGCCUUGCUAAACACUUUGAGAUACCUAUUAGGCAUUAUGAGAAAUAGGAAAAGUUGCUGCUCCAUAUUUUUCUAGAUUAUAAGAGUAUGGUAGCACAUGAAUUUAUUAUUAAGAAUAAGAAGAAGAUGCUUAAGUAUAACUUGAUAUUUGAUAAAACUCACUGUUAGACUAUUACCUUGCCUGCACCCUCUUUGUUUAACAUACUUUCAUGCACGUACCUAAUCUUGCCCGAGGCCAUUUAUGCAUACUGGAGACUGACACAAGUCCCAGAGUGUGAGCCUGAGCCACCACUUGACCCUUAUUGACAGUCUGUUUAUCAGUGGGAUCCGGAGGAGCUCGCCAACUAGUGGCACCCUGAGGACCCUCCUUAGUACACCGGAGAGGGUAGCUUCGAGCAGUGGCCAUAGACCAACUUAGGCCAAAAGCCUAAGCUUGGGGGAGUAUGUAUCUCUCACCGACAUUACAUUCAUGUUCACACACUCAUGCUAGUUGUUGGUGCUCAUACUUUUUCAUUGUACUAUCCAUGCUAGUUUAUUUUCUUUUCUUGCUUUCUUCUUGUGUGUUUGAUAAACUUUGAGAAAAAAAAACCAAAAAAAUUAGUUGUAGCUUUUAGCUAGUUUUACUUUCCAUGCUUGUAGUAGUAGUAAUUAAAAGAAAACUCAAAAAGAUUUCUCGCUCUUCUUUUGCUUGUUGGGAGCUUUCCCGUGUAAAUAGUUUUAUUUCUUUUCUUUUCUUUGGGGGUCGAGAGGACAAGACCACGACAAAAAUGUUGAGUGGCUCUCAUAUGCAUUAUUGUUGAUCUAACCAAGAGCCCAUAUUACCUUGUCUUCUCCUUUGUAUUAAAUGCUUGCAGAUUCCAGCUUAGUCCAAUGCACAUGCACUAUUAUUAUUAUCCACACCAUUCGCUCGUGCGAGUGAAAGGCAAUAAUGAUGAUAUACGAUGGACUGAUUGAGAUUAGAGAAGCUGGUAUGAACUCGACCUAUCUUUGUUUUUGUAAAUAUGAUUAGUUCAUUGUUCCUGCUUCAGCCUAUUAUGGAUGAAACAUGUUUGCAAUGACAAUUAGAGAUUAUAGUUGCUCAUGUCAUGCUUAAUUAGCUAGGAGUUUAUAAUGGUUUACCUUGCGUGCGAACAUGCUAUUAAAACGGUUGUGAUGUGGUAUGAUAGGGUGGUAUCCUCCUUUGAAUGAUUCGAGUGGCUUGACUUGGCACAUGUUCACGCAUGUAGUUGAAACAAAAUCAACAUAGCCUCCACGAUAUUUAUGUUCAUGGUGAUUUAAAUCCUACUCAUGCUUGCACUCAUUGUUGAUUAAUCUUAAUGCAUGUUCAUGAUUGUUGUCGCUCUCUAGUUGGUCGCUUUCCAGUCGCUUUCUAGCCUUCACUUGUACUAAGCGGGAAUACCGCUUGUGCAUCCACUUCCAUAAACCCCAAAGUUAUUCCAUAUGAGUCCACCAUACCUUCCAAUAUGCGGUAUUUACCUGCCGUUCCAAGUAAAUUUGUAUGUACCAAGCUCUAAACCUUCAAAUCAAAUUCUGUUUUGUAUGCUCGAAUAGCUCAUGUAUCAACUAGGGAUGUCUAUAUCUUCCAUGCAAACAAAACUCCCCCAUGAUUGUUGUUAGUUGGACGGCACCCGUUGUUUCGGACAAGCCAUGGAUUGAUGUUUGUUGGUGGUGGGGGAGUAUAAACUUUACCAUUCUGUUUGGGAACCGCCUAUAAUGUGUGUAGCAUGGAAGAUUUCGAGAUCUCUUGGUUGUUAUGUUGACAAUGAAAGUUUGCUGCUCAAAAUAUUAUUUAUCUCUGUUUCAAAAUUCGAGCUCUGGCACCUCUGCAAAUCCCUGCUUCCCUUUGCGAAGGGCCCUAUCUAUUUACUUUUAUGUUAAGUCACCAUCCUCUUAUUAAAAAGCACCGGUUGGAGAGGACCGUUGUCAUUUGCAUGUGUUGCUAUUUAAUUUACAUUGAGUAUGACUGGAUCUCUUUUACCAUGAAUUACAAUGUCUAGUCAGUCCUUGAUCUUCAGGGGUGCUCUUCAUUUAUGUUUUGCGGUCUCAGAAAGGGCUAGCGAGAUACCAUCUUGUUAUAUCUUGUUAUGAUUGUUUCGAGAACGUGUUGUCAUCCGAGAUUUAUUAUUAUUGCUCGCUAGUUGAUUAUACCAUUGAUAUGAGUAAACAUGAGAUCUAAAUGUUAUUGUGAAUAUGGUUAGUUCAUAAUCUUUGCUGAAAACUUGAAUGUUGGCUUUACAUAUUUGCAAAAACAAGAUCAAACAGAGUUUGUAAAAGUUUUUAUUUAUCACUUUCAGUUUGUCAACUGAAUUGCUUGAGGACAAGUGAAGGUUUAACCUUGGGGGAGUUGAUACGUUUCCAACGUAUCUACUUUUACAAACACUUUUGCCCUUGUUUUUGACUCUAACUUGCAUGAUUUAAAUUGAACAAACCCAAACUCAUGCUGUUUUCAGCAGAACUGCCAUGGUGUUAUUUUUGUGCAGAUAUAAAAGCUCUCGGGAUGACCUGAAAAUCCAUGGAGCAACCUUUUGGAAUUAAUAAAAAAUAUUAACGAAAGAAUCAGCAUCAGGGGGCCCACACCCUGUCCACGAGGGUGCAGGGCGCUCCCCCUAUCUCAUGGGCCCCCUGGGACUCCACGGACCUCAACCCCAACUCCGUAUAUUCACUUUCAGGGAGAAAAAAAUCAGAGAGAAGGAUUCAUCGCAUUUAACAAUACGAAGCCGCCGCCAAACCCUAAUCUUCCUCGGGAGGGCUGAUCUGGAGUCCGUUCGGGGCUCCGGAAAGGGGAAUCCGUCGCCAUCGUCAUCAUCAACCAUCCUCCAUCACCAAUUUCAUGAUGCUCACCUCCGUGCGUGAGUAAUCCCAUCGUAGGCUUGCUGGACGGUAAUGGGUUGGAUGCGAUUUACCAUGUAAUUGAGUUAGUUUUGUUAGGGUUUGAUCCCUAGUACCCAUUAUGUUCUAAGAUUGAUGUUGCUAUGACUUUGCCAUGCUUAAAUCUUGACACUAGGGCCCGAGUGCCAUGAUUUCAGAUCUGAACCUAUUACGUUUUCAUGAAUAUAUGUGAGUUCUUGAUCCUAUCUUGCAAGUCAAUAGUCACCUACUAUGUGUUGUGAUUCGGCAACCCCGAAGUGACAAUAAUCGGGACCACUCCCAGUGAUGACCGUAGUUUGAGGAGUUCAUGUAUUCACUAAGUGUUAAUGCUUUGGUCUGGUACUCUAUUAAAAGGAGGCCUUAAUAUCCCUUAAUUUCCAAUAGAACCCUGCUGCCAGGGGAGGGUAGGACAAAAGAUGUCAUGCAAGUUCUUUUCCAUAAGCACGUAUGACUAUAUUCGAAAUACAUGCCUACAUUACAUUGAUGAACUAAAGCUAGUUCUGUGUCACCCUAUGUUAUAACUAUUGCAUGAGGAAUCGCAUCCGACAUAAUUAUCCAUCACUGAUCCAUUACCUAUGAGCUUUUCACAUAUUGAUCUUUGCUUAGUUACUUUUCCGUUGUCACUGUUACGAUUACUACAAAACUGCUACUGUUACUUCUGUCACCGUUACCGUUACCUCCAUACUACUUUGCUACUAAAUACUUUGCUGCAGAUAUUAAGUGUUUCAGGUGUGGUUGAAUUGACAACUCAGCUGCUCAUACUUAAAAAUAUUCUUUGGCUCCCCUUGUGUCGAAUCAAUAAAUUUGGGUUGAAUACUCUACCCUCGAAAACUGUUGCGAUCCCCUAUACUUGUGGAUUAUCAAUUCCCUAUACCCAAGCAACCACAUAUCGCAAUGAAAGAUUGUAGUGAAUUUGGUAUAGCUUUAAGAGCAUCUCCACUCGUUCGCCCCCCUAGUGCAUAGGCCGGUGCUCUUUCAGGCGUUCACCCGGUAAUUUUAGGCCCAGGGGGCGAUCAAGGCCCCAGCCACGCCCCAGGUGCCGCUCCCCAAGAUGCAGCAUAUUCAAACUUGAUCCGUUCUGAUGUCUACUAUGCAACCUUCUUCUUGUAGAUGUUGUUGGGCCUCCAAGUGCAGAGGUUUGUAGGACAGUAGCAAAUUUCCCUCAAGUGGAUGACCUAACGUUUAUCAAUCUGUGGGAGGCAUAGGAUGAAGAUGGUCUCUCUCAAACAACCCUGCAACCAAAUAACAAAGAGUCUCUUGUGUCCCCAACACACCCAAUACAGUGGUAGAUUGUAUAGGCGCACUAGUUCGGCGAAGAGAUGGUGAUACAAGUGCAAUAUGGAUAGUAGAUAUAGGUUUUUGUAAUCUGAAAAUAUAAAAACAGCAAGGUAACUAAUGAUAAAAGUGAGCGAAAACGGUAUUGCAAUGCUUCGAAACAAGGCCUAGGGUUCAUACUUUUACUAGUGCAAGUUCUCACAACAAGGAUAACAUAAUUAGAUCAUAUAACAAUCCCUCAACAUGCAACAAAGAGUCACUCCAAAAUCACUAAUAGUGGAGAACAAAUGAAGAGAUUAUUGUAGGGUACGAAACCACCUCAAAGUUAUUAUUUCCAAUCAAUCCGUUGGGCUAUUCCUACAGCCCUAGAGUUCAUAGUAAAAUAACACCUUAAGACACACAUCAACCAAAACCCUAAUGUCACCUCAAGUAUCUGUGUGUAUGAUUAUACGAUAUGCAUCACACAAUCUCAGAUUCAUCUAUUCAACCAACACAAAGAACUUCAAAGAGUGCCCCAAAGUUUCUACCGGAGAGUCAAGAUGAAAACGUGUGCCAACCCCUAUGCAUAAGUUCACAAGGUCACUGAACCCGCAAGUUGAUCACCAAAACAUACAUCAAGUAGAUCACGUGAUAUCCCAUUGUCACCACAGAUAAGCACAUGCAAGACAUACAUCAAGUGUUCUCAAAAUCCUUAAGGACUCAAUCCGAUAAGAUAACUUCAAAGGGAAAACUCAAUCCAUUACAAGAGAGUAGAGGGGGAGAAACAUCAUAAGAUCCAACUACAAUAGCAAAGCUCGCGAUACAUCAAGAUCAUGCCAAAUCAAGAACACAAGAGAGAGAGAGAGAGAUCAAACACAUAGCUACUGGUACAUACCCUCAGCCCCGAGGGUGAACUACUCCCUCCUCGUCAUGGAGAGUGCCGGGAUGAUGAAGAUGGCAACCGGUGAUGGAUCCCCCCUCCGGCAGGGUGCCGGAACGGGCUCCCGAGAGGUGCUUCGUGGCUACAGAGGCUUGCGGCGGUGGAACUCACGAUCUAGGUUAUUUUCUGGGGGUUUCUGUAUUUAUAGGAAUUUUUGGCGUGGUCUCANNNNNNNNNNNNNNNNNNNNNNNNNNNNNNNNNNNNNNNNNNNNNNNNNNNNNNNNNNNNNNNNNNNNNNNNNNNNNNNNNNNNNNNNNNNNNNNNNNNNNNNNNNNNNNNNNNNNNNNNNNNNNNNNNNNNNNNNNNNNNNNNNNNNNNNNNNNNNNNNNNNNNNNNNNNNNNNNNNNNNNNNNNNNNNNNNNNNNNNNNNNNNNNNNNNNNNNNNNNNNNNNNNNNNNNNNNNNNNNNNNNNNNNNNNNNNNNNNNNNNNNNNNNNNNNNNNNNNNNNNNNNNNNNNNNNNNNNNNNNNNNNNNGGGGUCCGAGUUGUCCACGAGAUAGGGGGCGCGCCCAGGGGGUAGGGCGCGCCCAGGGGGUAGGGCGCGCCCUCCACCCUCGUGGAUGGCUCGGGACUCUUCUGGCCCAACUCUUUUACUUCGGGGGACUUCUUUUGGUCCAUAAAAAAUCAUCAAAAAUUGGCACGUCAAUUGGACUCCAUUUGGUAUUCCUUUUCUAUAAAACUUAAAAACAAGGAAAAAACAGAAACUGGCACUGGGCUCUAGGUCAAUAGGUUAGUCCCAAAAAUCAUAUAAAAUAUCAUAUAAAUGCAUAUAAAACAUCUAAGAUGGGUAAUAUAAUAGCAUGGAACAAUAAAAAAUUAUAGAUACGUUGGAGACGUGUCACGUUCCCGCUCCAAAAAAACGCCAUAAUCCUGCGAUCGGCACAACAGUUCGGCGAUCAAAUGAAAAGUUUGACACACAAAAAGAAAGGACACGCAAGGAAUGCAUCCGACGGCGGGGCCGGCCUCCAGCGUCAGUGUCGGCGUGUGCGGGCUGGGCAGCGUCAGCGUGGCUUCUGGGCUGGUCGGCGCGGCUUCUGUGCUACUGGUCACCGCGGAGGCAUCAUCACUUGGGUAGGGCUAUGGCAUUGGCGUCGGCGUGGGAGUUGGCGUAGGCGUUGCCGGUAUCUGGUUCAGGAUGAGGCACUCGUCUUCCUUGGGCACCCACUUGAUGCACGGCUCGUCGGUCUUUGGCCGCUCGUUUCUUCUUCUUCUUGCCUUUCCUUGUCGGAGCAGGCGUCGGCUGCUCCUCCUACUCCUCCAGCUCUUCCUCUCCGUAGUCGAGCUCGCCGUCCAUGUCAUCGAGAUCAAUUGAGUCGUCUUGGGCAGUGAACCCGGGGGAAGCAGCGGCGGCAACCGAGCCGGCUGCGAUGAUGUCUUCCAUGUUGGCCUCCGUCGCGUCAGCGUGGCCAAGAUGCGACGAGGAGGCUUGUGAGAAGAGCAGCUGGCUGCAGCAGAGAGGUGGUGUCGGGGAGGCUGCAUAGUCCGGCGGCGAGUAUGUGUAUGGAGGCUACUGCAUGCCGGUGAACGCGGGCGAGGGCAUGCGAUGGACCGGGCGACCAUGGGGGAAGGUGACGUCGGGGUUGAACCCGCCGUGUACGUCAUCGUCGGCAUAGCCUGGCGACGGCGUGCAACCCCAUGGUUGUGGCAAUGACGAGAAGCCGGCCGGAGAUCCGACGCUUUGCUGGCUCCAGGCCGCGUGCAGGCCGUGGCUGCCGGGUGGAUGCAUCAUCCCCGCGCAAGCUGCCUCGGCUUGUUCGGCCGAGCGCUCCGCCUGCUCCCCCGCCACCGCAGCCGCGAGUGUCGCCCUCUCCCGGGCCUUCUUGGCCCUGUUGCGCCUAUCGGCGGUGAUGGCCUCCCGGCACUGCACUUCCGCCUUCCAGUCGGUGUUGGUCAUGCUCGGGGGCUUGGACGGUGGCGCCCUCUGCUUCCUCUACCUCGGCUGGGCGGCGGCGGCGGGUGUGGUAUCCGUCACGGCGCGGGGGAACACGUACUUUUGCGGCGGCAUGGCGCCCAGCUUGGAAGGCAGGAGGAGAAGAUUGGUGGGAGGAAUGGAAAAUGAGAGGGAAGCUGAGGGGGGGAGGAAACGGCGGGAAAAGGGCCUCCUCUCGCUGACAGAGCGGCCCCACGCCCCUUUUCGCUUCUAUCGGCGCCCCCAGGCGACACCCGGGCGCUUGGGUUUGGCUUGGGAUCGCCAGCUAUUAAUUUGGCCCAAACCGGCGCUAAAUGAGAUCCUAGGGGCGCGACUGGGCCGAUUUCGGCUGCCGGCGCUAAAAAAUCGCAUUGGGGGGCCUGUUGGGAGCGCGGCUGGAGAUGCUCUAAUGAACAUGCUACCAUUCCAUGUGACAAACUAGCUAUCGAGCUUAUAUCAAAUGUUCUCUGUAAAUGAGAACAAGACAUCACGUAUAGAACCUAUAAGGGGUACUUCAACAUCUAUGGCGAAAUCCCUGUUCACCAUGUUGAACCUAGGCAGCGGCAACAACUGUGGAUAUCAUUCCCUUCUUGGGGCACUGCCAUGGCUUUCUCCAUGCUUCUCUUCGAGCGCCAGGUCUUGGAUCGAAUGGCGACGACGUCAUGGCAUUGAUACGUCUCCAACGUAUCUACUUUUCCAAACACUUUUGCCCUUGUUUUGGACUCUAACUUGCAUGAUUUGAAUGGAACUAACCCAGACUGACGCUGUUUUCAGCAGAAUUGCCAUGGUGUUAUUUUUAUGCGGAAAUAAAAGUUCUCAGAAUGACCUGGAACUCCAAGGAGUCACGUUUUGGAAUUAAUAAAAAAAUUGGCAAAAGAAUCAACAGAGGGGGCCCACACCCUGUCCGCGAGUGUGCAGGGAGCGCCCCCUACCUUGCGGGCCCCCUGAACCUCCACCGACCUCAACUCCAACUCCAUACAUUCACGUUCGGGGAGAAAAAUCAAAGAGAAGGAUUCAUCGCAUUUUACGAUACGGAACCGCCGCCAAGCCCUAAUCUUCCUCGGGGGGGCUGAUCUGGAGUCCGUUUGGGGCUUCGGAGAGGGGAAUCCGUCGCCAUCGUCAUCAUCAACAAUCCCCCAUCACCAAUUUCAUGAUUCUCACCGCCGUGCGUGAGUAAUCCCAUCGUAGGCUUGCUGGACAGUGAUGGGUUGGAUGAGGUUUACCAUGUAAUCGAGUUAGUUUAGUUAGGGUUUGAUCCCUAGUAUCCAUUAUGUUCUAAGAUUGAUGUUGCUAUGACUUUGCCAUGCUUAAUGCUUGUCACUAGGGCCUGAGUGCCAUGAUUUCAAAUCUGAACCUAUUAUGGUUUCAUGAAUAUAUGUGAGUUCUGAAUCCUAUCUUGCAAGUUAUAGUCACCUACUACGUGUUAUGAUCCGGCAAACCCCGGAGUGACAAUAGUCGGGACACUUCCCGGUGAUGACCGUAGUUUGAGGAGUUCAUGUAUUCACUAAGUGCUAAUGCUUUGGUCCGGUACUCUAUUAAAAGGAGGCCUUAGUAUCCCUUAGUUUCCAAUAGGACCCCGCUGCCACGGGAGGGUAGGACAAAAGAUGUCAUGCAAGUUCUUUUCCAUAAGCACGUAUGACUAUAUUUGGAAUACAUGCCUACAUUACAUGGAUGAAGUGGAGCUAGUUCUGUGUCACGUUAUAUUAGAACUGUUGCAUGAUGAAUUGCAUCCGACAUAAUUAUCCAUCAUUGAUCCAUUGCCUAUGAGCUUUUCACAUAGGUAUCUUUGCUUAGUUAUUUCUCCGUUGCCACUGUUACGAUUACCACAAAACUACUACUGUUACUUUUGCCACCGUUACCGUUACUUCCAUACUACUUUGCUACUAAAUACUUUGCUACAAAUAUUAAGUCUUUCAGGUGUGGUUGAAUUGACAACUCAGCUGCUACUACUUGAGAAUAUUCUUUGGCUCCCCUUGUGUCGAAUCAAUAAAUUUGGGUUGAAUACUCUACCCUUGAAAACUGUUGCGAUCCCCUAUACUUGUGGGUUAUCAAGACCUUUUUCUGGCGCUGUUGCCGGGGAAAAUAGCUCUAUUCUUUGAGUCACUUGGGAUUUAUAUCUGUUGAUCACUAUGAGGAACUUGAAAGAUGAAAGAACCAAGAUUUUUCCCUUAACUACGAGGGGAGGUAAGGAACUGCCAUCUAGAUCUGCACUUGAUUCACCUUCUGUUAUGAGUAAACUUACGACGCCUACACCUGCACCUGCUAUUGAUUCUGAUAUGUCGCAUGUUAUUGAUGAUGCCACUUCUGCUAUGCAUGAUGCUUAUGAUGAAACUACUUCUUUGCUUGAUAAUAAUGUACCAUUAGGUGAAUUUCUUGAUGAACAACUUGCUAGGGUUAGAGAGAAUGAAUUUAUUGAAACUGAUGAUAUUAAUGAAAGUGAUGAUGAAGAUUCUCCCCCUAUAUAUGAAUUGCCUUUGUGCCUGAGGGUUAUGUUAUGGAUGAAGAAACUGCUAGAGACCUUUUUGCUUGCAAUGAUAGAUAUGAUCUUAAGAAACUGUUAGCUAAGAUGAAAGAAAAGUCUUUGAAUGCUAGAAUGAAAUAGGACCCUGCUUUUGCUACUUCACCUAUUUGUGUUACUGAUAAGGAUUAUGAAUUCUCUGUUGAUCCUGAGUUAAUUACUUUGGUUGAAUCUGAUCCUUUCUAUGGCUAUGAAUUUGAAACUGGUGUGGCGCAUCUUACUAAAUUGAAUGAUAUAGCCACCCUAUUUCCUCAUGAGGAAAAAAUUCAUUAUUACUAUAUCCUUAAAUUGUUUCCUUUCUCAUUAAAGGGUGAUGCUAAAAUAUGGUUUAAUUCUCUUGCUCCUGCUUGUGUGCGUAGUCCCCAGGAUAUGAUUUAUUACUUCUCUGCAAAAUAUUUUCCCGCUCAUACGAAACAAGCUGCCUUAAGGGAAAUAAUUAAUUUUGUGCAAACUGAAGGAGAGAGUCUCCCACAAGCUUGGGGGAGGCUUCUUCGAUUACUUAAUGCUUUGCCUGAUCAUCCUCUCAAGAAAAAUGAAAUACUUGACAUCUUUUAUAAUGGACUAACCAAUGCUUCCAGAGACCAUCUGGAUAGUUGUGCCGGUUGUGUUUUCAUGGAAAGAACUGUUGAGCAAGCUCAAUUGCUAUUGAAUAAUAUAUUGAGUAAUGAUAAUGAUUGGACACUUCCUGAACCAACUCCUAAGCCAACUCCGAAGAAAAGGGGUAUUCUAUUUCUCAGUCCUAAAGAUAUGCAAGAGGCAAAGAAAUCUAUGAAAGAAAAAGGUAUUAAAGCUGAAAAUGUUAAGAAUUUACCACCUAUUGAAGAGAUACAUGGUCUUGAUAACCCAACACAGGUAGUAAAGUUAAAUUCUCUCUAUAGAUUUGAUAAGUGUGAAAUCCCAUCUACUAAGUUUGCCAGCCAAUGCUUGGAUGAGUUUGAUAAUUUUAUUGUUAAACAAGAAAACUUCAAUACUUAUGUUGGUAGACAAUUGAAACGUAAUGCUUAUAUGGUUGAACACUUGAGUGAUUAUAUGUCUAGAGUUAAAGGUGAUCUUAAGCUUAUUAGUAAACAUGCUUCCAUGGUUACCACUCAAGUCGAACAAGUGCUUAAGGCACAAGAUGAUUUUCUCAGUGAGUUAAAUAAUAAGAAUAGUGAUAAUGUUUUUAGGGUUAUGACUGGAGGUGGUAAAAUGACCCAGGAACCUUUGUAUCCUGCGGGCCACCCUAAGAGAGUUGAGCAAGUGUCGGGGGUUGGGUGCGACAUAUGCCAAAGGAUGGCUUAUCAUGGUGGGGGCGAGUAGAACGUCGCCGGUGCCUGGAAACGGGAUGAGGCGUAGACAUGCACGCCGGCGAAUCUUACCCAGCUUCGGGGCUCUCCGGGGAGAUAACACCCCUACUGCUGCUCUGCGGGGUCUCCGCAUGGUCACUAUGGCAAAGUGGCUACAAUGGCGCUCCUAGAGCUGUUUCGGGAGGCAAGAGGGAGCUCAACUGGCUCUCUCCUCCCCUGUCUAUGUGUCUAACUCUCUCAAAGGCCGAACCCUUUGCAUGGGCGCCCCGGGGGGUUUAUAUAGGCCUACCCCCCGGGGGUACAAUAGUAAUCUGACUGGGCGUGGCCCCCAGCCAUCUGUCUCUCAUGCCGCCGUCCUUCCUGCCGGUUUCUGGGGCCCGCCGACUGGUGGGUCCCGCGGACAAGCUGAACACUGUGCAGCACUCCUGAUGAUGCAGGCUUGGUCAUUGGGUCGUGGCAACAGUGCCGCCGUCUGUCAGGCGAUCACUGUCGCCACUCCCCAUCCAAUCUGGUUUAUGGCUUGCGGGGCCCUGGCGGGGAGACGGCCGACUCCGUGGAGGCCGACUCCCUUAGGGCCGUCUUCUGGCGCUCUGGCCGUCUCUGAUUCACCCACCGACGGGUGGCCCUGCGAUCUCUGGGCCGUACAGGCCGGCGUCGUGGGCACAGUGCUUCACGCACUGUGGCUGAGGUCAGGGGAGGCAUGGCAACAAUGUCGCGCCUCGCCGGAGAUCUCCCGGCGAUACGGCUCACUGUAGCCAUGCCAACCCCUCGUAGGCAGGAAGGGAAGGCCACAUCGGGGCCGUGCCCUACAUCGGUCUUUGUGAAAUGUCGCGGGCCGACUCCCAUAGUCGGCACUCCUGGAGGUCGCAAGCCGGGAGUCGGCUUGCUUUAAAGUCGUCAUCUGGGACUCGGCUUUUCGGAGGAACGCCCUCUGGGACUCGGCCUCUCCGAAGAUCGCCGGCUGGGACUCGGCCAGAGGGGCGCGGCCUGCCCCGAUGUCUUGAAAGAUCAUGGAUCCCGGGUCGGCCUACCCGUGGCCCAUUACUCCGACAGUAGUCCCCGAAGCUGGUGAAGCCCUGUGGGCGCCGUCUCGUGGGGCUUCAAAAGUUUCAAUCUUCCCAGCGCCGAUUCUGAGACUCGGCCGCUGUUUCUUCGGGCCGACUCGCCGAAGUCGGAUUUGUUCAACAAGGGGCCAUUAUUCGUAAGUCGCGGCGGGAAAACAGGCGGCGUACCGGAUACGCUUCCCUGCCGCCAUCGAGACGGUCCUAUCGCGUGGCGCCACGUGGGGAGGAUAGUCUGCCCACCCACGCGCGUGACGGGACGGGCCGCCAGGUGGGGCCCGCCAUUACCGCGCCUCGGCUUCCGAGCGGAUCCCCUGCGGCUGCGGACGGUUGGCAUCCCCACAUUGUUACUGCGCGCAGUAACUUCGUGGGGUAAAUCAUGGGCGGCGUGGGGCUUCGGGCGCAGUUAAUCCCACGCCCGCCCCCUCGGCUCCUCAGCCCGUAGGGCUAUAAAUAGGCGGGGAGGAGCGGGGCGGCACUGCGCGCACACCCUCUCCCCCGCUCUCCUGCCUUCUCUUCUUCCUCCGCCGCGAGCCGAAGCAUCCUCUCUCGUCGGCGAUGAGCUCUUCCUCCGCCGCGCCCCCCGCCUCGCGCUCCGGCGUAUGGGACGGCUCGGACGUGGAGGCAGAGCACAUCGAGUUUCUCCGCCGGACCCACCGUCUCCCGACCGCGGACCUGGUGCACGCCCGUCCCGCGCCGGCGGGAGAGAUCCGGCCCGCGCCGGAGGAGGGCGAGCGGGUCGUCUUCCGCUCGCACCUAAUGCGCGGGCUGGGGCUGCCGGCGAGUGGGUUCUUCCGCUCGUUUCUGGAGUUCCAUAAUCUUCAGCCGCACCACCUCACCCCAAACGCGGUGGUGCUGCUUUCCGCCUUCGCCACUCUAUGCGAAGGCUACCUCGGCGUUCUCCCCACCCUCGAGCUGUGGGGAGAAUUUUUCUCUUCGAAGCUCGGUCCUCAGGCUGCCGGCACGCCGGCUCAGUGCGGCACCUACAUCACGGUGCGGCGCUCGACGGCCGACAACCCUUUCCCUCCCAUCUCGUUGGUGAAGUCGGUGAAGAUGUGGCAGCGAUCUUACUUCUACGUGAAGAACAUCUCCACCGACGGCGACUAGGUCAAUUUGCCGCCCUUCGACCCCGAGCCUCUGACUGGCAGGCUCGCCAGUUGGUCCCACCGGUCCAAGUCGCUGUCCCCCUCCGGAGCCGGCUCCGUGGCGCGACUCCGAGUCCUGCUGCAGUCAGAGGGCCUCGUCGGAUCCGAUCUUCUGGCCGCCUUCGUGGGGCGCCGAGUCCUCCCGCUCCAGGGCCGGCCUCACCUCAUCUAUCAGAUGAGCGGCCGCCACGAUCCGAGCCGGCUGUGCACCAAGGAAAUGCCCCGCGGGGAGGUGGCGAACUUGGUGAACCACAUCGCGGACUGUGAGUUCACGGAGAACUGGCAGUUCGGCAAGGAGCCGUACUCGCGCGACAACCCCCCUCCAAUGGUAAGUCGCAUCCUUCUGUAGCUUGAUCCUCUUUGCAGCCGACUCCGGCCUCUAAUCAUCAUCGUUGGUUUCUUCUGGGCAGAAUCCCCUCACGGCGCCCGCAGCCGGCGCCAUGAGAGAGCCCCGCGACUACGUCCCAGAUCACGAGGACAAUGAUGUCGACGACCCCGACUUGGGGGCGGCGGCGCUGGAGGCCGACGCCGAAGGCGGCGGAGAGGGGGCAGACGGCGGCCUCAGGCCGUCGGCCACCUUCGCCGACUGGCCCGAGCACGACACCGACGUGGAAGUCGUCCCGCGCCAUUAGCCGAGGGCCGGCCCCUCCGGCCAAGUCGGUGCGAAGAGGCGUCACGCCGGGCCGAGCGCGCCCGGCGGCAAACAGAAGAAGUUCAAGGGGCGGCCACCGCGACCAAGCGGGAGGAGGCGGCCACGAAGGCCAACCGCUUCCGAAGGGAAGUGAGAAGGCCGCCGCUAGUUUCCGCGUAAGUCUUUUUCACUCUUUCGUUUUCUUUGUUGGAUCUUAUCCGAGUCUUCUUUGAUUUUUCCCUCCGGUCUUCUCCAGAGCUCCCCUCUCCCUUGAGAGAGCCGCCGUCCCCUCUGUCAUGGGGUCGGUAGAGACAUCCGCCAACAAUCGGCGGGUCGAUCCCGUCGCCGACCUUCGGGAGGCGACGAAACGGAAUGCGCGGGAGAAGCGCGACGAAGAGGAGGCCGACCGCCUGGAGAAAGCGGAGGCUGAGAAGGUGGCCGCCAAUGCCCAGAGGAGACUGGAGGAGGCCGAGACUGCCGCCGCGACAAAACAGCGCGCUGAGGAGGUCGCGCGUCGCCGAUCGGCUAUGCUCUUCCCUCCAUUGUCGUUGGCGCCGCUGGCUCCGGAGUUCACGGGGCAGACCGGAGAGGUCGGCGCCGAGAACCCUCUCGUGGAGGAGGGCGGCGACGUUUCAGGCUCGGACACCCACGCGCCGCCUCCGCUGCCUCCGCCUCCGUCUAGGAGGCCGCAUGGCAAGCAGCUGGUGGACCUGCAGGAUCCUCCGACUACGGACGAUGCCGAGGCGCGGCUGCUUCUUCAAGUUGCCGUUCCUGCGCGCCGCCGGCUUGAGAGGACGAGCUCGGCGCCGCGAGCUCGGGAGACUGGCGCAGCCAGCUCGGCGAAUCUGGACGUCGAGGCCUCCAGUGCCGCGCCCACCGGCUGGUUGCGCGGAGGCGGCACCGGCCUGCUGAAUCAGGCCCUCCUGGACGUCCAGUCAAAGCUGCGCGCGGAGAGCGACGCCCUCCAACUCUGCACCAGAGCGCAUCUGGCCAUGCGGACAUCCGUCCGGGUAUGUUUCCUUUCUCUUUUUUAAUUUCUGUCUUUCUCUGUGGGGGCGCGCCAGCGCACCCACUGGGUGUAGUCCCCGAGUUCCGGGCCGGCUGCUGAGGAGGCGGUUCGGAACUCCCUUUGGUGAGCUCCGAGUACUAACUUUUGCCUUUGCCGGCUUUUUGCAGGAAUAUCAUAAUCUCCGGGCCACUGCCUUCAACCGCAAUGUUGAGGAGCUGAAUAAGCGGACCGCCGACCUGACGGAAAGCCGAGGUGAGUUAUUUCUUCCUUCUUCGCGGGGGCGCGCUGGCGCACCCACGGGCUGUAGUCCCCGAGAUUCGGGCCGACUGCUGAGCAGUCGGGCCGGAUCUCUCCGGCAAUCUACUUUCCUUCUUCUCCGCGGGGGCGCGCUGGCGCACCCGCGGGCUGUAGUCCCCGAGAUUCGGGCCGACUGCUGAGGAGUCGGGCCGGAUCUCCCCGGCGAUCUACCUUACUGAUGACUUUCUUGUUUUCCUCUUCGCUCUUCAGGCGCCAAUGCCACCCUCCAGGAGCAGCUGGGCGAGGCCAACACUGCUCGUCGUGCCAAGGAAGAGGAGUGCGACAGGCUCGCCAAAGAGCGCGAUCUGCUGGCGACGCGGCUGGCCGAGCAGAAGGAGUUGCUCCGGAAGGCGCAGGACGAUGCCAAGUCGCGGGAGGUCGCCCUCAUGGCCGAGUUCGAGGUCGAACGCUCCGCCUGGACCGAUCGGGAGGCGAUGCUGACCUCCGGCUACCACGAGCUCGAGGACAUCGUUGAUGGUAAGUCUUUUUCGCUUCUUUGGUCUUCCGACUCUGUGUCGGGCUGAUUUCUGAUUUCCCGACUAUCUUCUUUUCUACCUUGUCAGACUUCUUUCCCGGCCAUUCACAAGCCGUCCCUCUGGCCAUCGAGGCGGCUCGGGAGGCGCGAAGGGCGAGGGGUGAGGUGAUUGCCGCCAACGCCCCCCGUACCAUCGACGAGCAGCUUCUGAGCAUCGGGGCUCGUCUUCAUCCUGCUCACCGCCUGCUGCGCCCUCUUCAGCGUGCCGGUGCCCAAGUGGUUGCCGCCCUGUGGCCGGACGUGCCUGCUCUUCGCACCGCCAGUCGGACCGCCGACUAGCUGGAAGUCGCCGCCGGCCGCCUUGAGGCUUGGAAGGGCUCCUCGGCCCGGGCCGGAGCACGCCGGGCCUUGGAGUUCGUCAAGGCGUGGUACCCGGGGUUGGACCUGGACCGCCUGGCCGCGUUUCGGUCAGAAGCCCAGGCCGAGCUGGAGGCCGUAGAAGGCACCCUUGUCGAGCGUGCGGCGGCCAUCGUCGAGUACACGGACACCAGCGUCUUCGUGCCCGAGCAGACUGAAGGCGGCGAGGAGGCACCGCCGGACUAGUUCGGGAUGAACCCGGAGUACGAGGAAGACUCGGCGGAGGUGAUCGACUCCAGCGCCGAGGAGGAGGACGAGUCGGAGGACGGAGGCGAGGAGGAGGCGCCAGAAGACGAAGCAGGCGGCCAGCCUCAGCCCGAUCGCGCCUCCAGCAACGAGCCGUGCGGGGACAAGGCGACCGCCGCCGGAGGCGACCAGGCUGAGACCGCCCAGCCGACUGCCCCGGCAUCCGACACCGCCGUCACCUCUAAUCCUCCGGCUCCGGAGGCCGCCUCCUAGACUGCUUCUGUUUAUCUGUCUUCAUUAAUCUUUUUGAAAGACUUUUUAGGUUCGAACAAUUCCACCCACGGGGUGUAUCCUGAAUUCUUAUUCGGAGAUUCGGCUGAGGGCCUUUGUAAAUAUUUAUCUAAUUUCCGCCUUUCCCUGCUUGUUGCUCCUUAGACUUUUUUUCCUUUGCCACUUUCCUUUAGUUGCCGCCUUGCCGGCUGGGCAGCCGCUCUGCGGACUGUCGCCAGGUCAAGUGCUUGGCUACUUCAGGAAGGCAAGUACUUAGCCAUUUAGAGUUUCUCCAGCAAAUCGGCUAGAAAGCGACAGGCCGACUAUUCGAGAGUCGGCUGUCCUUGAUAAAAGUCGAGACAGCAAGCUGAGUGCUCAUGAGUCGGCUCGGUGGGGGGAGGCUGGUAGCCGGCUUGGGCUAUGCGUAAGCUUUUAGGUCCUUAGCCAUUUUUCGUGCGUGCGCUCGUUCUUGCUUGUCCCCUGCCUACCGACAGUCGCUCUGCGAGCUGCGGCUUUCGACAGGAGACGACUUGAGCGCAACACAUUACUUGUCUGACCAUAGGAAGCAUUUCAUAGCGCAAGAUGGCGAGUCCCCGGGCCGACUAGUCGGACCCGGUGCCAGACAGUAUGAUAAAAAGGAGCAGCAUAUUCAGAAGCGUAAUUCUUAUCAUACAGAUAAUCAAAAAGGCAGUCCCCGAGCUCGUCCCGAGGGGCCUAAGGUCUUAGUACUUUAAUACAAAGAGGGUAGUGCGAUACAUACUGCAUCAACUGUAAAAUCUUCGAAGAAGAUUCGCAUUCCAUGUGCGCUCUGUUUCUUUGCCGGAGUCGUCCUUCUUGCGCGCUUGAGGCUUCUGAGCAUCGAUCAGGUAGUAGGCGUCAUUCCCUAGCACCUUGCUGAUGAUGAAGGGACCUUCCCAAGGCGCUGACAACUUGUGCUGGCCGGCUGUUCUCUGAAUCAGCCGGAGCACAAGGUCGCCCUCUUGGAACGAUCUUGGCUUGACCUUGCGGUUGUAGUAUCGGCGCAGACUCUGCUGGUAGAUGCCGAACCGACUGAGUGCCAACAGUCGGCCCUCUUCCAGCAGAUCAAUGCCGUCUUGGCGUGCUUCUUCGGCUUCCUCUUCGGUGUACAUGGAGACUCGUGGAGAGUCGAACUCUAUAUCCGUCGGGAUGACGGCUUCGGCACCGUAGACGAGAAAGAAAGGCGUGAAGCCGGUUGACUUGUUUGGGGUUGUGCGCAGACUCCAGAGGAUGGCAGGCAGCUCCUCGACCCAACAGCCGGCCGAACGCUCGAGUGGUUCGACCAAUCGAGGCUUGAUGCCGGACAGGAUGAGGCUGUUGGUUCGUUCCACCUGGCCGUUUGACUGCGGAUGGGCAACGGACGCUAAGUCCAGUCGGAUGCCCUGCGUCGCGCAGAAACGAGCCAAGGCGCCCUUGGCAAAGUUUGUGCCGUUGUCGGUGAUGAUGCUGUGCGUCAUGCCGUACCGCACCGUGAUGUCGGCAAUGAAGGUUACUGCUGUAGGCCCGUUUAACUUCUUGAUGGGCUUUGCUUCCACCCACUUGGUGAACUUGUCCACCGCGACAAGCAGAUGAGUUAGGCCGCCCCGGGCCGUCUUGAAUGGUCCUACCAUGUCCAGGCCCCAAACUGCGAAGGGCCAGGCAAUGGGGAUUGUCUUUAGCGCAGAAGCCGGCUGAAGGGGCUUGGAGCGGAACAUCUAGCACCCCUUGCAUUUUUGGACUAGCUCUUUGGCUUCUUCCAGGGCAGUUGGCCAAAAGAAACCGUGCCGAAAGGCUUUGGCCACGAGUGCCCUCGAAGCCGCAUGAUGGCCGCACUCGCCCUGAUGGAUGUCUCUGAGAAUCGCUUGGCCUUUCUCUGAUUCUACGCAGCGCUGGUAGACACCAGUGACACUGCGCCUGACUAGCUCUCUGUUGACUAUGGUGUAUGCUGCUGCUCGGCUCUGCACUUGCCAAGCCAAGAUCUCAUUUGUUGGCAAUUCUUUGCUCACUAGAAACUUGAGGAUAGGCUGUGCCCAUGAAGGUGCUGCUAUCUCUUCAACUGCUACCGCAGCGACUUGGACAAGGGUGGCUGGGCUGGGAGGCGGCGGGUUGGAGUUUGCGGCCGUUUGCUGAAUUGACGGAAUCUCUGGGCCGACUGGGGCAGCUCUCGGGCCGACUGGCGCAGUCCCCGGGCCGGGCUCUGAAGUCCCCGGGCCGACUGGCGCAGUCCCCGGGCUGGGCUCCGAAGUCCCCGGGCCGACUGGCGCAGUCCCCGGGCCGGUUUCAACUGUGGUUUUCUUGAGGUCGCCCGCUGGGGCUUUGGAGUCGGAUCCGACUAUUUUUGGCGGAGCCGGCACGAAGAUGGAGUCUGACUCUGGUGAGGGCUUGAUAGACGGCUUGAGGAGGCGCUGAAGGGCGACGCCAGAAGGUAUUGCUUGGCGAGUGGAGGCGACUCGUGCCAAGGCAUCUGCUUGAUCGUUGUCAUUUCUUGGCACGUGAAGGAAUUCGCACCCCUCGAAAUAUCCGCUGAGUUGCUGCACCAGGAAGCGGUAGCUCGCCUUGUUUGCGUCUUUGGCAUCCCAGUCGCCGGAUGAUUGCUGAACCACCAAGUCGGAGUCGCCAUAGCACAGGAUCCGGCGAAUGCCGAGUUCUUUGGCAAGUCGGAGCCCAUGGAUGAGCGCUUCAUAUUCGGCGACGUUGUUGGAGGCGGCGAAGUGGAUUUGCAGCACGUAUUUGAGCUUGUCGCCUUUAGGGGAGGUGAGGACGACGCCGGCUCCAAGGCCGGUGCGCAUCUUGGAGCCGUCGAAAUGCAUCCGCCAAUGAGUGGAGUCGGGCGCUGGCGGCAGGUACUGGGUCUCGGCCCAGUCGACGAGGAAGUCGGCCAGCGCCUGCGACUUGAUGGCGGUGCGGGGCUGGUAGUAGAUGGUGUAAGGGGCUAGAUCUAUAGCCCAUUUGGCCACUCGGCCGGAGGCGUCUCGGCUUCCAAUGAUCUCGGCGAGUGGAGCGGUGCAAACCACGGUGAUUGGAUGCUCUUGAAAGUAGGGCUUCAGCUUCUUGGCGGCAAAAUGCACGCCGUAACACAUCUUCUGAUAGUGAGGGUAGUUUUGCUUGGAGGUCUACAGUACCUCGCUCAGGUAAUAUACCGGUCUCUGGACUGGGAGCGCCUUGCCUUCCUCCUUGCACUCGACUAUGAUGACUGUGCUGACUACUCGGCUGGUGGCGGCGAUGUACAAGAGCAUGGGCUCUUUGGGAGUCGGAGCCGCCAACACGGGGGGAGUAGUCAACAUCUUUUUCAGUUGGAGAAAUGCCUCAUCUGCCUUGUGGUUCCACUCAAAAAAGGUGGUCUUCUUCAUCAGUUGAUACAAGGGCAGAGCUUUCUCGCCCAGCCGACUGAUAAAACGGCUGAUGGACGCCAAGCAGCCGGUGAACUUCUGCACAUCCAACAGUCGGCUGGGUACCUCCAUUCUCUCAAUGGCCUUGAUCUUCACGGGGUUGCACUCUAUGCCGCGUUCGGAGACCAGGAAGCCAAGGAGCUGGCCGGCUGGGACUCUGAAAACACACUUCUCGGGGUUGAGCUUGAUCCGGAAUCGGCGCAGAUUUUCAAAGGUCUCUUUGAGGUCUUCCAGCAGCGUCCCACACUUUUCCGUCUUCACCACCACGUCAUCCACAUAGACGUGGGAGUUUCGGCCGAGUUGCUUGAGGAGGCACUUCUGCAUGCAACGCUGAAAGGUGGCGCCGGCAUUCCUUAAGCCGAACGUCAUCGUCAGGUAACAGAAGGCCCCGAACGGCGUGAUGAAGGCGGUCUUCAGUCUGUCUGCUGGAUUCAGCUUGAUCUGGUGGUAUCCUGAGUAUGCAUCUAGGAAACUCAAUAGCUCGCAUCCGGCUGUGGAAUCUAUCACCUGAUCAAUCCUUGGCAGAGCAAACGGGUCCUUCGGGUAGGCUUUAUUGAGGCUUGUGUAGUCGAUGCACAUCCGCCACUGCUUGUUUUUCUUCAGUACCAACACCAGGUUUGCCAGCCACUCUGGAAAAAAACACUUCCAUGAUAAAACCGGCUGCCAGGAGCCGGGCUAUCUCUUCUCCAACAACUCUUCUUUUCUCUUCUGACAGGCGGCGCAAGGGCUGCCUGACGGGCUUCAUAUGUGGCCUGACGUGUAGCUUGUGCUCGGCGAAUUCCGUCGGUACACCCGGCAUGUCCUUGGGGGACCAUGCAAAGAUGUCCCGAUUCUCACGGAGGAAAUCGACGAGCUCGCCUUCCUAUUUGCUGUCAAGGCCUGUGCCUACGACAACGUAUCUCUCUGGGUGCUCUGGGUCCAAGGGUAUCUUCUUGGUUUCUUUGGCCGGCUUGAAUGAUCCUUCUACCUCCGACUCCUUGGGGUCGGGCGACAUCUCUGGCUGCUUUCCGGCCAUCGCCACGACUCGGUCAAGGAGCCGUUUCUCGGCUGCGAUCACCAAGGACUCGGCCAGCCGACUGCUCUCGGCCGCGCAAGCGGAUGAUUUCUUGUAGUCACCGGCAAUGGUCAGAAUCCCCUUGGAACUCGGCAUCUUCAUUUUAAGGUAGGCGUAGUGUGGAACCGCCAUGAACUUGGCCAAGGCAGGCCGGCCAAGCAAAGCGUGGUACGGGCUCUCCAAGUCCACCACCUCAAACCAGACCGGCUCUCGGCGGAAGUGAUAUUUGUCCCCGAAGAGGACGUCUAUCAGGAUCUUGCCGAUUGGUGAACAGGAGAGGCCGGGUACAAUUCCAUGGAACACGGUGCGGCUGCUCUGCAGCUGCCUUUGCCUGAUUCCUAGCUUCUCCAUGGUGUCUUUGUACAGGAUGUUUAUGCUGUUGCCUCCGUCUAUCAGGACCCGCGAAAAACGGGCGGCCCGCCUAUCAGUGGCCAAGGUCGCACCUAAAACCAGGGCAUAGGAGCCUGGACUCGGCAUCACCUCUGGGUGAUCCGACCGACUCCAACUGAUAGGCCUCUCGGACCAAUGCAUGAACUCUGGAGCAUCCGUUGCUACUGCGUUUACUUCUUGCUGCUGUUGGCGCCUGCCGCGCCGGUCAUCUGCCACGCUGGUGAAUACUACGUAGGCUCCGUGCUCCUCUGGGAACUCGUCUUGUACUGCACCGACUGGCCGAGCCACCGGCUGCUGGGGCGGCGGUGGAGGCGGCGGCCCUGCAGGCGGCGGAGGAGUGAGGCCGUCUCCCUUGGCGAUUCUGGCGAGCCAGUGGCACUUUCUGGUGGUGUGGUUCAACGGCUUCGCGCCGCUGUGGAACUUGCAAGGACCAUCCAAAGUCUGCUCAUAGGAGAAAGCCGGCAACCAAUUAGACUUGCCGCCUUUUUGCCGCUUGGCCGGAGGCUGCCCCUCCGGCUGCUGAUCUUCUACUGCUGCGACCUAUCGACUGUUGGAAGUCGGCUGUGGGGCCUUGCGCUUGUUGUUAUUUUGUUGCUGUCACCGACUAGCAUCUCCAGCCGGAGUUCUGGGAGCCUGGGGAGUCACCUUGCGAGCCGCGUUGACUUGAAUCUCCGUCUUCAUAGAAGAGUCGGCCGUGGCGUACUUAUCCGCUAUGACUAGCAAUUCGUCAAGGGUUUCUGGCUCAUCACAGAGGAGCUUGUGCUUGAGGAGGGUGCCCUCUCGGCACCCGGCGGUGAAGUACUCGAUAGCCUGCACCUCGUGCACGCCCUCGCAGGAGUUUCGAAGUUCGCCCCAGCGUGUGAGGUAGUCGCGCGUUGAUUCUUCAGGGCCUUGCACGCACAGGGAGAGCUGGCGCGGCUUGGGAGGUCGCUUGUACGUGCUGGUGAAGUUGCGAAUGAAGGCUUCGGUGAAGUCGACCCAGCUAUUGUGCUGUGGGGCUUCAGGCUGUUCAGCCAUGUCCGGGCCGUGCCCUGGAGCAUGAGAGGAACAUACUUCACGGCAACUCGCUUGUUGCCGUUUGCUAUGCUGACGGCCGUGGAGUAGUCUAUCAGCCAGUCUUCCGGCUUUACGGAGCCGGUGUACUUGGGCGUGUCUCGGGGGAGCGUGAACCCUUUGGGGAAGGGCUCGUCUCUGAUGCGGGGCCCGAAGCAAGGCGGACCCAACUCAUCUUCUUCUUCCAGCGCCAGGGAUCGGUGGAGUCGGUCGAUCUGAUGGCGGGCAUCAUUCUCUCCGACUCCCUCUCGGCGGCCAAGGCCACCUCCGAGAGUCGGAUGCUCAACAGGUGGCGGAGAAACUCGUCGCUCUCUUCGGGGCGGGGGAGGCAGAUAAUCGUCCCACCGCUCCACUGCUCUCGGGCGGCCGUCUUGGUCGCGCUCGAUGGUGAUAUGAGUCCGACUGCGACUGACAGCCGGCUCCUUCUCUUUCCUUCUGCGGACUCCGCCAGUCGGCGUCCGGGAGGUCGCGCCUUGAUCUCGGCGGGGAGGUAAGUCGUCGUUUGGCUGCUGCAGCGCAUCUGCGCGGCCGCCGGCCGUGUUUUGCGCAGCAACCGCAUCAAGGAGCUGCUGGACUCGCUCCGUCAUCACACGACGCUCUUCGCCCUCAAAGUUCUUCAGCUCGUCAGUCGCCGCUUGGGCGGCGCAGAUAUUCUCCGCUGGGGUGGCGUAAACAGGGCGUUUCGCCCCGAGUAAGUCGACGAUGGCCGCGCCGCGCUGUCGGACCGCACCUAGACGGCUUGGCCCAGUCGGGGCCGGCGAGCCGCCUACGGCGUGAUCCAUCUCGCGCUAGUAUGCCUCUGACAAGCGCCUCAUGCUUGCCAACUUCUUGGCGCCUUCGACGAUCUAAAGGCGGCGUGCCUCCAGCGUCUCGGUGUCCGCGUCCUCUGGAAUGGGCGCGGUCAGGUCUUGCAGGGCCGCGGCUAGCGGGUCCUCGGUUUCUUCACCGGAAUGCUCGCCGUGGCUGAUGACGAGCACCUACGUGACGUCGCUUUUGCCACUCUCCUCGUAUGGAAGCGGCUCGUCGUAGACCACCACGUUGGUGGGGAAGAUGUCAAGCGAUACGGCGUCGGAGUCGACCAGCAUCGGGUCGGAGGAGCCUACGGAUUCCAAGUCUACGGCAGGCUCGCCGGCGACGUGGAGUUGGUCGAGGAGGCCCGCGAGAAGGUUCUCGGGGCCACCCGUGCCUGCGCCGGAUGCAGGCUCGUCGGGGAGGCGCACCUCGCCGAUAAGUUCGGCGAGGCCGCUCGCAGCGCAGGCGGCUUCGGCGCCGUGCAGCGUGUCGAUGCAGACUCCAUCUGGCGAGCCUGGCUGGCUGCGCUCGCCAGGGAGGAAAAGGGUUCUCGUCCAGAACAGAUCUCCGGACGACGGUGCACCUCGCCCCACGGUGGGCGCCAAAUGUCGGGGGUUGGGUGCGACAUAUGCCAAAGGAUGGCCUAUCAUGGUGGGGGCGAGUAGAACAUCGCCGGUGCCUGGAAACGGGAUGAGGCAUAGACAUGCACGCCGGCGAAUCUUACCCAGCUUCGAGGCUCUCCGGGGAGAUAACACCCCUACUGCUGCUCUGCGGGGUCUCCGCAUGGUCACUAUGGCAAAGUGGCUACAAUGGCGCUCCUAGAGCUGUUUCGGGAGGCAAGAGGGAGCUCAACUGGCUCUAUCCUCCCCUGUCUAUGUGUCUAACUCUCUCAAAGGCCGAACCCUUUGCAUGGGCGCCCCGGGGGGUUUAUAUAGGCCUACCCCCCGGGGGUACAAUAGUAAUCUGACUGGGCGUGGCCCCCAGCCGUCUGUCUCUCAUGCCGUCGUCCUUCCUGCCGGUUUCUAGGGCCCGCCGACUGGUGGGUCCCGCGGACAAGCUGAACACUGUGCAGCACUCCUGAUGGCGCAGGCUUGGUCAUUGGGUCGUGGCAACAGUGCCGCCGUCUGUCAGGCGAUCACUGUCGCCACUCCCCAUCCAAUCUGGUUUAUGGCUUGCGGGGCCCUGGCGGGGAGACGGCCGACUCCGUGGAGGCCGACUCCCUUAGGGCCGUCUUCUGGCGCUCUGGCCGUCUCUGAUUCACCCACCGACGGGUGGCCCUGCGAUCUCUGGGCCGUACAGGCCGGCGUCGUGGGCACAGUGCUUCACGCACUGUGGCUGAGGUCAAGGGAGGCAUGGCAACAGUGCCGCGCCUCGCCGGAGAUCUCCCGGCGAUACGGCUCACUGUAGCCAUGCCAACCCCUCAUAGGCAGGAAGGGAAGGCCACGUCGGGGCCGUGCCCUGCAUCAGUCUUUGUGAAAUGUCGCGGGCCGACUCCCAUAGUCGGCACUCCUGGAGGUCGCAAGCCGGGAGUCGGCUUGCUUUAAAGUCGUCAUCUGGGACUCGGCUUUUCGGAGGAACGCCCUCUGGGACUCGGCCUCUCCGAAGAUCGCCGGCUGGGACUCGGCCAGAGGGGCGCGGCCUGCCCCGAUGUCUUGAAAGAUCAUGGAUCCCGGGUCGGCCUACCCGUGGCCCAUUACUCCAACAGCAAGAUUCUUAGAGAACUAAUGUUGAUGCACCUAGUCCUUCUAAGAAAAACAAAAAGGAAAAUGAUAGGACUUUGCAUGCUUCCCAUUGAACCUAUUGUUGACACACCUAAGAAUCCCAAUGAUAUUUCUAUUUCUGAUGUUGAGACCCAAUCUGGUAACGAACAUGAACCUAGUGAUAAUGUUAAUGAUGAUGUUCAUGUUGAUGCUCAACCUAGUAAUAACAAUGAUGUAGAGAUUGAACCUGAUGUUGAUCUUGAUAACCCACAAUCAAAGAAUCAACGUUAUGAUAAGAGAGACUUCAUCGCUAGGAAGCACGAUAAAGAAAGAGAACCAUGGGUUCAGAAACCCAUGCAUUUUCCUCCUAAGCCGUCCAAGAAAAAGGAUGAUGAGGAUUUUGAGGGUUUUGCUGAAAUGAUUUGACCUAUGUUUUUGCGUAUGCGUUUGACUGAUAUGCUUAAAAUGAAUCAUUAUGCUAAGUAUAUGAAAGAUAUUGUUACAAAUAAAAGAAAGAUACCGGAAGCUGAAAUUUCCACCAUGCUUGCUAAUUAUACUUUUAAGGGUGGAGUACCAAAGAAACUUGGAGAUCCAGGAGUACCAACUAUACCAUGCUCCAUUAAAAGAAACUAUGUUAAAACUGCUUUAUGUGAUCUUGGAGCUGGUGUUAGUGUUAUGCCUCUCUCUUUGUAUCGUAUACUUGAUUUGAAAAGGUUGACUCCUACUGAAAUUUCUUUACAAAUGGCCGAUAAAUCAACUGCUAUGCCCGUCGGUAUUUGUGAGGAUGUGCCUGUUGUGGUUGCAAACAUUAAUAUUUUAACGGACUUUGUUAUUCUUGAUAUUCCCGAGGAUGACAGUAUGUCGAUCAUCCUUGGUAGACCUUUUCUAAAUACUGCAGGGGUUGUUAUUGAUUGCAACAAAGGCAAUGUCACUUUUCAUGUUAAUGGUAAUGAGCAUACGGUACACUUUCUGAAGAUACAACCUCAAGUUCAUAGUAUCAAUUCUAUUAAAAAAAUUCAAUGAUUACUAUUGGAGGUUUUGAAUUCCCUAUUCCUACUGUCAACAAGAAAUAUGAUAUUCUUAUUAUUGGGGACAUGCAUAUCCCCGUUGAGGUAACUUAGUGUUAUUCGAAAAUUCUCCAGUUUCAUGUUAUUCGGAAAAAGUUUGUUAACAAGAUUUGAUCAACCUUGUUAGCGGAUUCCUUUUGAUGAGCAUGAGAUGGAUGAAGUUAGAAAGCACAACUCUUUGUACCCUCUGUCGGUGUCAAAACCGGCGGAUCUCGGGUAGGGGGUCCCGAACUGUGCGUCUAGGCGGAUGGUAACAGGAGACAAGGGACACAAUGUUUUACCCAGGUUCGGGCCCUCUCGAUGGAGGUAAAACCCUACGUCCUGCUUGAUUAAUAUUGAUGAUAUGGGUAGUACAAGAGUAGAUCUACCACGAGAUCAAGGAGGCUAAACCCUAGAAGCUAGCCUAUGGUAUGAUUGUUGUAAUGUAUGUUGUCCUACGGACUAAAGCCCUCCGGUUUAUAUAGACACCGGAGAGGGCUAGGGUUACACAGAGUCGGUUACAAUGGUAGGAGAUCUACAUAUCCGUAUUGCCAAGCUUGCCUUCCACGCCAAGGAAAGUCCCAUCCGGACACGGGACGGAGUCUUCCAUCUUGUAUCUUCGUAGUCUUGGAGUCCGGCGGAUAAUGAUAGUCCGGCUGUCCGGACACCCCCUAGUCCAGGACUCCCUCAGUAGCCCCCAAACCAGGCUUCAAUGACGAUAAGUCCAGCGCGUUUAUAGUCUUCGGCGUUGCAAGGCGGGUUCUCCCUUCAAAUUCCAUGUACCUGUCGAACAGUGUCCGGCUUCAUCUUGAAUACUGUGUUCCUCGGCUUCUACGCCAAAUAAUGGCCCUCUUCCACGCGUCACACGAAUGCGAAAAGCCAGGGUGUAUUUUGCAUUUCACCCCCCAAUUGUGCGAGUCGCCCGCCUAUAAAAGAGGCAAGAAUCCAGAUCCAAACCACACCGUCUUCCUCCCGCGAAUACUCCAUCGAAGCGCCUUUGACCUAGAAAUCCAUUCCACCAUGGAUCGUCAACGCGGCUCUUCUUCACGCGCUCCCAGCCCACCGCCGGGGAAUUGGAGGAGGUGCUCUAUUUCGCACAACGAGCUUGUGAAGCUCCAAACGGGGGGAUUCCUCCCUCCGGCCUUCAUGAUCCCAGUCCGGGCCGGACUGGUUACUUAUCAAGGUGGGAGACAGGCGGAGGACACUCCAAGCCCCAAUAAGGGGGAGCGAGUAUGUUUUGUCCCUUAUCUGACAAGGGGACUCGGAUUUCCAAUACAUCCGUUCCUCCGCGGGCUCCUGAAGUUCUACGAACUCCAGCUCCACCACCUCAUGCCCGCCUCUGUCCUGCAUAUCGCAGGCUACAUAGCUCUUUGCGAGCUAUUCCUGGGCAUUGAGCCCCAUUUCGCAUUGUGGAAGAGGCUGUUUUGCCUCGUACCCCGUUCUUACCAGGGGUCCAUAUAUCAAGUGGGCGGCGCCGAAAUAUGGCGCAUCGCCGGGAACGGAUACCUAUCCGGCACUCCCAAGAAGGCGUCCGAAGACUGGCCCUCGGAGUGGUUUUAUAUAGGAGACGCUCCGCUGUCAGACCCAGUUCGGAUCGGCCUCCCGGAGUUUAGUGUUGCUCCCUUGAAGAAACGCCUCAGCUGGCGCCCACGGAGCCCCCGAUUGGAGGAAGACAAGAGCGUCCACUACUUGAUGGGCCGGAUAAGAUUAAUGGCUCAUUCCGGCUUGACCAUGAUCGGAGUCAUGGCGACAUGCAUCAAGCUAGGGGUACAGCCACUGCAAUAUAGAGGCCACCCCAUGUGGGAUUUCAACGGGGAAGACGAUGCUACCCGGCACGGCCGCAAAGGGCCGGAUUCGACCGAGGAUCUGGUGAAGAUCCUGUCCAGCCUGUACAAGGGGGAGAAGGAGGAUUUCCUUCGAACGAACCCUUCGAAUGGGUUUUCCAUGAUCAACCCCAGAGGAUGGGUAAGUGAACACCUUGAAGGGCCCAACCCAUGCUUUCGAAGUUUAAGCUUCUUACAUUAUGUCUUCGGCGCAGGAUCUACGCCGGACUGUGGAGGACAUGGUAAGUCCUGCUCCGCAACCCGAGGAUCCAGAAGGAUCCCUGGAUCCGGCCUCCGAAGAGGACCCGGAUAUCGAGGUGGAGCUGAUCGACGGGGCGUAUCACCAGCUCAGCAUAGACAAUGCUUUGGUCGCCAUUACGGCGGACUACCCCGGGCUAAGUCCGGCUUCCCAGGUGAUCGCGACCGAAGUCCGGACACCAUUAUCUCAUCCCUGCCCAUUUCUGACCUUCGUGAACGAUGGUAUUUUGCAGGAAGCACCUUUACGGCAGGAAGCCGAGCCCGCGGCGGCCGACCAAUAGAGGUCAGUCUGAACCAGCAGGCGGAAAAGGAGCGCAGUGCGGACGGAAACAUCGCCGCAAAGGUAUAGCUCGUAUUUGAAUUUUUAGAGCAACGUUCAGAGGAAACGUCUGAGUGCUCAUGAUCUUUGUAGGAGAAAAAGCGCUCGCCGGACUGCGAGCGCAGGAAUUGCCAAUCCGACCAACACCAGCCAGGCUCCAGCGCCCGGCCUGGAGGGGGAGGCAAGCGCAAGACGCGAGCCGGAUCCUUCUCCAACGGAGGAUACCGACAGACUGUCCGCCACCAAGUCUGAGGUGGAGAGCGCCAUGAACCAUAGGCGCCGCCGGAUAGUAUUUCAAGAAGCGUGCUUUUCCCCGGAGGCAUUGGAUGCUUUUAACACAGGGGACGCACAUCUCCGUGCUGCUCAAAAUGGUUUUACCAGAGCCACGGAGCAGUAUGUGAAAGACAUACGGGUAAGGGAAUUUUAAUGGUUAUAUAUACCAGUAGCCCCCGAGACUUAAAGUAGUUAUGCUAACUGAUUUAAGGAUCAUUGGAAAUUUCAGGCACUUAACGAGAAGAACGCCCAGCUGUCUCAGGAGCUGCAAGAUUGCAAGGCCCAACUUGAGGCCGCACUUGCUGCCGCAGGAGGAGACGGAAAGACCCCUCCUGGUAACACAUUUUUAUUAAUAAAUAUAAGCGUUGUGCGGCGUGCACGCGAGUCUAAUAAUGACAUUUGCAGGUACCGCCGGACAAGAUCCAGACAGGCAAGCAUUGCUACGCCAGCUAAAGGCCGGCGAGAGUGUGCUGAAUAGGGUUCAGCAGGAAAGGAACAAGCUCCAGGAUGCCAACGCCAAGCUCGGAGAGAGCUGAAAGGCGCUCAGGCCGAGCUGUCCGGCUCCGUUAAGGAGAAUCAGCGGCUUCGUCGCGGCAUUUAUAGUGAGUGCUUGAGCGAACUCUUUUGAAAAGAAGAGUUCGGCGAGGAAGUAUUUUGACAUGAUAUGUCUUGUAGGUAUACUCACGGGUCGUCCCGCAGAGGAGAUGCCCAUAUCAAUGGGUGAUCAACUUCCCGAACUGUUGCAGCUACUCGAACGAGUUCGGCAGGCAAUGAGCGGCCUUGUUCAGGCUUUAUGGCCAGCCCUCACCCUACCCGAGGGCCUCGGGGAGCUUGCGGAGAAGCUGCAGGGAGUGCGGCAGCGCUUCCGUUUGUGGAAGAUUUCGGCUUGCCGUCAAGGUGCCAGGGAGGCUUGGGCCAUGGUGAAGACGCGGUACAAGAAGGCGGAUCCCAACCACAUGGCCGAAGUUGGACCGGUGGGGCCCGAUGGGAAGGAGAUCCCUGUGAGUUUAGUGUAUAGCCAAGUAGAGUUGGCUGCUAAAUUUUCCCAACGGGACUGUAAACUAGACAGCCUGUUAGACGGGAUUGAGGAGGAAUACAAUCAGUAAAUUUGACAAUGUAUGUUAUCCUUUAAAGUGACAUGUGAAAUGCCUUCUAGCCGGAUUGUAGAUCGUUUGUCUUUGCCGACCUUUUCGCUUCGACCUCGGGACCCUAGAGUCCGGAGUGUGUCCGAAUACCUUUUUGGUUAAGAAACAACCGUGGUAUGCAUGGAGACCAGGCGUAGGGGUCAUUAGUGCUUUAUCAGACAAGUGCCCAACUAGUUAUGUUAUAUUACAUGGUUAGUAAGAAACAUCUUCCAGGGAGAAUAGUUCCGUUAAGGGUUCCUUUCCCUGGGAGGCAUGCCCUAAAGUGCAUGUCCGGACUGCAAAGAAAGCAGUAAAACAUCUGGGGGCAAAUAGAUAAAUAGGUAAAAAGUCAUCUUUUAAGUCACCGACCGAAUAUUCCCUUAAGAACGCUAGCUUUCGGCUUCACCCAGUCUGAGGUACACAUCCGGCUGACCCGGCUGUAACAAUCGCAGAGGUGCUCCCUUUACCUCCUAGCCGAACAAUCGGGAACGUAGGGGUAAGCACAGGAGCCAGGCAACCCAGCUUGGCCAAAACUUAAGUCAUAUCGAUGCAUAUAAUGGCGAGUAAAAGGUACAUGUGGAAGCUUGACACAUGUGCUGGGUAUAAAACCCGUAUAAUUGAGCUUCUGUAAAAGAAGCCCCCAGGAAUAAUGAGUGCGGAUGGCACAUCAUGCGUAUGCAAAGAAUGCAAAAAUAGGCCCGAAAGGGCUUUUAAGUGAAAAGGAUAAAAAGAGAAACAAAAGACAGCCGAAGUGUAAAAGUUUGGACGGGGGAAGGGGACGAACUCUUAGUCCGGCGCUAGGCAUGGAAUCGUCGGAGGCGGGCUGCGUUCCAUGGGUUCGGCUCGAGUCGGUGAUCCGACGCAUUUCGUAGACGGUACGCUCCGCCGGUCAGUACUUGAUCGAUGAUGAAGGGGCCCUCCCAUUUGGGCUUGAGCUUGUCCUUUUUCUUGUCCGGCAGGCAUAGAACUAGUUCACCAACGUUGUAAGUCUUGGCCCGUACUUCUCUGCUUUGAUAUCUUCGGGCCUACUGCUGAUAGAAUGCGGAACGAGCCUUCGCGACAUCACGUUCUUCCUCCAAUGUGUCCAAGCUGUCCUGCCGAUCAAGCUCGGCCUCUCUUUCCUCAUACAUGCGCACUCGAGGUGAGUCAUGAAUAAUGUCACAGGGCAAGACUGCCUCUGCGCCGUAUACCAUAAAAAAUGGUGUGAAUCCGGUAGUACGGUUAGGCGUUGUCCGCAGCCCCCAGAGUACGGAGUCGAGCUCCUCGACCCAUUGUGUGUCGGAUUUAGUGAGUGACCUCACUAGUCUAGGUUUAAUGCCGCUCAUUAUUAGACCAUUUGCUCUUUCCACUUGACCGUUGGUUUGAGGGUGAUAGACUGACGCAUAGUCGAGCUUGAUGCCCAUAUUUUUGCACCAUGACUUAACCUCGUCGGCUGUGAAGUUCGUGCCGUUGUCGGUGAUGAUGCUGUGGGGGACUCCGUAACGGUGUACCACCCCUGAUAUAAAGUCUAUCACUGGUCCGGACUCUACCGUUUUGACCGGUUUGGCCUCUAUCCAUUUGGUGAACUUAUCCACCAUGACCAAUAGGUACUUUUUCUUGUGGGUUCCCCCUUUAAGGGGUCCAACCAUGUCAAGCCCCCAGACCGUGAACGGCCAGGUAAUGGGUAUGGUUUUGAGGGCGGUGGGUGGCAUAUGGCUCUGAUUAGCAAAGAGCUGACAACCAACGCAUCGCUGGACCAAGUCCUGUGCGUCUGCCCGAGCCGUCGGCCAAUAAAAUCCUGUACGGAAUGCCUUUCCUACAAGGGCCCGGGCUGCUGCGUGGUGUCCGCCUAGUCCGGCAUGAAUUUCAGCCAGGAGGUUUCGCCCUUCUUCUUUGGAGAUACACCUUUGAAGGACUCCGAUGGUACUUUUCUUAUAAAGUUCUCCCUCAUGGACCUUGUAGGCCUUCGAUCGCCGGACUAUGCAGCGGGCCUCAUUUUGGUCUUCAUGAAGUUCCUGCCUAAGUAAGUAGGCUAGCAAAGGUUCUGUCCACGCGGCGAUUACUGCCAUUAUGACGUGGGCGGAGGGUGUUAUGUCGUCUGCCGAAUCACCGCUUGGUGCGGUUUUCUCCGGUUUGUCGCUACCGAGCUCCUCUUCCCAUAGUACGGAUGGCUUGAAGAGCCGUUCCAGGAAGAUAUUUGGAGGGACAGCAUCACGUUUUGCACCGAUGCGUGCCAGGACGUCGGUCGCUUGGUUAUUAUCUCGGGCUAUGUGAUGGAAUUCUAGUCCUUCAAAUCGAGCUGACAUUUUUAGGACAGCGUUGCGAUAUGCUGCCAUUUUCGGAUCCUUGGUGUCGAAGUCUCCGUUUAUUUGGGAUAUUGCAAGGUUUGAGUCCCCGCGCACCUCUAGGCGUUGAAUGCCCAUGGAGACCGCCAUCCGGAGACCAUGUAACAGGGCCUCGUAUUCGGCUGCAUUGUUGGAGUCCGUGUACAUUAUUUGAAGUACAUACUAGAUUGUAUCUCCGGUGGGGGACGUCGGUACGACGCCAGCCCCCAGUCCGGCCAACAUUUUGGAGCCGUCGAAAUGCAUAGUCCAAUUGGAGUAUGCGCCGUACUCUUUAGGGAGUUCGGCUUCAGUCCAUUCGGCGACGAAGUCAGCCAAAACUUGUGACUUUAUAGCUCGUCGAGGUUUGUAAGUGAUGUCGAAUGGUAAGAGCUCAAUGGCCCACUUUGCUAUCCUGCCCGUUGCGUCGCGGUUAUUUAUAAUGUCAUUGAGUGGUACUUCAGAGGCCACUGUUAUCGAGCACUCUUGAAAGUAGUGCCGGAGCUUUCGAGACGCCAUGAACACCGCAUAUGCUAUCUUCUGAUAGUGCGGGUAACGGGAUUUGCAGGGGGUUAACACAGUGGAUACAUAAUACACUGGUUUUUGAAGAGGGAGUUUAUGCCCUUCCGUCGCUCGUUCGACGACGAGGACUGCGCUUACAACUUGAUGUGUUGCUGCGAUGUAUAACAACAUUGGUUCGCCCAGAGUGGGCGCAGCCAGGACCGAAUUUGUUGCCAGUAUGGCCUUUAUUUCUUCGAGUCUGGCAGUGGCGGCAUCCGUCCACUCGAAGUGUUCGGUGCGCCUGAGGAGGCGAUAGAGGGGCAACGCCUUUUCUCCUAAACGGGAGAUAAAGCGGCUUAAGGCUGCAACGCAUCCUGUUAAUUUUUGUAUUUGUUUGAGGUCUUUUGGAAUAUCCAACUGUGAUAGAGCUCGGAUUUUGGCCGGAUUUUCUUCAAUUCCUCUACCGGAUACGAUGAAGCCCAGCAGCUUUCCGGCUGGUACGCCGAAAACGCAUUUUUCCGGAUUCAGCUUGAUGUCAUAUGCUCUGAGGUUGUCGAAUGUGAGCCUCAAAUCGUCUACUAAAGUUUCGACAUGUUUUGUUUUGACAACUACGUCGUCUACGUAUGCCUCGACUGUUUUGCCGAUCUGGGUGGCCAGACACGUUUGAAUCAUGCGCUGAUAUGUUGCGCCGGCAUUUUUGAGUCCGAAGGGCAUCGUGUUGAAGCAUAAUGGUCCAUAUGGAGUGAUAAAUGUUGUUGCGGCUUGGUCUUCUUCCGCCAUCUUGAUUUGAUGAUAGCCAGAGUAUGCGUCCAGGAAGCACAACGAAUCGUGCCCUGCUGUGGCUCGAUAAUUUGAUCGAUGCGGGGGAGAGGGAAGGGAUCCUUUGGGUAAGCUUUAUUGAGGUCUUUAAAAUCGACACAGAGGCGCCAGGAUUUAUCCUUCUUUGGUACCAUCACCAGAUUUGCUAGCCAGUCCGGAUGUUUGAUAUCUCUAAUGAAUCCGGCUUCCAAUAGUUUGGCUAGCUCUUCUCCCAUUGCCUGUCUCUUGGGCUCGGAAAAUCGUCGAAGAGCCUGUUUGACUGGCUUGAACCCUUUUAGGAUGUUUAGGCUGUGUUCUGCCAACCUGCGAGGGAUUCCGGGCAUGUCCGAAGGAUGCCAGGCGAAGAUAUCCCAAUUUUCCCGAAGGAAUUCGCGCAGUGCGGCGUCUACUUCGGGGUUCAACUGUGCCCCAAUGGAGGCCGUCUUUGUUGGGUCCGUUGGAUGGACCUGGAAUUUUAUUAUCUCGUCUGCUGGUUUGAAGGAGGUGGACUUGGAUCUUUUAUCGAGUAUCACAUCGUCCCUGUUCACCGUAGAGCGCAGCGCGGUGAGUUCCUCUGCCGCUACGGCUUCGGAUAGUGCCUCGAGGGCUAGUGCGGCUGUCUUGUUUUCGGUGCGGAGUGCUAUGUCCGGAUCACUAGCGAGAGUGAUUAUUCCGCUGGGCCCAGGCAUUUUGAGCUUCAUGUACCCGUAAUGAGGUAUUUCUUGAAAAAUUGUGAAUGCCUCUCGUCCUAAUAUGGCGUGAUACCCACUGCUGAACGAGGCCACCUGGAACACGACUUCUUCGGAUCUGUAAUUGUCCGGAGAGCCGAACACCACAUCGAGUGUGAUUUUUCCGGUGCAGCGCGCUUCUCGGCUAGGGAUUAUUCCUCUAAAGGUUGUGCUGCUUCGCUCAAUACGGCUCCAAUCGAUUUCCAUUUUUCGCAGGGUUUCCUCAUAAAUGAGGUUUAGUCCGCUGCCGCCGUCCAUGAGGACUUUUGUCAGUCGAAAGCCGUCCACUAUGGGACUAAGUACCAGUGCGGCUGGGGCUCUGGUUGUUCGGAAUAUGGGCUCGUCGCUACCAUUGGAGGUAAUAGCUGUGUCGCUCCAUGGAUUUGCUGUUGCUACUUGGUAGACUUCGGCGAGUUCGCGGAUGGAUCGUUUUCGCAUAUUAUUUGAUGCGAAAGUCUCGAAGACUGUUGAUACCGUGCUGGUAUUGUUGGAGUGGUUUCCCGGAGCUAGAAGCUCUUCGCCACUUUUGGCCACCUGCCGUAAUAUCCAACAUGCUCGAAGGCUAUGUGUUGGGACGGCUCCCUCUGUAUUAUGAAGCUUACAGGGUCCAUUGAGCCAUCCCUCCAGUAUGGUUCCGUUUCCCUUAUUGGGUUUUUGUUUUUUCGUUUUUGCAUCUGGGGCCUGAGUGUAAGGCGCCCUUUUACUGCGGACUGGGUUUGGGGCCGGAUUAUCCCAAAAUUGAUUUUCGGUUUUCCGGAAACUCUCCAUCGCACAGUACUUUCGUACAAUGGAUGCCAGAUCGGUGAAGCGCUUAAUUUUGCGACGAUCAAUGGCGUUUAGUAUUCCCUUGUCCGUGCAGUUAUUGCGGAAGAUUGAUAUUGCGUUUUCCUCUCGGCAGUCCUUUAUCCUGUCCAUAACCAGGAGGAAUCUGGCCCAGUAGUGAUGUACUGUUUCUGUAGGCUCUUGCCGUAUUAGAGAUAGAUCGCAUAUGUCUCGGCGGGUGGGUGGAAUAAAAUCCGGAUCCCUGCCCAUCUUGAGGCUCAAAGGCCAAGGGGUUUCCGAAUUCGGAAGUGUGGUUUGCUAGGGACAAUCCAGCGACUCCGGGGCGAUGCAUGAUUUUAAGUUCAAUGCUCGAUCGAAGUACGUCCCCCCGCGGGAAUCCGGCAUGGAGGGUUCGGGAAUCCGGACAUGAAUUGUUUUCAACACUAGCAAAGAGUUGCCGUAUUGCUCCUCUACCACUGCAACGUGGUGGGUGGCCUGGGGAGAGUUAAUCUCUCUCAGAUCGGUUUUAAGCCCAAUCUGGUUGUAGUCCGUAGCGACUCCUAGGGCGGCGAUGCGAUCCAAGAUCUCGUUAACAGACGAGAGCUCUAUUGGAUCUAACUGUUCGGCAGCUUUAGGGCUGACGCGAAGAUCGCUUUCGACGACUUGAGAAGUCAUUGCCGAAGCGGCGGCCGGACAGGCGGUCAUGAGAAAACCACCAAGCCGGAUAGUUUGGCCGGCGGCCAAGGCCCCUCCGGCGAAAACACCGUCUUUGAAGACGGGUGGAGGCAUCCGCUCUAUCGGUGACGACACAGGGGAACUCUCAAUGAAAGCACCAAUGUCGGUGUCAAAACCGGCGGAUCUCGGGUAGGGGGUCUCGAACUGUGCGUCUAGGCGGAUGGUAACAGGAGACAAGGGACACAAUGUUUUACCCAGGUUCAGGCCCUCUCGAUGGAGGUAAAACCCUACGUCCUGCUUGAUUAAUAUUGAUGAUAUGGGUAGUACAAGAGUAGAUCUACCACGAGAUCAAGGAGGCUAAACCCUAGAAGCUAGCCUAUGGUAUGAUUGUUGUAAUGUAUGUUGUCCUACGGACUAAAGCCCUCCGGUUUAUAUAGACACCGGAGAGGGCUAGGGUUACACAGAGUCGGUUACAAUGGUAGGAGAUCUACAUAUCCGUAUUGCCAAGCUUGCCUUCCACGCCAAGGAAAGUCCCAUCCGGACACGGGACGGAGUCUUCAAUCUUGUAUCUUCGUAGUCUUGGAGUCCGGCGGAUAAUGAUAGUCCGGCUGUCCGGACACCCCCUAGUCCAGGACUCCCUCACCCUCCUUUUACAUUAUGUUCUUUAGAUUAAAUAAAGCAAAAACAGUUUUUUGUCUGUUUUCCGAAUUAGCCUUGCAAUAAAAAAAUACCCCAAAAUAAAAGUUCUCCAAAUGCCCUGAAAAUGGAGUAUGAUUUUUUGUAGAAUAUUUAAGAAUUUCUGGCACUUAGAACACACAAGGGGGACCCACCAUUUGGCCACGAGGGUACAGGGCGCGGCCACCCCCCGGGGCACGUCCCUCGCCUUGUGGGCCCCACAUGGCCCCCUCCACUUAUUCCAGCACCCAGACACUUCAUCUUCCUCCAGCAAAAAUCAUCCCGUACCUCAAACCCGUGUUCUAGCUCGUUUUGCUGCCAUUUUCGAUCUCCUUGCUCAAAGCUCCAUUCACAAAACUGCUUUGGGGGAUUUUACUUCGGUAUGUGACUCCUCCAAUGGUCCAAUUAGUUUUUUUCUACUGCUUUAUUUAUUGCAAAUUUUUGCUGUUGAGGUGACCCUGUUCUUGAGCUUGCAUGUCAAAUUUAUAUGGUCCAAAGUAGUUUUAAUACAUAAUAUAGCCUCUAGGCACUUGUGGGAGUAGUUGCUAUCAAUCUUGUUGAGUUUGGUUCACUUUUAUUUUGAGUCACUAAAAAUUUCAGAAAUUUUUCAGAGGAAGAAAAAUGUUUAGAAAAAUGUACCAAGGUGGUUCUUCAAGGAAGCAAGAACCAAGGCUCGCGAUACGUGAGCCGGACCUUGAACCACCAAGGGAAGCUCAAGUGUGGCCUUCUGAAUGGCCGUCGGAAGAGUUUAUGGUCUAAGCAGGCUUCAAGGAUGAAUUUGAUGCGUCUGUACAUAAUGCUGAUCUUGAGGACUUUGUAUCAGAUAAGUGCCAAUACUAUUACCUCACUGAUUCCUUUGUGAGGAGGUUUAAAUUUUCAUCCACGUGCAACGCUCACACUGUUUUAUUUGAUCUCUAUGAUAAAUCAUAUACCAUGGACCUUGAAGAUUUUAACACUGCCUGUAAAAUCCCAUAGUGGGGCAAAUUUAGUGAACCUCGUGAAGGAAAUAUGCCCUAGAGGCAAUAAUAAAGUUAUUAUUUAUUUCCUUAUUUCAUGAUAAAUGUUUAUUAUUCAUGCUAGAAUUGUAUUAACCUGAAACUUAGUACAAGUGUGAAUACAUAGACAAAACAUAUUGUCCCUAGUAUGCCUCUACUAGACUAGCUCGUUAAUCAAAGAUGGUUAUGUUUCAUUUGAUGAACGGGAUCGCAUCAUUAGGAGAAUGAUGUGAUGGACAUGACCCAUCCGUUAGCUUAGCAUUAUGAUCGUUACAGUUUCAUUGCUACUGCUUUCUUCAUGACUUAUACAAGUUCCUCAGACUAUGAGAUUAUGCAACUCCCGAAUACCGGAGGAACACUUUGUGUGCUACCAAACGUCACAACGUAAAAGGGUGAUUAUAAAGGUGCACUACAGGUGUCUCCGAAUGUGUUUGUUGGGUUGGCAUAGAUCGAGAUUAGGAUUUGUCACUCCGUGUUUCGGAGAGGUAUCUCUGGGCCCUCUCAGUAAUGCUCAUCAAUAUAAGCCUUGCAAGCAAUGUGACUAAUGAGUUAGUUGUGGGAUGAAGUAUUAUAGAACGAGUAAAGAGACUUGCCGGUAACGAGAUUGAACUAGGUAUGAUAAUACCGACGAUCGAAUCUCGGGCAAGUAACAUAUCGAUGACAAAGGGAACAACAUAUGUUGUUAUGCGUUUUGACCGAUAAAGAUCUUCAUAGAAUAUGUAGGAGCCAAUAUGAGCAUCCAGGUUCCGCUAUUGGUCAUUGACUGGAGAUGUCUCUCGGUCAUGUCUACAUAGUUCUCGAACCCGUAGGGUCCGCACGCUUAACGUUCGAUGAAGAUAUGUAUUAUGAGUUAUGUGUUUUUGAUGACCGAAGUUUGUUCGGAGUCCUAGAUGAGAUAACGGACGUGACGAGGAGUCUCGAAAUGGUCGAGACAUAAAGAUUGAUAUAUUGGAUAACUAUAUUCGGACAUCAAAAGUGUUCCAGAAAGUUUCGGAUAAAACAGGAGUGGUGGAGGGUUACCGGAACCCCCCGGGGGAACUAAUGGGCCUCGAUGGGCCUUAGUGGGAAGAUAGGAAGGCCAGGAAGGGCUGGCCAUGCUGCUGGGUCCGAAUUGGACUAGAGGAAGGGGCGGCACCCCCCUUUCCUUCCCUUCCCCCUCUUCCUUCCUUCUUCCCCCUCUUCCUUAGGUGGAAACCUACUAGGACUUGGAGUCCUAGUAGGAUUCCCCUUUCCUGGCGCGCCCUAGGAGGGCCGGCCGGACUCCCCGUGCUCCUUUAUAUACGGGGGCGGGGGCACCCUAGAACACACAAGUUUCUCUCCCAACCAUGUGCAGUACCCCCGUCCAUAGUUACACACCCCGAUCGUACCAUCGUAGUGCUUAGGUGAAGCCCUGGACCGGUAGCAUCAUCAUUACCAUCGCCACGCCGUCGUGCUGACGGAACUCACCCUCAUCCUCAACUGGAUCAAGAGUACAAGGGACGUCAUCGAGCUGAACGUGUGCUGAAUGCGGAGGUGUCGUACGUUCGGUACUUGGAUCGAUCGGGUCGCGAAGACGUUCGACUACAUCAACCGUGUUAUUGAAACGCUUACGCUUUCGGUCGAUGAGGGUACAUGGACACACUCUCACCUCUCGUUGCUAUGAAUCACCUAGAUAGAUCUUGCGUGAUUGUAGGAAUAUUUUUGAAAUUACUGUGUUCCCCAACACCUCGCAAAUCUUAAUAUAAAGAUUUCUUGCUAGUAUCACCGUGGGAGAAACUAGAGAGAUCACACAAGCUACCAUAGGGAACAUUGAUUUCCCUUCCAUACAUUACUUUGCGCUCUUUAUAGGUAGAUGCAUUAACGGUAAAGAUGAGUUUUGUCACAUGUGCGUUCUAGAUCUUAGUGUCCUCAAGAGUGCGGUAUUAGGUGAUAAACAAUAUAACUUGGGGGCCAUUGUUGCACGGAGGUUACAUCUUAAUGGUAAAAGUGGAGAUUUGUUUGGUGGAAUUUAUGCAACUCGUUAGCUGAUUAUCUUGGUGUACCCAUGAAUGGAAACGAUAUUGAGUUGCCACCUUCUUAUCUAGAUUAUAAUGUUAUGGUGCGCCAUCAGUUUCUUGAGAGGAACGAACAGUUCCUCCAGUAUCGACUAAUCUUUGACAGACGGCGUACUGUCCAUAUUACUCUCCCUGCUCCUACUUUCUUUAACUUCAGGCAAACAGGAGAUAUUUUAUAACCAGGGAGGAGGCAAAUGAAUAUGAGAGGAGGGCGGAGGCAGCUCGCCUCCAGGCUACAGCUCUCUAGGCAGUACCCGUUGUAUCCUAGUACAACCCCGAUUACGACUUUGGAUAUCCACCAGGCCAGCCAUGGGCAUACACCAACUUAGGCCAAAAGCCUAAGCUUGGGGGAGUACGUAUUUCUCACCGACAUUACAUUCAUGUUCACACACUCAUUCUAGUUGUCGGUGCUCAUACUUUUUCAUUGUAAUGCUAGUUUAUUUUCUUUUCUUGCUUUCUUCUUAUGUGUUUGAAAAACUUUGAGAAAAAUUAGUUCUAGCUUUUAGUUAGUUUACUUUCCAUGCUUGUAGUAGUAGUAUUAAAAGAAAACCCAAAAAGAUUUCCCAUUCUUCUUUUUCUUGUUGGGAGAUUUCCCAUGUAAAUAGUUUUCUUUUUCUUUGAAUUUCUUUUCUUUUCUUUGGGGGUCGAGAGGAGAAGACCACGAUGAAAAUGUUGAGUCGCUCUCAUAUGCAUAAUUGUUGAUCUAACCAAGAGCCCAAGUUACCUUGUCUUCUCAUUUGAAUUAAAUGCUUGCAGAUUCCAGCUUAGUCCAAUGCACGUGCACUAUUAUUAUUAUCCAUACCGUUCGGUCGUGCAAGUGAAAGGCAACAAUGACGAUAUAUGAUGAAAUGAUUGAGAUGGGAGAAGCUGGUAUGAACUCGACCUAUCUUGUUUUUGUAAAUAUGAUUAGUUCAUCGUUCCUGAUUCAGCCUAUUAUGGAUGAAACAUGUUUGCAAUGACAAUUAGAGACUAUAGUUGCUCAUGCCAUGCUUAAUUAGCUAAGAGCUUAUAAUGGUUUACCUUGCAUGCCAACAUGCUAUUAAAAUGGUUGUGAUGUUGUAUGAUAGGGUGGUAUCCUCCUUUGAAUGAUUUGAGUGGCUUGACUUGGCACAUGUUCACGCAUGUAGUUGAAACAAAAUCAACAUAGCCUCCAUGAUAUUUAUGUUCAUGGUGAUUUAUAUCCUACUCAUGCUUGCACUCAUUGUUGGUUAAUCUUAAUGCAUGUUCAUGACUAUUGUCGUGCUCUAGUUGGUCGCUUCCCAGUCUCUUUCUAGCCUUCACUUGUACUAAGUGGGAAUACUGCUUGUGCAUCCACUUCCAUAAACCCCAAAGUUAUUCCAUAUGAGUCCACCAUACCUUCCUAUAUGCGGUAUUUACCUGCCGUUCCAAGUAAAUUUGUAUGUCCCAAACUCUAAACCUUCAAAUGAAAUUCUGUUUUGUAUGGUCUAAUAGCUCAUGUAUCAACUAGGGUUGUCUAUAACUUCCCUGCUAGGUGGGUUAUUCUCACGACGAGUGGACUCCGCUCAUCAUUCACGAGAAAAUGGCCGGUAACCGGGAUGCCCAGUCCCAUGCCUAAAUCAAAUCAAAAUAAUUACAAACAAAACUCCCCUAGGAUUGUUGUUAGUUGGACGGUACCCAUUGUUUCGGGCCAGCCAUGGAAUGUGCUGGUUGGUGGUGGGGGAGUAUAAACUUUACUAUUAUGUUUGCGAACCGCCUAUAAUGUAUGUAGCAUGGAAGAUAUCGAGAUCUCUUGGUUGUUAUGUUGAGAAUGACAGUAUGCUGCUCAAAAUAUUAUUUAUCUCUGUUUCAAAACUCGAGCUCUGGCACCUCUGCAAAUCCCUGCUUCCCUCUACGAAGGGCCUAUCUAUUUACUUUUCUGUUGAGUCAUCAUCCUCUUAUUAAAAAGCACCUGUUGGAGAACACCGCUGUCAUUUGCAUGCAUUGCUAUUAAUUUACAUUUAGUAUGAAUGUGACUGGAUCUCUUUUGCCAUGAAUUACAAUGUCCAGUCAGUCAUUGAUCUUCAGGGGUGCUCUGCAUUUAUGUUUUCCAGUCUUAGAAAGGGCUAGCGAGAUACCAUCUUGUUAUAUCAUAUUAUGAUUAUUUUGAGAAAGUGUUGUCAUCCGAGAUUUAUUAUUAUUGCUCGCUAGUUGACUAUGCCAUUGAUAUGAGUAAAUAUGAGACCUAAGUGUUAUUGUGAAUGUGGUAAGUUCAUAAUUUGCUAAAAAAUUGAAUGCUGGCUUUACAUAUUUUCAACAACAGAUCAAACAGAGUUUGUAAAAGUUUUUCUUUAGCACUUUCAGUUUGUCAACUAAAUUGCUUGAGGACAAGCAAAGGUUUAAGCUUGGGGGAGUUGAUACGUCUCCAACGUAUCUACUUUUCCAAACACUUUUGCCCUUGUUUUGGACUCUAACUUGCAUGAUUUGAAUGGAACUAACUCAGACUAGCGUUGUUUUCAGCAGAAUUGCCAUGGUGUUAUUUUUGUGCAGAAAUAGAAGUUCUCAGAAUGACCUGAAACUCCAUGGAGUCACAUUUUGGAAUUAAUAAAAACUAUUGGAUAAAGAAUCAAUAGAGGGGGGCCCACACCCUGUUCAUGAGGGUGCAGGGCGCGCCCACUCCCCUGGGGCGCGCCCCCUGCCUCGUGGCCCCCUUGGACCUCCACCGACCUCAACUCCAACUCCAUAUAUUCAUGUUGGGGGAGAAAUAAAUCAGAGAGAAGGAUUCAUUGCGUUUAAUGAUACGGAGCUGCCGCCAAGCCCUAAUCUUCCUCAAGAGGGCUGAUCUGGAGUCCGUUCGGGGCUCCGGAGAGGGGAAUCUGUCGCCAUCGUCAUCAUCAACACUACAAAAAAAUACACUUCCGUGAUGAUACGUGUUUGUCACAGUAGGUCGCGUUUUUUGUCAUGCAUGUGCAUCCAUGACAAAUUUAUGACAGAAUCAAGAUAGUCAUACCUGUGCUGUCGUAGAAGUGUUCGAUGACAUUACCAAAAUUAUCAUCACGGAAGUGUCCACUUCCAUGACGAUAAAUCACGCGUCACAGAACUGCUUUCGUCAAGGGUGACCGACACGUGGCAUCCACCGUAACGGAACGCUGUUAAGCUAUCGGGUUGGGUUUUGGAUCCGAUAACCCAUUAACAGCCCCGACCAAUGGGGAUUUUCCACGUGUAAAAUCAUCAUUGGCUAGAGGAAACACGUGUCGGCUCACCGUUGGGACAUAUGUCAUCCACUCAUUGGACAGGAGGCGCCUAUGAUACGUCGACACAUGGCACGGCCCAACAGAGGCACAUUCCAGUGAAAAGGCCGGCCCGGUUGACUUGGUCAAAAGGUGGCGGGCCGGCCCAUGGAAAGCCUGUUAACGGCCUGUUCGCAUAUAGCCCAUUUAUAGCCCGCUAACCCAAGGCCCAUUACGCCCUAUCCGAAUUAGGCCCAGUAACAUCAUCUAGGCCAUCCAAUAUGAUUCCAGCCCGUUUUUACUUCUGGCCCAUGUAUGGCCCAUGACGUCUUUUGGCCCAUAUGAGGCCCUAUGUAACUCUUGGCCUAUUAACGGCCCGUGGUGAAACUAGCCCGCAAUGAACAGUGUAUCACUUUACACCCACUAACGGCCCAUGGUGAAACUGGCCCGUAAUGAACAGUAUAUCACUUUAUACCCAUUAAGGGCCCGUUAUUUAGUUGGGCUGUUUCCAGCAAAUGUUAUCUUUCGGCCUUCUCAGAGCCCAUUUAUUCUUGGGCUCAUUUCCAGCAUUCGUUUACUUACGGCCCGUUACUGUCAUUUUCUGCUUGUGGGCCAAAUUCAGCCCGUGGUUACAUCGGCCCGUUUGUGGUCCGUUAAUACGUUGGGCCGUUUUCAUAGCGUCAUCAAAUACGGCCUAUUAACGAUGGCCCGUUAUGGUUAUACGGCCCAUACAAUGCCCAUUGAUGAUACGGCCCAUAGAAGGCCCAUUGUUUCUACGGCCCGUAGAAGGCCCAUUGUUUCUACAGCCCGUAGAAGGCCCAUUGUUUCUACGGCCCAUAGAAGGCCUACUGUUUCUACGGCCCGUAGAAGGCCCACUGUUUCUACGGCCCAUAGGAGGCCCAGUGUCACUACAGUAAAUAUUAGCCCAUGGUUAUUGUGGCCUAGUUUUAAAAAGAACUACACUGACUACAAGCAAACAAAUAAACAAGACAACAAGGAAAUAAAUAAGCAAGCAACUUAUGCUAGGUUAUCACGGCUGUUACACAUAUUACAUCCACUGGGCAUCAAAGUUCGCCACCAGUGCAAAUAUAGGGAACAAAGCAGCAUAUCAUAUACACUGGUUGUCAAAGUUGGCGACCAGCGCAAAUAAAUGCCGCAGCAAAACAAAUCCAGAACUGAAACCACUUUAGAAGAUCUCAAGAAACAAUAUCCUGGGUACCCAUAAUGCUGGCAAGAUGCUUAGCAAGCUUAUUAACUUUCUCUUGUUUGGCGCUUAAAUCCUCCAACGCUUGCUGUUGCACCAGAAAAUAUGCAUCUGAAUUCUGCAGGGACUUCCUCAGUCCUUCAGCUUCCUGUCGCAGCGCAUCUGAUCGAUGUCUUUCAACUUGAAGUUGAGACUCAAGAAGACGAACUGAUUCAGGCAGCAAGUUCGAAGAGCUUGUGCCAGCAGUAGUGGCCAGUAACUCGAACACUACAUCAAGACAGGACUUUUGGGUUCCCUCACUAUCGUCAAGAUAGUUUUUAUCAGCUUUCUUGGAGACCAACAAGGAUGUCUCACUAUCUUGAACCUUAUCUGCAUUACUUCCUUUACCAUUGGAUAACGCGGUACUGUUCUCCAAUAUUUUGUCCGCAUUCUAAAAGAGAAACAAGCAGACACAUCACAUGUUUACCAUGUUGUAUAUGAAACUCAUUUUGGUAAAUGAGUUUAGUAGUAAAGUGGACAUGAUAACAGCAUGAAACAAACAUAUAUCUAUGUGCCACGGUCACUUUAUGGUCUAUAUCAUUCUAGUUUUUGUUGCCAAAUCAAGAUAGAGACAUAGUUCAAAUAAUAUUUGUUCAAGACAAAGCAGAAUAGACAGAAUAUAAGUGUGGGUAACUAUAGGGCAAUAACAACACUUGUAAUGUGCAUGACAUGAGAACAUAACUGUUUAUUCAAUUGAAACUGAAAUCAACAUAGAGCAGGUUACAACAGCAAACCAGUUAAAGAAACAGGUUUAAAACAUACCUGUUGCGCCAUUGGAGUUUCAAUUCCAUCCUUCAAAUUUGAAAAUAGUUGGUAUGAGUAAAUACAGUAAUGCAAGAGCAAAGGAGUAUGAACCAUAGCUACAAAACCUGACCUGAGAACAAAUCUUCUUCUCCUUUAAGCGUUGAGUUGGGAUUCAGAGUGGUGGUCCUCAUGCUUUGGGCACUGCAGUUCCCUUACUAACCACUCGUGUUUGGGUGCUCUGUGGUGGAGACGGUGCUGUGUCAACUGGAACUGGGUUACUAUCUGCCGGGGUUGGGGUUAAAAGGGGUGUAGCUGGUUCUCUGUCCAACUGGGUAGGGGUACAAUCGGCGAGAGUCUGGGUUAUGUGUGGUGGAUCUGGUCCUUGGGCAAGUACAACCGUGGUUCUAUCUGCAUCAACUAAUAGCACUAUCUUUUCUGAAGACCGUGUUGUUACUCCCUUAGAUACUGCCAUCACGCUCUCCAACUCAAAUCGCUGAUAAACAAGAAAAGUAAUUGAAAGUAUAGACAUUGUAUGAUAGACAGGUGCAAUGGAUAGUGGGGAAUAAAAGAGGGCAUGAAAUAAUUCAUAUUUAUGUUGUCUAACCAAACAGGAUAGCAUGACACAAUUUCACAUAUAUGAUGGCUAACUAAACAGGAUAGCAUGACACAAUUUCACAUUAUGAUGGCUAACUAAAAAAGGUGGAAAGACAUAGUUUAAAAUAUGAGACUAUGUAAACAGGAUGACAUGACAUAACUAUGUAAUGUUUUUAUUAAAUAGGUUGGCAUGCCAUAAUUCACAUACAUUCAUGGAUAGAAUGCCAUAAUUCUAAAUAUGAUGACUGUAAACACUAAACAGGAUGAGAUGAUAUAACUAUAUGAUGUCUUUAUUAAAUGGGUUGCCAUGCCAUAAUUCAGAUAGAUGAUGUGUAUGUACUAUGUAAACAUGAUGGCAUGAUAUAAUUCAUAUAUAUGAUUUAUAUAGUAAGCAAGUAAGCAGAUGGCAAUCUAUAUAUGAUGUAAAAACUAAGCAAUGCAAGACAACAUGCAUGACAUGGGUAAUAUAACCCUGCCAAGUUUGAGCAUAGACCUCAGGGGGGAAAUAGGACUGGUCAUCAGUCUCUGAAUCCUCCUCUAAGGAGCUCUCUGUAGCCAGCAAGAUGUCUGCUUCAGCAGGUAGCAUUGUCUGCUCUGAAUACCUUAUUUUCACUCCAGAUACUUCCAUCACCGCUUCAAUCACAUACAUGAUGAUUGGCUAAACAACAUGGCAUUGCAUAAUUCACAUAUAUAAUGCCUUUGCAACAAGAUAGCAUUGUAUAAUUCACAUAUAUAAUGUCUUGCAACAAGAUGGCAAUGCAUAAUUCACAUAUAUGGUAAUUAGACACUAAACAGGUGGCAUUCACACAAAGCAUGUCUAAACUAAUCAAAUGGGAUAGCAAUGCGAGACACCAUACGCACGAUAUGAGCAACAUAACCCUGCCAAGUUAGAGCAUACACCUCGGGGGGGGGGAUAGGACUGGUCAUCUGUCUCUGAAUCCUCCUCUGAGGAGCUAUCCGUAACCAGCGAGAUAUGCGCUUCGUCAGAUAGCAUAGUCUGCUCAGAAGACCUUGUUUUCACUCUAGAAUUUGCCAUCACCGUGUCAAAUGGCUUAUGCACACGAAGAGCAGUUGAAUGUACUAACAUUGUUGACGAAUGUAAUAUGUAACGAAAAAAAGAUGGCCUGAUAUAAUUUACAUAUAAGAUGACUGGCUAAGUAGGAUGGCAUUGCAAAAUUCACAUAUAUGAUGCCUGGCUAAACAAGGUGGCGUUGCAUAAUUCACAUAAAUGAUGAAUAAACUAAACAGAUGGCAUUCACACAAAGGAUGUCUAAACUAAUCAGAUGACAUAUUUAAUGUAUAAAAUAAGCAAUGAAAGACACCAUAUGCAUGAUAUAACCAACAUCAGCAUGCCAAGUUAGAGCGAAGACCUCAGGGGGUAAAUAGGAGUUAUCUUCUCCUUCUAAAUCCCCCUCAGAACAGAUAUCUUCCUCUCGAUUACAAUCCUAAAUGCAUGGAGGGGGGCUGCCUUUGCGCCUACCAUGGAGCGACGUCUGCAUGAAAUUAUAUUGCCAUGCAAGGCUCGUCUCUUUUGCUCUACAUGUUCAGUUCCAUUGUUUACAAUAACUGUCAUGCAUAGGAAUAAAACAUAGUGAGAUUAUGUAAGGAGUGCAUGCAGAAAUCCAGAGUGAUGGUAGCAACCUGUGGAUAGACCCAAAACCAAUAAUAGCAGGCAGAUAAUGGCUUCAGUUAAUAAAUACAGAUAAUGGCUUCUUUACUGUUUGUUUCCCACCCAACAUGAAACUCAUAGUAGACACCGGAGAUUAACCAGAUAGUAGAUAGAUACUAUCGAUAGCGGCCCCGAUAUGUACCCCACAACCAUUUAAAAACUCAAGUUUGACCAUUAGUUUGGAGCUGACUCAGAGUCUAAUCGGUGAACAGGACGAUAAAGUAGCAUGUAAUAUUAAGCGAUGCAUAACGUAAGCAUACACGAAAGAGUGCGACCUCUCUUGCGGACCCGUGUAGUCCUCGAGGUCAUCUACUCGGUUGAUGAUGGUAAUGCAGUUUUCAUGGCUGCCAGCGGCGGGGAAGAAGAUCUAAGGCGGCGAAAGACAGUCUGGAGGCCGGAUCCCUGCUCUGUUGGACCCUUUUGUCGUUGGAGCAGCUGAGCUGGGGUGGACGACGGCGCAGCAGGACCAGGACAAACCACGCAAGGUUUUCUUUGACAACUAUCUGUAAGAGAAGUAAUUCUGUAAGGGCUCGUUUGAAUUGGAGGAUUCCAACAAUGCAGGGAUAGGAAAUAGACAUGAAUAGGAUAGGAAUGCACGUGCAAAACAGAGAAUUUAAAAACACAGGAUUUCUGCCAAUCUGGGUGUUUGAUUCACAACAAUUGGAAGAUCACAGGAUGCAAAGAAGCAUGGUGAGAUUAAGUCAAAUCACAAAAAAAUGUACGGUUAUAAUGCUAUUAUGCUACUAUCUCUUAGUCUUGUGCUUCAUGAAUAGGAAUUUGAAAAGGAGGACAAGUGAAAAUUAAAAUUCCUAUGUUUUUUCUUUCAAGGAGACACUAAAGGAACAAAUCCGUGUGCUCAGUGGACAAUAUAUAUAACAUGUAGUGGAAAAUAUAUAUAUAACAUGUAGAGUAAAAAAGAGAUGCAACAAGUGUACAACCUCUUUGGCGAAGCCAUGUCGAUCUCGGCAUGAUUGGGUUGGCCGGUGAGGAUGCUCCGGCUGACUUUGCUGUUGGAGGAGGGGAAGAAGAUCUUAGGCGUCUGGAGAUGGAGCCCGAGGUACUGCUCCGCUGUGAUGGAGGGUUUCGUCGUUGGAGCAGCUCCGAUGAGUUGUACGAAGCCGAGGCUGAAGCAGGACAAGAGAGACAACAAACAAUGUUAACCUGAGUGGAAUUCUAAUAGCAUCUACAAUACAUGACGUAAAAUAAAUGACCACAAAGUUCUAGAUGUAAAAUACAUCAGCCGCUCAUCUCUGACCUUAACUGUCGAAACUGAACUUAACUGUCAAAACUGAACCUAACUGUCCAAACUGAAUUUUGCUGUCGAAACUGAAUUUUGCUGUCGAAACUGAACGCACUAGCAAGGUGAGGCUACACGUCGGUCGACUGACUUUUUCAUCUCUGGUCAGUCGAUUUUGCAGCCGUUGGAUACGAAAUCAAGGGCCUGCGGUUCAUCUUCAACCUCCACCCCCUCUGAGCCGCCAGCCACCACUGGCCAAACAGCAGCCCCCCGCCGCCCGCGGCCGGUGGUGCGCCACCCCGCCCGCCCCGAAAACACUCCCCACCGCCGGUCCGCCGCCGCCCCGGCCAUCCCUCUAGGCCCCCUCGUGCCGAGCUUUUUCUCCGGUGAUCCCCACGCCACCGCCCCGCCAAUGCCCCGCCACCGCCAGCGACCACCGCCCCCAUCCUGAACCCUAAGAUAGAUAGUGGGGUACCUCUCCGGCGAGCCCCCUCCCCGCUGCGGCUGGUUCUUCCUUCACCCCGACGAGCCCACCCCUUGGAAAUCGACUCACCCAAAAGUCGAUUCAGUCGACUGAAGUGUAGCAAAAUAGGAGCAGCAUCGCAAGCAAGAGCAAGAGCGAGAGCAGCAGCGCGAGCAAGAGCAAUAGCAAGAGCAGACCAGGCAGGGGACCAAGAGCAAGAGCAGAGCAGCAGCGCGAGCGAGAGCUAAAGCAGCAGCAGCUCCUACUGAUGUGGACGUAGCCACCGAGCGAGCGAUGCCGUGGAGGAAGUGGCCGGCGACGCCGCCGUGGAUGGAGUCGCGCCGUGUCGGCUCGGGACCGAGCGCUGACAGCACCGUGAGAUCGAAUCAAGAAGAAAAUGCGGCGAUUAGUGUACAACCUCUUUGGUGGCGCCAAUUAGGCCACAGCUUCAUCCGAGGAAACGGUGAUGAUGAUGCUCUUCCGGUGGUGCAGGUGAAGACGGCGGUGUGGGAAUGGAGGUGGCGCGAAAGACGAGGGGAACGUCAGGGCAGCUCCUUGGAGGUGGAGGACGGGGUGGCUGAACCGGGACGAUAAGAUCGAUGACGGAUCCUCAUCCGGUACGGUGGAUGAGGGACGUCGAGGUGUUGCUGUGGACAACGUCGUCGGGGAAGAAGCUCCGGCUGGGUGGCGGACGGAGCAGGGUGUGGGGUUUCGUCGCGGGUUUUCGCGGCCUCGGUGUACGAAUGGGUGGGCGGAUGGGAUGGCAGUGGGGAACCAUGGCUUAGAGACGCGCUUGUCCGAAAUGUGGGGUAAGUUACGAAAGUACCCCCCCCCUCCCCACCGAUUUGAGGCGGUUCUUUCGGUUCAGGGGUACCACGGGCAUUUCGCGUGUCGGGAUUUCACAGGAGGUGGGAGUUUUCGCGCGCGUUGUAAUUUCGGAAUAGCAAGGCGCGGGUUGAGAUGGAGGGAGUUGUCGGAGCACAACGAGACAAAGAUAUAUCUUAAAUAUUUCGGGCUAACAAGGCGCGGGUUGAAAUUUCCGGACAAGCCUAACGUGUACUGUACCAAAUCAAUGCGCACUACAAAUGUCAUUCAAAACUUUGAAUUCAUGUUAUGUUCAAUUAAAACUAGCAGGGUGACCCGCGCAUUUGCGUGGCUAGAUUUAUUGAGUAUUGUCAUAGUUGUCGUUUCAGAUUUCUAUGUGAUAUAUAGUGCAUGGCUUUGGUUAUUACUAUUGUAUAGACUCGCACUUAUGUAAAUCAACUAAUGAUUUUUUAAUAAGAGGUUGGUGAUGAAUUAUUGUUAUUACUAUUAUUAUUAUUUUCAUAUAGAUACAUAAUAUGUGAGCACUUUGGUUAGAUGUAUUACAGGAUAAACUCAUAUAUCUAUGUUUGGAGAUAGUUCUAGGCUUUUUUUUCUUCUGUUAGUGACAUGUGUGUUUGCUCACCUUACAUCUUGUUAACGUCGUAUUAGAUUUUGAGAAUUUAUGGUACAUAACUCUGACCAUUAUUUUCUAUAUGAGUGUUUGUACAAAAGCGAUAUGACGAUAAGAUUACAUAAAAUGAAAAUAAUAUUAUAAUAAUUUUAUUUGACUAAUCUAAAUACCACAUUCUUCUCAAUAUAUACCUUUAUGAUUUAACAUAGAUAUAUCUAAUUUUAUUAAAUAUCUUCUAGAUAAUUUGGAACAAAGAACGUGAUCUAAACAUUCAUUUCCUUCCUCACCAACCUCAUCAGCAGUGCGACAUUGCAUUUAAUCGUGUUUUUAUGGGGGCCCACUCAUCCAAAUUUUCUAAAUCAUUCCAGCUCCAUAAUUCUCAACACAAUGUUUAUACCUUAUGGUGGUGUCGAUGCAUGGUGUUUGCAUCAAGUUUUAUUACUUGGCACACUAAGAAUAUUAUCACAUAGUUGACAUAAUAUCUGCAUCCAACUAUUUGGCAUGACACAAUGUUACAUUCUUUUCAUGAUACUCUACCUCGUAGAGAUGACACAACAAUGGUCAGUCGAUUCUUCUUUCCUAAUGCUAUAUUUGUCCUUCAUAUUAUAUGUUAAUCCUUACCAAUCUACCAAAUCUCACUUGCUUCACAUCACCAUGAAUUCAAUCUACCAAUGAUGAUCAAUUUAUAUAGCUUCCGUGCAUCUCUAGUAUUCGUGUUGAACUACUUUUAUAUACUACCAAAACCAUUAAUGUUGAUACAUUUCCUACACUUCUCAUAUUUUUCUGUUUGCCGAAGUAACAUAUACAUGCCCAAUCAACUUUGGCAUGUUACAUUGAAUAACAUUUCUUCCAUUACUACAUAUUACAUGAUGUCGACUGGACGCAAUUGCUAUUUUUUAAUUCCAUGUGUAGUUUGUAGGUUGAAUUGUAUAUAUAAUCUCUAGCUAUUUCUUAUACUUUGUGUACGCAGUGUCUAAAAAUAAGGAAAAUUGCUACCCGUUUUUCUUAUUAUAAAUUAUUAUGUAGUAAACAGUUGUUGUUUUUAUCCAUAUGAUAUGAAAUUUGUAUGUCAUCAGACUAUAUAUCUAAAGAAAAUUUCCAACUAAUAAGAAUUUUCCGAGUCACCAUGAUCAUCACUAUAAAGUUAAUGGUAAUAAACAAAUUAUCAAAUAUGUCUUAUCCAAUCCAACUUCCCCUGGGAUACAAACAGAAAAGCAAGUCCUCUAGUUAUGGAUGCAGUACUCACCACACUAAACAUAGGAAGAACUAAUUCAAGUAGAAUUACAAAUAGCGAGAAGUGGAUGAAAAAGGGAUUGAGCCGGUUAAGACUCGCAAAACAUCAUCUCUUAGCCUGAUCAUCGUAGCUUGUGUAUCCAUGUCGAUAUAUCCAAGGGGUGUACAGUGACUUAUUACAAUACUUUGUUUUACUCUCAACCACUUAAUUGAUACAUAAAUCAACAAUUGUAUAUGGUGAUAUAUUAGGAUUUCUUUUUCCAAAUGUAUAUUAAGUGAGAUGUCAUUGCAUGCAUGGAAUAUGUGUGCCAACUAUGACAGAGCCUUGCGGCCAAUGCAUUUAUUGUGCUAUCUUAUAAAAUGUUUAAGUUUGUUGUCAGCUACAACUUAUGGAGCCGGUCGAACAAACAAACACAGUCGAUCCCUAUUUACCUUUUAGAUGAACACACAGAUCUUUGAUAUAUGUAUAUAUAAGUACACCAUGGAAGAAAAAGCGUAUAAUAUGUUUCUUGCUGAUGCUGCCCAUGAUGUCAUCAGUGUUUUUUAUCUUUUCCAGAAUCGUAGUUUUUGACACGAAAAUGUUCUGCCAGGUUCUCUUUAAAUCAGCAUCAUUAUAAUUAGGGUCCAUGAUAUAACCGAUGAAUGAGAUUAUACAGUCUAUCUGCAUAAGUAAGCCAAAGUGAGUGCUUAAUUUUUGUUAAAGGCCCACAAAAAAGAGUUAAGGUACAUGCAUAUUUUUGUAGCAUCUUGUAAGACUUUUUCGUCGCACAUGUGUAUUUACCCUCUAAGUUUUUUUAGUAUGUAUCAGCACCUAUUAAUAGUGGAAUAUAACCUUUUUGGGUUAAGAUCUAGCGUGAUAUUGAUAGGUUUUGUCUACCAACUUUUUGUUCUAAUUUCUGGGCUUUAUUAAGAGAGUGGGAUAUAUUAGUGGGCUACAACAAAGACAGAGAAACGGAAUUACAUGCAAUCCAAAUGAGGCUUCGGUUAAAACGGGGUACUUUCUUAUUUUAAUUUAUUUUCUAUUUCUCGUGUCAGAGAACCCGUUGGAUUCCGGUAAAAAAACGGAAGGAUGGUUUUCUCAAGUAUUUUUAAUGAUGGAUGGCUUGCAAAAUUAAUCUUUUAGAACACUUGCUAUAUUAAGUGAAACAUAAAAAAGAAAAGUAGCACAUUUGCUCGCUGGAUUUAUUAAACGUAUUGGCUAUGACAUCAUCCAUUAUACCAUACCUUGCAAUUUUUGUGCAGGUCGGAUGCAAAAAGAACGUCUUAUGGUCCUCCGAUUUGCAUGUAAAUAGGGACCCUAGCUGACCACGUGACAUGACCAGCUCCCGCCGUGCUGUAACAAAACGUAUACAUAUGUAUCUCUUUCCUUCUCUGCGUGGUCAAACUAUUCCUUCUUUCUUUUGACAGAUCGAGCUGGACUCUUCUUAAUCCUUGAUCGGCUCAUGUGUUGCAAUACCAACGUAAGCCUAUGUGUCUGAUUGUGCCCGAUUCUUUUUUUUCUAGAAAGGCAUAUGAGUUAGACCAAAGACGUGUUGGACUAUUUCUAUGUGACGUGCCAAAUUGUUUGUACUUGAUAUAUUUGUAUGUAACAUUACAUCUUCUAAAUCUCAACCGUCUAUAUCUAAAAUUAACGGUUGAGGUAAUUUAAUCUGUGUGGACGAACGUGGUGGCUUAUUUGUCUUCUAUAUUAUGUAUAUAAUAGAUAUUUCGCUACGUAUAUAAUGCAUGCAACCUACUACUCAAAUGAACGUUUUAGUGCAUUCCAAACGUAUAUACUACCGCUUCAAUAUGAACUAAAUUUGAAUAAGAUCUACAGUAAUGAUUGUUGUGAAGUCAAAGCAUUUGAAUUCGUUUCUCUGUUUUAAUAAGAUCUACAAUCAUCAUUAUUGUCAAGUUAAACCAUCGUUUGUGUAUUAUCUUCACAGCACACCACAUGAUCAGUAUCGAGUUACAUAUGAACUAUGUGUACUAUAUGAACUCGAACUAGAUUUUUUGAAUCCACUUUAUUUUGAUUUCAAAUCACAUUACAUUUCUAGCUCUAGCUAGAUCUUCAUAAUCUAAACCAUGUCUCAUAUGUAUAAUGUGUUUAUCACAUUAUGUAUGGUGCCCCGCCCCCUACGCCUACAAGUAUUUAGAUGUGAGUUGCAAACACCACACAUUACCACAAAUUCAAAUAAAAUGUGAGAAUGUUCGAUAUAUAGUAUUGUUUAGAUUGCUCGAUAUUUAGUUGUAAGCUGCAAACACCGCACAUUAUCACAAAUUCAAAUAAAAUGUGAGAUUGUUUGAUGUAUAGUAUGGUUUAGAUUGUUCGGCAUUUAGCUGUGAGUUGCAAACGCCAUGCAUUAUCACAUUAUGAUAUAACAUGUGCACAGCACGUGUAUCACCGCUAUAUUCAUGCAUGCAAUGUUUAAAACACUAUGAUCUCCUAUUCAAAUAUAUGAAUCCGCUUUCAUAUCAAAUUAUGAUCUUUGUUAGUCUCUUACACCCACACAGUCCUCNNNNNNNNNNNNNNNNNNNNNNNNNNNNNNNNNNNNNNNNNNNNNNNNNNNNNNNNNNNNNNNNNNNNNNNNNNNNNNNNNNNNNNNNNNNNNNNNNNNNNNNNNNNNNNNNNNNNNNNNNNNNNNNNNNNNNNNNNNNNNNNNNNNNNNNNNNNNNNNNNNNNNNNNNNNNNNNNNNNNCCGGGCACAUUCAUUUUUUCCUUUAGGUCGUUCUCCCAGAGUCUCCACAACUCCUUUCCGACACACACGAUCGAUAAACCUCUCCAGCGAUGCCUGCCUACAGCAUACACACACAACUUCAAUCUCCUCCUUUAUGUGUCCUUGCCUCGUGUCUCUCAUAUGGUCAAACACAUGUGUAAACUCUCACCCCUCUUUUAAUCGAUCUCACAACCGCACACUCCUCCCCCUAUCCAACUAGUAGUUGGGCCUCUCGCACCACCUCCUAGCUCCAUUCUCUCUGUCUAUCCGUCUCGCUGGGCCUUAUUUGCCUCUAACAAAUGGAUGUACACCGAUCGAUCUCUCACUAUACAUAUAACCAGCUAGGUCCUUAUAACUUGUUUUUACCCACACAUCGAUCGAUCUACCUCAUUAGUUGUGUCUCUCCCUUCCUCCGACAAACAACAAUUGAUUCUACCGAUCUAGUUAGGUUUGCUUACCAAACACAUGGUUCCCCUUCAUCAUCCAUGGAUGCGUCCCGACAGAUCUAUCACGCACAGGCACACACAGAAACACAUCCCCACUCUUAUUGAUAACAUUGCAGUUCCACCCACGGUUUGUCUAGUAGGCCUCUCCCAACAUCUCCGAGAAGCAACUCCAUGACCCAUCCAGCACUCUACCCCUCUCCCUCCCUCUCCCUCCCUCUCUCUCUCCUCUCUCUCUCCCCUCUCUCUCUCUCUCUCUCUGUCCCAUUAUAUUUCCCGUCCUUCAGUUAUGUAUGGAUGUCGACCGAUCUCCCUCAUGACAUAGUUGGGUCUCUCCUUCUCAACACAUAUACGAGUCGUUCUACCUCUAUAGUUNNNNNNNNNNNNNNNNNNNNNNNNNNNNNNNNNNNNNNNNNNNNNNNNNNNNNNNNNNNNNNNNNNNNNNNNNNNNNNNNNNNNNNNNNNNNNNNNNNNNNNNNNNNNNNNNNNNNNNNNNNNNNNNNNNNNNNNNNNNNNNNNNNNNNNNNNNNNNNNNNNNNNNNNNNNNNNNNNNNNNNNNNNNNNNNNNNNNNNNNNNNNNNNNNNNNNNNNNNNNNNNNNNNUCUAGUCAUGUCUUCCUGCCACACACAAACUUGACAUGUGCCCUCUAAUGUUCCGGUAGGCCAGUCGCCCUAUAUCUCUGACUUGCACACACACACGCAAUUUCGAUGGCUCUCUUCAUCGAUCUCGCACCCAUACUUGAUCCUCUCUUCGACUCUAUCGAUAGCUAUGACCCCUUCCUCUCUUCUCGUGGAUUGCCCGACCCUCUAUGUAUGAUAUGGAUAGGCCUCCAUUUCAGACACAUUGCAUGCAAAAUUUUGUUUGAGAUGUCAUCGACACAUAUUCCCACAAAUAAUUCACGAAAUGAACCCCCCACCCCACCCCCAGCCCCCACCACAAAACAAAAAACACUCAUGAACGCGGUUUGUAUCUCUCACACACACCCACGUAGGUGGGGGACGUGCACGAAGAGAAGAGGUGCAUGCACGGCGCACGUACUCCCGUCUUUUUCCCAACCACACUCGCGCGGGUACACGGUGGAGCUCAUUUCUGUACGAAAAAGGCAGCCCACGUGGUAAUUUGGCACGUGUACUAGUUGUCCACUUGGUGGAGGGAGGAUCGUCUACCACGGGUGAACAAACAAAUUGCGACUUGACGCGUUAUGUUAAAUUAAAAAAAAGAGGCAAACCAUGUGGGGCCUACCUUAGAGGCAAGGCUCUAUACACUGGAGUACUUUUGAUGUGUCCCGUCAACUCGCAGAAUGAGGAGAAGCUUGCUUAGUACGCCGUCUCCCCCGCCCAUGGGCGCGGUGUCUCACAGGAUGAGGUGAAGCUUGCUCCUCCCUCGCCCAUGCGCGCGGUGGCUCGCAGGACGAGGAGAAAAAUUUACUACUCCCUUCGUUUACUCCUCCCCUACUACCUUGGUUAUAGAGAUUAUAUCAUAUUGUUUGGAAUAUAUAUGUCCUUAGUAGAUUUCAAUAUGAACUACUAGUACAUACUCCAAACACUGAUGUAUAUAGACGUAUUGUGUACAUUCACUCAUUUUCCUCCGUAUGUAGUAGCACUCUCCCUCGCCCCUCGACCCUCGCCCACGUGGUGGACGUGCAGCAAUUCAUUAAGUCUCAUAUAGCCAGAACGAUGUAUACUGCACUACCAUUAUUGCUCGACUUACCGAAGAGGCGAAGAGCCAAUCGCAAGGUUAAUAUUUUGGAGAUGCCAAGCGCAAGGUUAUAGGAGAACGAGUAGUAGGUGCCGCGACAUUUAUAAAUAUUUUUUUUCAGUGGCACGUAUGCAAUAUGAUAGGUUCAUAUGGAGAGAAAAGGAAACCGCUCCACUAUAUACAUAGUCAGGACGGGCCAGCCUACACGGUUGCUUGCUGGGGUUGCUCUCUUCACACUUUCUCGCACAAAACGACUGUGGCCACAUCUCUAACAUCCUGGCGGAUCACGUCCGCUUGGGGAAGGGGUGGAUGCUUAGUGUAGAUGCGGUGUCCGUCGCCGACGGUGAAAACCCACUGUCGGCAUGUCCUGAUCAGGGGUCCCCGCCCUUCUCUCUCACAAAGCCGGUGAGGUUGCCUUCGUCCCUUGCUCACUGCCGCGACGUGGGCAGUUGCCGCCUCCCGCCGCCCUCCUCAAGGUCGAGCUACGUCCCUCAGGUACAACUUCCUUUACAGCCGGCUUGCACCACUGCUCCAGCUGCCCACAUCACCCCCUGUGGAUAUUUCUCUACUUCUUUGCCCCGCACAUACCUGAUACCUCUACUAGCUUCUACGUACUGUAUUUGUGAUGAGUUUAUGUCUCAUCAACUAGUCCUAGUAAUCUUAUUCUAAUCACGCUUAUUCAAUUUCUUUGCCACAGGGAUGCUCAUCUCGAUUUUGGUGAAACUGCACAAAAUGAUCCAAUGGUCAAAAGGUUGCAAACUUCAUUUAUUAGGAAGCUCGAACGUUGCCAGCAAAUUGAAGCCUAGUCAGGGUUCACGGUUCAAGGGCUAGGGACUGCAUGGAUCCUUUUUUUCUUUAGCUGCCUCUGUUCCAAAAUAAGUGUCAACUUUAGUAGUAGUACAACUUUGUACUAAAGUUUGCACAAAGUUGAGACACUUAUUUUGGAACGGAGGGAGUACAUAUUUGCUAUGAUCUGUCAAUCAUUGAGAUGCAAUAGCAUGCAUGUUAGUCUCCUUUGUAUUUGAUGAAAUGUUGCAACGGGCAACCUUGGACGCAAGAUACAUGUAACAGGAGCUGGAAGCUUCAUAGCAUUGUACAAAUUUAUCUCGCUGAUAAAUUACAGUACGUACUAGUACUAUACUAGUACUUCCUCCUUUCCUAAAUAUAAGUCUUUGUAGAGAUUUCACCAUUAACCACAUGCGGAUGUAUAUAGAUGCAUUUUAAGUGUAGAUUCAUUCAUUUUGUUCCGUAUGUAGUUCACCUAGUGGAAUCUCUACAAAGACUUAUAGAAGUGCCAUGCAUGGUUAUACUUAUGUUAUCUCGCAAUUGAUUCUUCACAGGAAACUACCAUGCCAUGCAUGUUAUGUAAUCAUGUUCUGUCCUCACAAACAAAUUCUUCAAGGUAACAGACAGACCAUGCAUUGUUAUAUACUCGUGUUCUAUGGGCAAAAUUUUUGUGAGGAUAUUAUUCUAGCCAUUGAUUGCUGAAGGGAGAAUAUAGGUAAGUACACAUGGUAAGCAUUAGAGGAUUUCACUACUUCCAAAUAUAGAGUUCUCCAUAUGCACAUUUACUUCCCUAAUGUAUGGUUAGAUGAAACCAACAGUGUGGUGCAUGCUUCUACAUCAUGAAAAUGAGGAAACUAACAUGGUCAUUGAUACACACUCAUAUUUAGUAGUAGUAUAUAUAUUACUAUAAAACAAGGAGGAUAUCCAUAUAUUCCUAACCGUUUGAUUAUUUGGGGUACAAAUUGGCUGUAAUGACAUGGUCACAAUCGCAUGAAUUAACUCAUUCCAAAUAUAGCUGAUUUACGGCGUCUCUAAUACAUUGCCAUAGUUCUACUCAAAUUCUGCUCAAACAAGGAUAUGCCAAUCAUCACAAAAAGUUCAAACAGUGUCAUGGCGUCAUCAUUAACAUGAGACAGAAACAACUUACACGCGCCGUCCCAGCAAUACGUGGUGCCAUCUGCUUUGUCGAUCGCGUAGAUGAUGCCAUUGUGUUCAAUAGCAUCAUAGAAGUGUGUAUCAGCUUUGACGAUGAUCCACUACGAACUGAGUUGUCUCCAGCUAAAGAAGGCACCGGCGCCGUGGUCGAACAAGGCAAUUAGCUUGAAGUCUACGUAAUUCGCAUGUCGUGUGGGCACUUGGCAGAUUACACUCUUCUGCAAAACAAGGUCUAUCCAACUGACGUGGUAAUCUAGAUGACUUGGACCGCAAUGGUAAAACUCUAUAUAAUCCAACAGAGGAAGGAUAAUCUCAUGGGAGGUCUAGAAGUUCAUGAGAACCAACUUUUUACCGUCUUCUCUGAAGGCAGGCAUCCAGUGGGAGUUCACGCCGACCCAGUACAUACCUGCCAAGAAGUUUCGGGCGAUGGUGAUCGGAUCGAAGUCGAGGGAAAUGAUGUACGGCGACCCACUACAUACCUGCAAAGAAGUUUCGGCUAAUGGAGAUCGGAUUGAAAUCGAGGGGCAUCGUAUAUGCCUCCGUAUCAUGGUGAGCAAAUCUCACAAGACUAGAUAGCAGCAAGCAGGGUUGUAACACCCCGAAUGUAUCUUUCCAUAUUUGUAACUCCAACUCUUGCCAUUUUCGGCUAUGUGUUGUGGUAUUCCCUCCGUGGUUGGGUUUUUGUAUUUUGUUUUGCAUUUUGUUCAUGUCAUGCAUCUCAUAUCAUCUCAUCAUGUGCAUCUCAUUGGCAUACGUGUUCGUCUCAUGCAUCCGAGCAUUUUCUCCGUUGCCCGUUUUGCAAUCCGACACUCCCACAUGCACCGGCGCACCCCUCUUGUCUCUUUUCGUGAGCGGGUGUUAAACAUUCUCGAAAUGGACCGAGGCUUGCCAAGUGGCCUUGGUAUAGCACCGGUAGACCGCCUGUCAAGUUUCGUGCCAUUUGGAGGUCAUUUGAUACUCCAACGGUUAACCGAGUAUCCACAAAGGCCUCUUUUGGGUUGCAGCCCAACACCCCUCCAAAACAGCCCAAUAACCCAUGUAAGUCACUCCCAUGCUCUCCGUCGUUAGAUCACGGUCGUGUGGGCGAAAACUACACCCCAUUUGGAGUCUCCUAGCUCCCUUUACAUAUAAAUAUGUCCUCCCCUCCGAAUUUCCGGGACCCGAAACCCUAGCCCCGCUCCCUCCGUGCGCUGGAAGUGUCCGUCCCGGGACGAACAUCCGCGCCGCCGCCGCCCGGUGAACCAGGGCGCGCCACGUGGCACCCGGCCACCGCGCGCCNNNNNNNNNNNNNNNNNNNNNNNNNNNNNNNNNNNNNNNNNNNNNNNNNNNNNNNNNNNNNNNNNNNNNNNNNNNNNNNNNNNNNNNNNNNNNNNNNNNNNNNNNNNNNNNNNNNNNNNNNNNNNNNNNNNNNNNNNNNNNNNNNNNNNNNNNNNNNNNNNNNNNNNNNNNNNNNNNNNNNNNNNNNNNNNNNNNNNNNNNNNNNNNNNNNNNNNNNNNNNNNNNNNNNNNNNNNNNNNNNNNNNNNNNNNNNNNNNNNNNNNNNNNNNNNNNNNNNNNNNNNNNNNNNNNNNNNNNNNNNNNNNNNNNNNNNNNNNNNNNNNNNNNNNNNNNNNNNNNNNNNNNNNNNNNNNNNNNNNNNNNNNNNNNNNNNNNNNNNNNNNNNNNNNNNNNNNNNNNNNNNNNNNNNNNNNNNNNNNNNNNNNNNNNNNNNNNNNNNNNNNNNNNNNNNNNNNNNNNNNNNNNNNNNNNNNNNNCGCCGCCGCCCCGCGCCUUCGGCCCCGCCGGAGUUCCGCCCUCCGCCGCCCGGCGCCGGAUCCGGCCGGCCCAUCUCCUCUCCGGUUGUCUCCGACCCAACUCCGGCGAGCUCUGGCCCCACCUCGGUUCGCGUGCCGGACGAACCCUAGAUCUGGAAGAGGUUGACCUUGUUUUUCUCCAAGUCUGCAGUAUUUGUAUGCCAUAUUCAUCGCAUCAUAUCUCUGCAUCCGUAGCUCUGUUUCAUGCGCACGAUAUAUCAAAAUGUUCACCACGAUGUGCUCUUCAUUUUGUUCCAUUGGGCCAUGUUCAUUUGAGGUCAUCUCGAUGCCCAAAACUCUGAUGCAAGAGUGCUAUAUAAUGUUAGUUUCUGAUUCUUAACAGAUUAUGGGCAUUUGUCAUUUUUGCUACAUUUAAUGUGUGUAUCUUAUGGGCAUGAGCUCUACAUGUGUUUUGGACUAUGCCAUGUCUUCUUUACAGAUGUGCUUGCCAUGUAUUUUUGUGAUUGAUGUGGUGACUAGAACAAGCAUGCAAACUAGGCUUUGUGAUGUUGCCGAUUUCAGUCCCUGUUCUGCUGUUAUUUUUAUGCCAUGUAAACUUGAUGCUACAGAGAGAUCCAUGCAUAUUUUGAGAUACUUCGGUAAGGAUGUUUUGAAUAUAUGGUUAUGUUCUAUCCAUUAAUGCCCCUUUUUGCAAUUAUGGAGUAGCCUAGCAUGUAAUUUUCUUGAUCUACUUUUGCUAUAAAAUGUUUCCUGGCAGAUUGUUUACAUGUUAUUCAAUUUUGCCAAGGUUGUUGUAGUCGAUCCUUGCAUGCUAUAAACUUGUUCUUGCCAUGUUUAGUUUCAUAAACAUGUAUUCUUGCUGGUGCUAUGCUUAUCUUGUCAUGCAAUGACAUGUGGUGAGUAAAUAGAGCUCGCAAAGAUGCCUUCAUAAUGUUGUUAAUGCCAUGCUCUGUUUCCUGAAUCUGUUAACGAAACUUCUAUGUUUACAUGGGUGCCAUCAUAUCUUCUGGUCCUUUUUGGCUCAUGGUCAGUAAAGGACUUUUGUUCUAUGCUUCUAGAAGUAUCAUGCCAUGCCUUAAGUUUCUAUGAUAAGUUCCUAUAGCAUGUCUAUUGCUUGCUCUGAACAUUGCUUCCUGAUGUUGUUUGUGCCGUGUUAAUAUUUUUUUCACCGUGUCUGUGCUGCUGUUAUCUUUUGCACUUUUGCCAUGGUUGUUUGAACCUGUUAAUGUGUGAAUUAGCCGUAGCUUAGUGUACAUAUUUUGUCAAGCAUCUCUUGUAGAUCACUGGCAUGUGCUUUGUUGAUAUGUUCGGGUGUUGUAGCAUAGUUUCUUGAUGUAUUCUAAGUGCUAUAAUGCUGUUAAUCGCAGAAUUGCGUCAUUCUUGUUUUGCUUGCCAUUUGCAAACCGUGCAUCCGAUUCCAGUGAUAUUUAUAUCGAUUUCAACCGAAAUCAUCUCAUAUUUCCAGUGGCAUACUUGGUUUGUUAAGUUGAUGCCUUGUUCAUCAUUUUCCUUCUGGAGCACACAUACGCAUUACAUAUCACAUCUCGCAUAUCAUGCCAUGUAUUGCAUCAUGUUGCUUGUGCAUUGCACCGUGAUUUAUUGUGGUUCCAUUGCUUGUGUUGUUGCUUUGGGUAGAGCCGGGAGACGAGUAUGUGAACGAGGAACCUGUUGAGUACGCUAACGAGGAUCAAGCUUUCGACAACUCUGAGAACCUUGCAAGCAAGAUGACCAUACCCUCGAUAUCACUUCUAUCUUUGCUUUGCUAGUUGCUCGCUCUAUCGCUAUGUUAGCUCUACCUACCACUUGUUUAUCAUGCCUCCCAUAUUGCCAUGUCAAGCCUCUAACCAUCCUUUCCUAGCAAACCGUUGUUUGGCUAUGUCACCGCUUUUGCUCAGCCCCUCUUAUAGCGUUGCUAGUUGCAGGUGAAGAUGAAGAUUGUUCCUUGUUGGAACAUGGAUAUUUUGGGAUAUCACAAUAUCUCUUGUUUAUUUAAUGCACCUAUAUACUUGGUAAAGGGUGGAAGGCUCGGCCUUAUGCCUGGUGUUUUGUUCCACUCUUGCCACCCUAGUUUCUGUCAUACCGGUGUUAUGUUCCUUGAUUUUGUGUUCCUUACGCGGUUGGGUGAUUUAUGGGACCCCCUUGACAGUUUGCUUUGAAUAAAACUCCUUCAGCAAGGCCCAACCUUGGUUUUACCAUUUGUCACCUAAGCCUUUUUUCCCUUGGGUUUUCGCGAGCCCGAGGGUCAUCUUUAUUUACCCCCCCCCCCCGGGCCAGUGCUCCUCUGAGUGCUGGUCCAAACUAGAGCCCUUUGCAGCGCCCCCUCAAGGAAACUUGAGGUCUGGUUUUAGUUGUACGGAUUGCUCAUCCGUUGUGCCCUGAGAACGAGAUAUGUGCAGCUCCUAUCGGGAUUUGUCGGCACAGUCGGGUGGUCUUGCUGGUCUUGUUUUACCAUUGUCGAAAUGUCUUGCAAACCGGGAUUCCGAGACUGAUCGGUCUUCUCGGGAGAAGGUAUAUCCUUCGUUGACCGUGAGAGCUUGUGAUGGGCUAAGUUGGGACACCCCUGCAGGGUUUUAUCUUUCGAAAGCCGUGCCCACGGUUAUGAGGCAGAUGGGAAUUUGUUAACGUCCGGUUGUAGAGAACUUGACACUUGACUUAAUUAAAAUGCAUCAACCGUGUGUGUAGCCGUGAUGGUCUCUUCUCGGCGGAGUCCGGGAAGUGAACACGGUUUGGGUUAUGUAUGAACGUAAGUAGUUUCAGAAUCACUUCUUGAUCACUUCUAGCUUCUCGACCGUUGCGUUGCUUCUCUUCUCGCUCUUACUUGCGUAGGUUAGCCACCAUAUAUGCUUAGUGCUUGCUGCAGCUCCACCAUAUUACCCCUUUCCUACCUACAAGCUUAAAUAGUCUUGAUCUCGCGGGUGUGAGAUUGCUGAGUCCCCGUGACUCACAGAUUCUACCAAAACAGAUGCAAGUGCCGAGGAUACCAGUGCAAGUGGCGCAAUCGAGCUCAAGUGGGAGUUUUACGAGGACCUUGGUCUUUACUAUGUUUCGUUUCCAGAUGAUCAGUAGUGGAGCCCAGUUGGGACGAUCGGGGAUCUAGCUUUUGGGGUUAUCUUCUUUUCAUUUGAAUUUGACCAUAGCCGAUCUAUGAGUGUAUCUUAAAUGAUGUAUGGAUUAAUUUAUGUAUUGUGUGAAGUGGUGAUUGUAAGCCAACUCUCUUUAUCCCAUUCUUGUUCAUUACAUGGGAUGGUGCAAAGAUGACCCUUCUUGCGACAAAACCACCAUGCGGUUAUGCCUCUAAGUCGUGCUUCGACACGUGGGAGAUAUAGCCGCAUCGUGGGCGUUACAAGGGUGUCUUGAAAAGCUUAGGCCUCGCCUUUGACGAUGGAUGUGUGCAUGUCCCUCCAGCAUGCAGCCAGCUGCAGGGCGCUCAACAUAUCCAUACACGAACAAUAGAGGUCGAGGAUGUCACUGGGGAGAUUGCUCCAAUCGCGGCUCAUAUGGAUGCUAUGCGGUUCGCGUUCGGCCAUGGUGGAGUUUGGAGGGUGGGGGUUUUGGGGGACUUGAUUGAAGGGGGAGAAGGCUGUCGGUGCUGGAGCGGCUAGCGAGGGAAUAGUGGUACUGGAGGAGGCGAGCGAGGUGAAGUACACGGGGGCAUAGUGAGAUGGGGACGGAGAUGGAGAUGGAGUGGUGCUAUGGGAGAGAAGAGGGAGAUGAGGCGACGCAUGCUAAUGUGCUAUACAGCGGUGGUGACAAGCUGCACAGUGCACAGGGUGAGGCUAACUUUGGUAACCAAACACGCCGCCCGGACUAGUGUCAGGCGCAGGGUGUUGUCACUUCACUGUGAGGACCGGAUGAAUAGUAUUUUGACCAUCAAGUGUACCACAAUUGUACUACUACUAGUAGUUGGAACAUGAGUACUCCAGUAUUGUAUAGCGGAAAUAGGUCUCCCGUGCUAGCAUGCCUGUUCACUUCAUCCUCCAGGUAUCAUCCAUAUUGCGAGCAAAACCAAAUUGUCGUGCAUGCGGAAGCGCGAAGAUGGGACUUUUCUUUUUUGAGGAUAACCGUGUAUUCCUUAACCAGAGAAUGUUGUGUCUCCCACGCAUGCUCCAAUAUCCAUCUGAACCAGCUACGACAUAUUUUUUUUAUCUGUUUGCAUAGGUCCCACCUAUCAGGAAGGAUGGUCACAUACACGAACAGGUACGACUCCUCAGUCUACCCGCAUAACCUUUUCGUUUAGUCUACCUAGACGGCUAAUCAACUGCCUGCACGCCACUUCUCCCAUUUACUUCUCCAUCGGGAACCGAUUUUCCUCGGCUUCUUCACCUCCCCUUUGUCUUCAUUUGCAUCCAAACCCCACUGAGUUCACAUUGUUUUAACCUCUUCACAUACUCCUGGAGUAAUUCCUAAGCCCCUUUAAAUAAUCAUCUACUUCAGUUAGACUAGCCAUCUAAUCCUAAUUCUCCAAACCUUAUCCCUCCGUUCCAGUGGUUCCAAAUGGCGAAAGAGAUCGAGAUGCAGGUUUUUAGCAUCCAACAUGUCCUCGUGGAAGGCUCGUUGAGCAUAUUUGCCGCCGUCACCAUCCACCCAAGGGUUGUUCCGAAGUGGAUCAACAAUGUAUCCAACUCCCUCAAAAAGGUAGAGAUGAGGGUCAUCGGUCUCGACGUAGAGUAUACGGAGUGUGCCACUGGGAAGAUCCAACGCGCCGCCGUCCUUCAGCUGUGCCUCGAAGAUGAUGUUUUGGUGUACCACAUCAUACACGUGCCCUCCAUACCAGGUGAGCUUCAUGAUUUCUUGUCUCGGGAGGACAUAUACUUCUGUGGGGAAGCCUUCGAAGGGGACAAACAGAAGCUGGCGCCGUACAACCUUGAUUUGAAAAGCAUCGCUAACCUACAAACCAGAAUCAAAAUUCAUGUAGAAGAUUGUGAUAAACAGACACCAUCCCUAUUCGACGUAGCAAAUUUUGUGCUCGGUACAAAUGUUCAGAAGGGUGACGAGACGCUGGCAUUAAGGUCGUCUGGAUAUGAGAAUUAUCCCUUGACAUACGAGCAGAUAAAAUAUGCUGCCCUCGAUGCCCGUGUGAGUUUUGAGAUAGCUGCAGGGUCCAAAGAGCUUGUUGCGAAGCCGUCUCCCAUAGAAAAUGAGAAGAAGAAGAAGAAGAAGAAGAAGAAGAAGAAGAAGAAGAAGAAGAAGAAGAAGAAGAAGAAGAAGAAGAAGAAGAAGAAGAAGAAGAAGAAGAAGAAGAAGAAGAAGAAGAAGAAGAAGAAGAAGAAGAAGAAGAAGAAGCUACACCUUCCCUCUCGGUGUAUAUUGAUAUAGAUGGACUAUUUUGAUGGUGUGCAUGUCUUUCGAACAAGUAGUAGUGUGGGUCCGCUUGACUAUAAGGAACUAUUUAUCCGCCUAGCUUUCUCUACUACUCCUUCCAGUGAUCGGUAUGCAAUGCAUGUGUCCGUAGACAAGACAACUUGUCCAUGUAAGUUCAACUACGACGACCAUCACAUUUCGUCCACUGCCACUCGCGAUUCCCACAAUGCCGCUCCAACCCACGGCACCAUGUCCCCCGACGUACGCCUCACCCCUAUCGGUCGCACUGCCCCUCUGUCUUUGUGUGCAUGACAUGUGGGCCACCUUAAAUGCGGCUAGCAUCAAGUUUCUACCAUAGCCACACGCGAUUCCCACGAUGCUGCUCGAACCCAUGACACCACACGUCCCCCGACCUGCGGCUCACCCCUCUCGGCCCCACUACCCCUCUGCCUUCGGGAGCAUUACAUGUGGACCAGCCACCUACCGGAUCCACAUGUUAUUGACUCAAAGGCAGGUGUAGUAAGGCACUGAAGCUCAGUCCCGAGGGCCCUGAGAGGGAAAUGUAACUCCUACACCAGGCCUUUUGGUGCUACCGCUGCAUGAACUCAUGCCAAACUCGAGAUUUGUUUCUUUACUAUACAUGCACACAACGAUUUAAUGGACAUUGUAAUCUCAACAUGUGAUGGGGAGCUCUAAAUUGGAAUUUGAAACUUAUAAAACAAAAGGAUCAGAUAAACUGGGAGAGAGGGAUUAUACUGUAGGAUGUGUCCCAUACGAAACAAGUCCCCUGGUUUCUCACCGUAAAGAUGCGGUUAGAAAGGAGCACAACAUCUUUGUACUCGUACGGCAACAAAUCGGCCGCAGACAGCAUGGUCCACCUUUGACCGCCAUGUGCAAGGUUCAUGUUAUCUUCUUCAAUCUCACCGUGGUUCCAUCGUACCAAGUCAUGCAGUGGCCUGUUGCAUGGAUGAUCCCAAUGUUGGACAAAUGUUCUACGGGAACGAUGUCACCGUUGUAAAUGUUGUGCAAAUUGAUGUUGGUACCCUCCCAUACAUAUGCAAGCCAAUCUCCACUCGCACCGAGCCUAACCUGUGAAACAGUGGGCAGGGGGAGAAUUAGGAAAUGGACACGGAAGUAGUCUUUAAAAUGCAUUUACUAUGUAAUCAAACUCAUCUAACCCUCGCUUCUUGCCUUCCGUGCUAUAGCUAGAUCUUCCCCUCAUUUCUGUUUUCCAACCCGGCGGCGGGCGGGGUGCGGCUUGCCAAUAGUCGGUUUGCUCAACGGCGGUCCCACAUGAAAGUGAAAAUGGUAGGCAACACGCCUUCCCUAAGCUAUGUGUCGUGCCGGACGGGCCGUGGAGUACUCCCGAUUCUCGGGCGUGUGGGGGUGCUACGCAAAUGCGGCAAGCCUUUUCCUUUUACUAGCAAUGUGCCCGUGCAUUGCGACGGAUCCAAAGUAGUAGAAUAGUAGUACUUGUUCACAAACUUGAAAGAAAUCACUCUUGUUUUGAUAUACUCCUAAUAUAUUACUUUUCACUCAAAAUAUAUUUCUCAAGCUGUUUUGAUGAGGUGAGGGGGGGAUGUGGUUGCUUUCAAGAUAAUAAGGGGUUUUCUGCAAAUUGGAGCAUAGAAGUGGGCUAUUGUUGAAAAAAUUCCACAACUUACCUCACAGCUGUUAGAUGCAGAUCUAAUGGUCAGAAACUACGGAUGGCAGACACACCACCAUCACCAACUGAGUCUUUUAUAGGAGUAGGAGUAGAGAAACAUGUAUAAAUUGUAACAUUUGAUUCUGCUCCUUGGCAUGAUCUAUAGAUAGAAAUAACGAUUGGAAAUGGUAGGGCGGGGCUAUUUCCGCCAGAUAAGCAGGGUACGUAGUAGCUAGGUUGGUGCAUCGUCGGUUUGGUCACAUGCGGUCCGACAUGUUCUAGUGUUUCUAGCAAGAUGCCCGCGCGUUGCACGAAGUUGAUGGAAAAGGUAAGCACAACUUAUAAAUUGACGGAUGGAGUACUAACUAAAGUGAUGCAUAUAAUUAAGAAAAGGGAUCGCACAUGUCGGUAUUGACUGGAACGAGAAUGCAACAAUACAAUAAUAAUUAAGGCCACGAUGAUGCGAUUGCAGUGGUGGUUACAGGAGGCAAGAAGAAAGAUGCAUCCAUCAACGUACGACCUCCUCCUCCCCAACUUAGUGCGCCAGGCCACCAACCGGCGGCUAAGGAGUGGCGGCUUUUGUGGCGAGGUCAAGGUGCUUCUCAGCAAAGGCAUCCAAGGCUUCUAGCCGGUUGAGGAAGGCCAACAUCGUAGCGUCCUCACUGGCCUUGUAGAUACAUAUGUACAUGGUUUGCUCAUACACGUGGAUGUGUAGGUCGAUGAAUUCUUGUAGGGCGAGGCGCCUCGCAGCGAGCACGACCUCCAGGUGGACAUUCUUCGUGGCAUCGGCGGGUAGUCGUAGGGCCACCAGUGUUUGAAAGAGGUUCUGACCAUGGAGACCGAUUAGGGUGGCAUGCAAUGAGGAGCCCAGACACGCGAGCUGGAGGAGUACGAUGAUGUCGUCCGCGAGCUUCUUGAGGACAGUGAACUUGUUGGUGGUGGCAAAGAUCAUCUGGUCCAACUGAGAGUCGUAGUUGGCGUCGACAGCGGCCAUCCACCAGCCGGUCUCCAACACCGUCUAGAGACGAUCCUCGGCGCCAUACCGCAGGCCGGCGUCGUCGACCAUCUGGCACAGCCGCUGGCCGCUCGCACACAUCGCCGCCAUGGGUCUGGAGUGAGCACUUUUGCGCUUAGUGUAGGUGCUUAGGCAAAUGCUUAGGUGCGUACGAUGUGGUAGAUGCACUGGAAUGGAGGGGCACCUUUAUAUGAGGGCAAACCGCGUUGCAUUCACAUCAUGCAGCCUCUUUUCCCGGUCCUCCUCCCAUUACUUCCCUCAUGUAUUAAUUGAAGGAGGAUGCAUUGGCCGUUCAACAUUUUGGGAACCGCUACUCCCUCCCUUGUCUGCAUUAAAGCCGUAUCGGGAACUGCACCGCCCGCUAUCAAAUCGAAUAGUACUGCCCCGCCCGCUGCACACCCAGUUGAACACGCCUCCUCGCCUAUAUCAAACCCCUUCGUUAAACUCGCAUGCAAACUGAGAAACCUACUCCGGCCACACGUCCGUUCAUGAGCGGGCCAAAAUUAAACGCAACACUGGCCGAGCUCCUCUCGUCCGCCCUCAGUUUAAAUGAGGCCAGACGCUGGCCAAGCUCCUACCGUCCGCCCUCUAUUUAAACGAGGCCAGACAGACAGCGGGCAAGAAUCGCACCCCUCCGCCGCUCCCCCAUCUCCUCCUUCACCAUUUUCUCCAAUCUUUUAAUGGCUUCCGAGGAGCCGUUCUCCGGCAUACUACCUGGCUGGGUGGCCCGCUGAGCCCUCCGGAUAUGGGCGAGGCCGCUCGGUGAUUCACCAACCUUGCUUGGCCCGAUGAAGCCAGUUGCCGCCCCAUGCAGGCGCGUGGUUCAGCAACUCGCCGCUCCAGUUCAGCUCGAUGAGGAGUGGAAGUUGCUCCACGCCGGCACAGCGGCAAGCACGCAGGUACAGGCGUCGUUGCUGCCGCAUCAUACCGCACCACCAGUGUCUGCGGUGGCCGCGCCUCCCAUGUCUAUGGGCGCACCUCCCGUGCCUGCAGCAGCGCCAUGCAGGCAGAGAUAGAAGCCGGGUGCGUGGAUAGCGACGAGCCAGUGGACAGCUUCUUCGUGUCUGCCGCCAUCAUCGAGGAGAAGUAGAACACGGGAGGCCGCCGACACUUGGGUCCCAUGAGGGCCAGCACCAAGGCGACGACUGCGCAUUCAGGUGGUUUCUUUGCUGCUUCGUCUCUUCUGAGGACCUUCGUCGACCCUGCAAGUGUCUGCCGGACAUGAGGAAGAUAAAGGGAUCCGCGAGCGGCCAUUUAGAUUAUGUACUCCCUCUCCAGCUGGCGGGAAAUAUUUGUUCUAAGAAUGGAUAAAUUGUAUGUAUCUAUAACUAAAAUAAGUCUAGAUACAUCCAUUUCUAGGACAAGUAUUUCCGGAAGGAGGGAGUAUUAGUUAUACCAAGAGAGUCGGAUUAGCACCACUUAGUUCAUGUAAACGUAAUGAAAUCCAUCAUGUUUAUAUGAAGAUCCAGCUUUUUAUACGAAAUCCUUCAUACUUAUAUGAAAUCAGUCCGUGUUUGCACGAAUUUCAUCUGGUUGGUUAGAGUUGUGAAAAUGUAUGCCGCUGGCGUUUGAUGUCGUCCUCCGCGGAAGGAAGCGGGAGGAAAUUUGUUGGCUGCCGUUGGAGAUGCUCUUAUGCUGGAAAUAAUAGAGUGACAUCCAAUCCAUUUGAGUUAAUUGCGUGUAUGAUUGUCCCUCUAUAAAAAGUUAAUUGCAUGUACAGUUUACACGUGACUUGCAGGGUGGCUACAGAAAGUUAAAAAGAAACAAGUCCAUCCUUAAUCUUGUAUUUUAAGUACUCUGUGGGUUCCACCAGCAGUACAAUAGUGAAAUAAGUAUAUAUUAAAUAAGUAAUAUAUAGUAUAAAAAUCUAAAGUAAAAGACAGAAUUCGAACUCAUCUCAUCGCGUUGCGAGCAUCCGACGCUAUCCAGUCCAACACAUUUUUGUUGUAGACCAUGUUUGAGAUAUAUGUCCAUGUCUACUCUUAUACUCCAUCCGUUCCUAAAUAUUUGUCUUUUUCAGAUUUCAAAUGGACUACUACAUACGGAUGUGUAUCCAGACAUAUUUUAGAGUGCAGAUUCACUCAUUUUGCUUCUUAUGUAGUCAUUUGUUGAAAUAUCUAAAAAGACAAAUAUUUAUGAACGGAGGGGGUAGAAAACAGAGUUGGUGAUGUUGGUGUGUGUGCCAUCCAGCAAUAUAGGCCGUCGGAUUUAUAUCUAACGGAUAGGAAGGAAACUAUGGCAAUUUUGCAAAAAAUAUACCCACACCCCUCUCCACGUUCGCAAAUAAGGCCUUCCCUCGUUCAUCCUUUUCUCUCACAAGAUAAACUACUCAUACAAAUGCAUCUUGAUGUUCCAUGCAACGCACGGGCAUCUAGCUAGUUUCUUUUAAAAUAGUUACUGCGAUAAUUGGGCUGAAGUGAUAUAUUUUAUGUCUGCCCCGAAUGAUUUCAGAUUCACUAGUGGUAACAAAGAAAAGGUUGCCUUGUUAAUUAACAGAAAACAGGGUGAAAACUAUCACAUGAGGCCGAUAAAAACGAGGCACACUGGGUUCAGCAUCAUCGUCACUACAGAUGUGCGCGUGCGAGAAGUCUACAUAUCGAGGGGCUACUGAGCGAGGCACAGAGACACAAUGUUUGAGAGAGAAACCAAUUGAGAGAUUAUGAUAAUAUCGAGUUGUCACCCUUCUGCUAUCAUUGUUGGGGUGGGGGAGGGGGAGGAGAGAAAGACGUAUCGAGUGUGCGCGGUAGGCAUAGAGGCACAACUAGCGAGUGUGUGUAGUGUGUGUGUUUGAAAGAGGACUAGAUAUAUUACUAUCAAGAUCAAGGUGCCACCCUACUCCUUUGGUAUCCGGUAGUGUGUGUGUGUGUGUGUGUGUGUUUGAGAGAGAAGCCAGUCGAUAGAUUGGUAUCGAGAUCAAGGUGUCACCCUACUCCUUCGGUGUUGGGAAGUGUGUGUGGGGGGGGGCAGUGACACUUACAUAUCUCUACUCUUAUAAAAAACAGAGUUGGUGAUGAUGGUGUUCCUGCCAUCCUGCAAUAUAGGCCAUCCGUUUAUAUCUGACGGAUAGGAAGGAAACUAUGGCAAUUUUGCAAAAAAGAUACCCACACCCCUCUCCACAUUUCCAAAUAAGGCAUUCCCUCGUUCAUCCUUUUCUCCCACAAGAUAAACUACUCAUACAAAUGCAUCUUGAUGUUCCGUGCAAUGCAUGGGCAUCUUGCUAGUAGGGAGAAGGAGUUUGUGUGACACACAUCUAGCUAUAUCAAGGGAUAGGUAGAUAGCAUGUGUGCGAGGCAUACUUAAAGCAUCACGAAGAUAAACAAAUGGUGUGCAUGCAAGUGCUGGAAAAAAUGAAGCGAGAAACAAUGUGUACGCGCGCGCACGCUUGUGUGUGUGUGUGUGUGUGUGUGUGUGUGUGAGAGAGAGAGAGAGAGAGAAAUCUCAAAACAAAAGGUGCUCUGUUGGAAUCCCAUUAUAUGUAUUCAUAUGGUUCCGGAAGUCGAGUUAACCUUAGGCAUAUGUGUGAGAGACAUAAUUAUACUUUGAGACAUUAGUGGCUGUGGGUGGGCGGAAUUAAAGGGGUGGGCGUGUUCGACAGAGAGAGCAUGUGUGUUUCUGUGUGAGAGACUUGUAGGACGGGGUAGAAAGACGAAUUCUAACCUUGACGGAGGGAGAGAAAUACAUGAAGUGUGCGCGUGUGAUUCCGAUACCCACAGGGAAAUGAGAUAUGUAUGGGGUGAGAGAGAUUGCACAAUUCAUUCAUGUAUCACUAUCUAGCGAUCAUGGACGUGCAUCGCUUGAUCAUAAAUCAAUAUCUUCUUCAUACCGUGGCCAAAGGUACAAUAUCGAUUCAAUGCUAUAAAGAUUGGACACUCACAUAUCACAUUUUUUCUAUCUAAAUAAACCUUUUCAGUUGUGCAUACCAAAGUUACAGUGAUGUUUCUUCAAAUAACCAAUUUAGCUAUCAUGUACAUGCACCAUUGUUACUCUUGCAUUCAAAUUCAUUAGUCUUGGAUGAUUUAAGGUUCUAUUAUGAAGUAAUAUAUGUAAUAUUCAUAUAUGAAUUCAACGGGUAUGCAAUUUAUGAAAUGGAGGCUAUGUAAUCAUAUGAGGUAACACUUUUAAGGAGUGGACUACAAUAUACAUUUCUUUUUGUGCGCCUCUACACUAACACGUCAAUGCAUUAUGUUUAAAGUAAAUAACUAAUGGCACUAAAUUAUCUAUUUACACGAGAAUACAUAGGCUGAGUGUUUGAUCCCUUUUUUUGUGAAAGCGCCUCUACACCCGCUCGAUUGGCCGCGCCCGUGUGAACGUCCAAGUUACCGGCGCAUCAUCCUGAGUUAUUGUCUUUUUUCUGGGGUGGACUACACACCAGUUAUUAACUGCUGACGCGUGCCCCGUGAACAUAGUCUCACAUGACCUUCCCGCUAGCACGGUCCAAAAUUAGUUGAAACCAGAUACGAAUGAUCCCGCGGGCGGCAAAAUCUCCUGCCUCCUUCUAAAAUGUCCGCCACCAAGUCUUUAGCAUGCGAAAUUCCCCUUUUGUCCUUGGUACACGGAGACCAACAGUUACAAUACCGCCCUCAUCUACAUAAUAGGUAGGGGCUGCUUUGGUAACUUCUGGUUCCCCCCACCACACGGCACCCCCAUUUCCUCUCCCGAUCCCUCGAAAACAACUAACUCCACAGCACCAGAGCAUCUUACAUCACGCCGUCUGUACUUCAUCGGCCUUUCUACCCCUCCCCUCUCGAAACCCUAGACUGCUCAUCCACCGGCAUACAGAGCCCAUUCACUGCCAGCAACGUCCACCUCGCUGGAUCUGCUUCUGCGGCUGCAUCUACCCCUUCCACCUCCCCUAGAAACAAGUAGACUACUCAUCCACCAUUGUACCACAGCCCAUUCAGUGUCGGCCUUGUCUGUGGCGCCGGAUGUGCUUCGCCAGUACUCUCGUCAACCGCAACACAUCUGCAGCGGCUCAUUCGUACUCCCCACCGGAGACGCUUCGUCCACACCCCCCGGAGCUGCCCCACCGAUGCCCCUGUCGACGGCCUCUGAUCCUCUUUGCCAACACCUUCCUCAAUCCUACCGAAGCCGCUUCGCCGAUACCAUCGUCAACCCUACUAGAGUAGCUUCUCCUAUACCAUUCUCAACCCUACCGGGGCCGCUUUGCCAACUCACAAGUCCACGGCCUCAGAUCCGCUUCCUUGCACCCUCAUCCAACCUACCAGAGCAGCUUUUGACGCCCCAUCCAUGGCCGCAGAUCCGCAUUAUCGACACCAUCCUUAACCCAACCACUGAAGUAGCUUCACCUACGCCCUCAUCCACGGCCACAGAUCCGCUUCGCCCACACCGUAGUCCACCCUACCGGAGCCGCUCCACAAACACCCUACUCGACGAUUCUAGAUCUCCUUACCAGACCCCGACAGCCAGCACAUCAUCAUCACCCUGAUUCCCACCGUCUGGCAAGAUGCCAAGCCCCCGCCACGGCCUAUGUACUUGUCACGUUUAAACCCGUCCAGCAUCACCUGCCCGAUGUACUUCAAAUAUACUAACAGGUCACUGUUACCUGUUAUGCAGCUGGCAAAAACUACAAGGAUGAUGUUUCUUCUGGAUCUAAUAGCUUGGCCAACCAAGAUCCUGGACUGAGGCAUUGCUAUGAUCUUGUAAGUGCGUCUCUCUCUCUUGUAUUGUUCUGUGCCUGCCAGCUUGCUUUGCUAGGAUUUUCGACCAGUAAUUCCUUUGUGCAGACAAUGAUUUCUACUACUGGCUGCUAAAUUAGAUAUGUAGAUGUCAUACAUUAUACUACCUCGUACCUCCGUUCCUAAAUAUAAGUCUUUCUAGAGAUUCCACUAUAGGCUACAUACAGAGCAAAAUGAGUGAAUCUACACUCAAAAAUGCAUCUAUAUACAUCUGUAUGUCGUCCAUACUGGAAUCUCUACAAAGACAUAUAUUUAAGAACAGAGGCAGUACAUUACACAAAAUCGUAGGAGGCAUGUAGGAAUUCCAGUGCACUACAUUAGGCUCCCUUAGAGUGCCUGCUAGUCCAGCACACAGAGUCAUGGCUAGUUUAUGCUACGCACACAAUCAUUAAUUGGUGGUUUAAAUAUGCGCAAGGGAUAUGCAAUGUAUUAUUAUGUAGAGAUGUCAGAAAUUAGCCGUGUCAACUUGUAGAUGGGGUUACACAAUGAAAAAGUACAAGAUGUAUAUGGCAAUUUCAUGGAACAUCGCAAAAAAGGAGAGGCGGCGGUGAGCCUAUACAGUGUGCUAUGGUACGUCACACCUCCAUUGCAAUCAUCGUGACAUGUUAUUUGUAUGUCAGUUCUAUUGGCCAAGUUUCUUAGGGACAGUUAUUAUGAGUUAUCCUAAGAAAAUAAGCACAUGUGAAUAUAAGCUCCAUGUAAUAAGCCAACCAGUUCUUUUCAUUGCCUUCCUUUUGAGCUUAUCUUUGGUAUGAUCAGUGAAAAGUCUAGAUUGCAUUAUAUUUUUUCAUUUUGCUGCCCGUAUGAAAAUUAAUUUGACUUGCAAACAUCACAAAUUGAACCCAGUGCAGUAAUUAAUAUGAUAGGAAAACAAACCAUCACUAUUUGUUCAAAAUCCAAAUACAAAGAUAACAUCUACUUGGCACAAUCUACUUUGGUCAAUGUCUUCCAUAGAAAUCCCAUUGCCUAAUUUAAACGAAGAACGCAUGACCCACAUUUAAAUGAAGAACAAUUAUUUAUUGAAAUUUGAUGGUCCAAGUGGCUGGUUAUUAUCAUAUAGCGGCACCACCUGAAAGCAUCAUAUAGCAGUAGCAGCUCAUAGCAACUCAUCAUACAGCAGCAGCAGCAGUGUGCAAUUCAUCAUAUACCAGCAGCAGCUCAUAGCAAUUCAUCAUAUAGCAGCAACAGGAGCAGCUAAUAGCAAUUCAUCAUAUAGCAGCAGCAGGAGCAGCUCAUAACAAUUCAUCAUAUAGCAGCAGCACGAGCAGCUCAUAGCAAUUCAUCAUAGAGCAGCAGCAGGAGCAGCUCAUAGCAAUUCAUCAUACAGCAGCAGCAGGAGCAGCUUAUAGCAACUCAUCAUAUAGCAGCAGCAGCAUCUCAUAGCAAUUCAUCAUACAGCAGCAGCAGCUCAUAGCAAUUCAUCAUAUAGCAGAACCAGGAGCAGCUCAUAGCAAUGCAUCAUAUAGCAGCAGCAAAAGUAGCUCAUAGCAAUUCAUUGUAUAGUGGAUCAGAAUGGAAAUUUGGCAAAAAAUCAGAGGAGAUCCUCACCUUGUUGGAUGAUCUCAUCCUUCAACAGCACCUCAAGGCCACGUCCUGGGAGGAGGGGAGGGGGAAUAAGGUGCCUUCUACCGCAGUGUGGCAUCAACCGUAGUUGUGCAGCGCCCGCUGGAGUAAUGUGUUGGACGGACCACAGUGGAGCAGCUCCUGGAGACCAUGAGAAUGAGGGGCGGCGCCAGAGGGAGGAGCAGCCAGGGAGAUUUGCCCCUACCCACCGGCCAUGUAGCCUAGCUGGACAGAGCAUCGUCGAGGACCAGGCCAGAUGGGACCAGUGGCGAUGGCUCGCUGGAGGAGCCCUAGUGUUGCAGGCAGGGGAUCGAGGUAGAGGGAAAGUGAAGAGGAGAUGCAAGCGGGCGGGGCAAUGAACGCUUGCGUGUUUGUUUUUACUUGAGGGUCAGGUGUGACGCGGGCGUCAACAGUUGCAUUUUGAGUGUAAUAUAGGCAGACAACAGAGUCAUUUCACUAUUCCCCUUCCCUUCAAUUUUAGUGAGGUUCUACCCGAAACACCCCCUCCAAAGCGAAAGAAGUGAAACCCAAGCCCAUAACUCAAAAAUGACUUCUUUACAUUUUUAUGGCUUAUUUUGACAAUAAGCCCUGAAAAGGCAGAAUCGAACUGCCCCUUAACCUGCAAUCCAAUUAUGCGUGCAAUGAUGAAUCACUCCUGCCUGCUAUAGUGUACAUUUAGGCAUCAUCAUACAUGGCAUAACCUAAUACAUGUGCAUUCCAUUGUAGAAUCUGGAAUAUGCAAUGUUUAUGUUAGUUCAUACGUUGCACAUGAUGUUUAAAUGCCCCUUAAAUGUGGUCAGUCAAGUGAUGGUCUUUAAGCCUCCUUCUUUUCUUGAUAUGUAAGAUUUGCUCACACAUCUGUUCAACUGCUUGUUUGCAUCAGCCAACCAUACUAGGACUGUUUUCUUUGAUUACUUGAUGUUCUUGACCUAACACUCUAACAGAGCUUGUCAAUGAUUUAAACACUAAGGGCUGCUAUAGUGGGGCCUUGUCUAACUCAUAGGUGACAUAAAAGGUUUGGCUGUACACUAAAGUAGGCUCUCCAAGAGUACCUGGAGAUCCAGUUCGAAGGUAUGCCUAGUUUUUACAUAGUGCAGACAUAGUAACUGCUCAUUUCAUUAUGUGCAAGUGCAAGAGAUGCGGCAUGUUUCAUUAUGUGGUGUUGUUUUGUUAUAAUCUCAUCCUUUUGUGUUCACAGACUGGAAAGUAUGCAUAUUUAUCUUCCAAGGAGACGAGUAACUAGUUUGUUUCACCUUGCAGAGGGGGUGCAAUGAAGAUAAGAUUGAGGAUUUCCAAGUACAAGAUGUUAGGAAGGAGCCUUGCAAGAAAAGUAGGAGCUGCGUUGAGCCUCUUCAACCAGUUAAGGUAAGUCACUGUAUCCAACUCAACACUUCAAUUCCUUGUUUGUUUCAGGCAUAGUUAAUUUGCGCUUUUCAAUUGCUUUAUUUGUCCUCGGUUAAUGAGAUGCCCAAACAAUGAUGCCUGAUGUUGGGUACUUGUAUAACUAUGAGUUAGACAUAAUUAAAGGCCAUACCAUUUAAUUACUCUACCAAAGUGUGCCUGAAGCUUUGAAGUAUAUUAACCAACUAUUAUUGCAUGAGGCUCACAAUCUAGUAUAUACUAGGCUAAUGAUUGCAUAGUUUUGCUUGUUGUAGUAGGUUUGUAUGAAUCCCUCUGCCGUUCAUUAUGCUCCCUAAGACUUUAAUUGAGCUACAGAAUGGCCAACUACUUGCUUACUUAUACGCAACGUGCUUUCUAAAUUUGUAACUUGUCUGUGUUUUGGAUUGGGCCCCAACAUGAUGCUCCUCUGGUGAUCUAAGAGACAUUUCUGUAUGCAGGCUGCACAGACUAUCUUUUUAUAAUUUUCAAAAUAUCAUUUGCUUAUGCUUCAUGACGUGCAACAUUAUUGUUAGUCCUGUUUUGCCAUCUACAAAAUAGUCUGUCUUGUUCGCUUCACUGUUGUAACUAUAUUUUUGCCCUAGUCAUGUGUACUUACAGAAACAUUUCAGGAUGAAGUGACAUCAACACAAAGAUCUGCGAGCAGUGCGACAUGGCUGUUACCGAAUGAUUAUGGAUUGAAAUUGGAAUGUGCUGAUGUUCUCGAGCAUCAACUAGAGGUGGCAAGACAACGUGUACAUGAUUCUCAACGUACAAUCAACAAGUUGAGAUUGGACAUGCAAGUAUUAGAUGCAGGAGUAAAAAAAAUGAAAUAAGACACUGAGGUAACCAUGAAGGAAUUGGAGAUUUUGCAGACUAAAAUUUGUGCUAUCUGAAUCCGGUCAAUCCUAUUUUCUGAAGAGAUUAUAGUUCCAAUGGUAAGUUCUGUUGAUGCGUGUCCAUGAUGUAUGAGCUUUAUUUCUCCAAUGUAUGAAAUUUGCUGUUUGUGUAUGCUUUAUUAUCAUUGGUGCCGAACUAUAAUGCCCAGUGGGUAUAUUUGGCUGUAAUUUCUUUAUUUAUAGUGUAGGAUUAUUCUACGUUUCUAUGUCGUCUUUUUGUUGUAUAGUGUAUGUUUUUAGAGGCGAUAGUAUAGAGUAGGAUAUUUCUUGAAUAUGCUAUAUUGUUGAAACGGGGGCCAACACGCCCAAACAUUUCCUGGACGCCAUACAAACGAACAAACAUGUGUUGUCAAAGCGGGCCUUAAUUGGGCUGGUCAAAAUAAUAUUAAGUGGAUCCCAAAUGAUGUGGCCCACCAUAACAACGGCUCUUAGCAGGCCGUCAACAGCCCUAAAGCUUGAUAUGGCCGUACAAAUGGAAAUGGCCCACGGGCCUUUAGUAGGCUAAAAUAAAUGUCAAUUGUGCCUCGGCCCUUUUACUUUACGGGCCAGUAAGAGGCCGAAAGUGUUAUGGGCCAGAGGAGGCCCAAUUUGCAAACUAGGCUUUUAACAGGCUGAAAGUCGCUUUGGGCUGAAAUGAUGCCCUGCAGAACAUGGCCCCCUAAUGGACCUUUGCCCUGCGGAACAUGGGCCCCUAAUGGGCCUAAAGUCAAAGGCCCAACUGUUGUGCGGGCCGUUAACAGGUCGAGGGACAAAAUGAGCUAAAAGUUGGCCCAUUUACCGAAUAGGCCGAGGACGGGCCUAAAGUCACAAUAGGCUAGAAUUGGCCCAACUGCAGAAUGGGCGAGAAAAGGCCGAAAGAUGUUCCGGGCCGUUAACAGGCUGGAACUGACGAUGGGCUGCUAACAGGCCGAAAGAAGCUAGGGCCGCAAUUGGGCCCAAAAACGUAGCGCACCGUUAACGGGCUUAAAGUGACGAUGGGCUGGAAAUUGUAGAAUCUAGAAUGGGCCUUUAAUGGGCCGAUUCUGUGUAACUUGUAUAGGCCGUACUUGUAAAUGGGCCUGACUCAAAUAGGCCGCUAAUGGGCCGGCCCACUUAUUUUGAUAGGCCCGGCCUUUUCACCGGAAUGGGCCUAUGUUGGGCAGUGCCAUGUCUCAACGUAUCAUAGGCGGCUCCUGUCCAAUGAGUGGAUGACAUCUGUCCCAACGGUGAGGCAACACGUGUUUCCUCCGGCCAAUGAGAAUUUUACACGCGGAAAAUCCCCAUUGGUCGUGGCUGUUAGCGGGUUAUCUGAUCCAAAAUCGGACCCGAUAGCUUAACGACGUUCCAUUACGGUGGAUGCCACGUGUCGGUCACCCUUGAUGAAAGCACUUCUAUGACGCGCGAUUUAUCGUCAUGGAAGUUGACACUUCCGUGAUGAUAAUUUUGGUAAUGUCAUGGAACACUUCUACGACAGCCCAUGUAUGACUAUCUUGAUUCUGUCAUAAAAUCGUCAUGGAUGUACAUGCAUGACAAAAAACGUGACCUACUGUGACAAACACGUAUCAUCACAGAAGUGUGUUUUUUUAGUGCAUGCCUACAUUACAUUGAUGAACUGGAGCUAGUUCUGUGUCACCCUAUGUUAUAACUGUUGCAUGAUGAAUUGCAUCCGACAUAAUUAUUCAUCAUUGAUCCAUUGCCUACAAGCUUUUCACAUAUUGAUCUUUGCUUAGUUACUUCUCCAUUGCCACUGUUACGAUUGCCACAAAACUACUAUUGUUACUUUUGCCACCGUUACCGUUACUUCCAUACUACUUUGCUACUAAAUACUUUGCUGCAGAUAUUAAGUCUUUCAGGUGUGGUUGAAUUGACAACUCAUCUGCUAAUACUUGAGAAUAUUCUUUGGCUCCCUUGUGUCGAAUCAAUAAAUUUGGGUUGAAUACUCUACCCUCGAAAACUGUUGCGAUCCCCUAUACUUGUGGGUUAUCAGGCAUCAUUUCCCUUCACGAGCCAUCAUUUUGGCGACGACUCGUCAGGUCUUGUGUUGUACUCCCUCCGUUCCGAAAUAAUUGUCGCUCGGCAAUCCUAGUACAAAUUUCGCAACGCUAUAAUUUUUUCUCACUUUCCAGAUUUACCCUUCCACCUUAUCCGCUCGCUUGCUCGCACCGCUCGCUUGCUCUCGCUCGCUCUCCCUCUCCUCUCCCUCGCCGGCCACCUUAUCCCCUUCCCUCGUCGCCUCCCCCUCGCCGGCCUCUCCUCUCGGUGGCCGGCCACUCCCUUUCCUCGUUGCCGCCUUCCCCCUCUCCUCGUCACCGGACUCUUCCUAUUCCCAUCGCCGGCCUCUUCCACCGCCCCUUUCUCCCCACCACCCAGCCUUCACUCACACCCCGUAGGCAAAAUUGAUUCUUUUUGCGUCGGCGACGAGCUUCUCUGUGACGGAGGCAUGGAUGUGUAGCAGCGCCAGAGCUGGAUAUGGGAUAGGGGGCGUGGAUGUGGAGCGGCGCCCGAGGGGACCUAGAGCGACGGAUCUCACGAGUCGGAGCAACGCCCGAGCGGACCUAGAGUGGCGGCGGAGCAGCAGAGCGGCGGAUCUGACGAGUCGGAGCAGCGCCUGAGCGGACCUAGAGUGGCAGCGGAGCCUCCACGUUGUCGUCGUGCACACGUCGUCGUACAGACCAUUGACUAGGUACGCACACUGCAGAGCUACUCAUACUGUAGAUUCUUCUUACUCAUCACAAGAAAACACUCCCGGGACCUCCUUUCGGUAUUUGCAUCUCAGAGUCCAGACUUGAAAACCAUUCAGAAAUUGCAAAUCAUUCAGUGAGCGGGGGCAUAAUUCAAACACACAUCCACCACUAAAGGUCCUCCUCUUUUCACUUCACCAAUUUGAAUAAAUUCAGUUACCAGCUCCAUCCAGUCCAUCCAGGGGCGGAGCUACAGGGUGGCCAGGGUGGGCCGCGGCCCACCCUGGGAUUUUAGGCCGGCCUGUAUACUAUAUGUUACGAGGAGAUGGGCCACUGGGGAAAAAAGCCCAACAACAGCCUAAUGCACGUCCCGACCCACACGCGGCCACGCCCACGAGCAAACCAGACCUAGUGCCUCUCCCGACUGGCCGUCUCCACUGAUUUCGAUCAGCCGUCAGCUGCCUGCCUCGCUGUCGCGGCUUCGCUGGCCCCUCCCGGCCGCCCGGAGCCACCGCCCUGGUCUGACGCCAACGGGCUGCGGCCUGCCCCGCCCGGCUAGCUGCUGUUCGCGCAGGGGCUCCCAGCUGCCGCAGCUAGUGCCUAGUCUCGGCCGCUCAACCCGUUGCCUUUUUCUGAGAGAGGUAAUCCAUCCGGCCAUUCCCCUGCCCCCAUUGUUGCUCUGAUUUAGACGAAUUUACAUGGAGAUUGACUAGAUAUUUUGUACGAAUUCUGAACUUUUCAGCUGUGGCGCGUGUAGAGCAAACUGCAUUCAGUAGUGGUAUGCUCCUUGGCUCUUCACAUCCAUCCCGCUCCUUGGCAGGUUGGCUUCACUGGAGGCGUGUAGCAGCCACGGUUUCAACCCAAUUUCAAACAAAGAGGCAUAUAUAUCAUAAUUUGGUGUGCUUGCUUCUAGACUUAUUAUUGCUUCAGCCGGCGGCGACGAUAAGUGUUGAUUUUCUACCAUGAGUUUACUCAAGAGCAAGUUUAGAAAAAGACAUAAUUAAGAAUUGCAGUAUGUUUGUAAAACCACAUUCGACCAUAUUGAUCUAUUUAUAAUUCUACAUGGUAUUGGUAAACUAAUUAGAAUGUACACAUGUCAUAUUUGUUCUAUUUUUUUAGGUGGACCACCCUGGUCUAAAAUCCUAGAUCCGCCACUGAGUCCAUCCACCAGUGGAAAAAAGGUUGAUCCACCAUCCUCCAGACUUGUUGGAGGCAAAGUUCCUCUUCCUGAUUUUCUUCUUUAAAAUCUGCUGCAUCAUCAAUUGGCAAAGAAGCAUGGAAAAGAAACUGUUAACAUUAAUUAUCUCUCUUGGAGUAGUUCUUGUGCUACUGAAAGCAGUAGUAGCUACUGUUAUUUUUUUGCACAUGAAGCCUCAGUAAUGCAGUAGCUUAAUUUCGGAAGAAAAUGAAGUAUAGUAUUGUUUUGGUUGCAGUAGUUUUUCAGUAUACCAAAUUUGGUGGUAUUCAGUGCAAUUCUAAUGGGUCUUCUCUUCUUGCUGCUGAAUUCUAAAUUCUGAAUUGUGAAUUCCGUUGACCAGCUCCGCUGGUCGCCGGGCUUCUGGUGAAGAUCUUCAUGUGGGUCCUGGAGAUGCCGGUGGUGGGCUGGGUCCUGCUCUACAUCCUAAAGAAGGACAAUCUCAUCAACAAGGUGCAUGCACUUCACUUGUGAUGAACGCUUCUCUUUUUUUUUUAUGCCCGAGCCUCACAAUUCUAGUAAUUCUCACCUCCACAUGCAUGUGGAUGAUGUUGUUGUUCAGCCGUAAGCACCGAUCAGUACAGUUUCACCAAAACAAUAUCUGGGCACAGUUAUUUUUGACUCUGCUAUGGUGUUUUUACUUUCUGCUGAAUUGCUCUGCUUCUUCUUCUCUGACGCUCUGCUCUGCUCUGUUUGCAGCUUGUCUCCGAAGCUGAGAUCCCCGAGCCGCCACUGUUUACCUCGACCCACCGCUGGGAAGGUUCUCCCUGCUGCACUGCACUCUGACAAACACCAAAUUACUUCCUUAAUCUUGAUUGAUUCUGAUUCAGAAAAACCGUUUGCCGCUGUUGCCGCAAUGCAGACACCCCGGAGCAGAACGUCAGCCUGACGAAGCCCGGCCUGUCGACGGCCGAGCGUGUCCGGGAGGCCAUCGACUGCCUCCCCGCGCGCCAAAUCAGAUUCAGUACUGUUUUAGGCGCAGUAGUUUUUCAGUACUGUUUUGGAGUAGUGGUUGCAAGAUUUAGAGUACAUUUAAGACAAGUAAUCUUGCAUUUUCUUGAUUUGUUUUGCUUCAUGUUCCAGCUGAAAACUGAAUGUACAAUGUUUCUGUAGAUAAUUUGGUUGAAAAGGGACGGCAUGCUGAGGUGUACAAAGGACAGCUUGCUGAUGGACAGUUUGUGGCAGUGAAGGGGUUAACAAAAAUACUUAACCAAGCAUGCUGAGGUGAGAGACCUGAUAUUAUUGAUUAGCGCUUGUACUCCAACUUGUAUUCCAACAUGUUUGGUUUCCUUUUUGUAUUCCAACAUGCAGCAGAAACUGCACAAGAAUGUGCAUACAAACAUGGCAGCAUUUGUAGCCCAGGACCUGUAAUUUUAGUUAGUUAGCUACAGUGUUACCAAUGUUCAGUUUAGUGAGCACAUUUAGUCAAUGGCUGAUGUCAAAGAUUUUAUGCUGUAUUUAGUGAGCACAUUUGUUAACACUAGAUCAGUGUUAACUGAAUUACUCCAUUUAGUGAGCACAGGAGCAUCAAUAGCAAGUGUAGCAAGUGUGCUCCUGCUUGAGUAAACGAACUAAAACUUUUUUAGUUAAUUUUAAUUAACUGAAACUUGUUUUUUAAUUUAAAACUAAAUGAUUUUUCAGUACAUGAACUUGAGUUAACUAACAUUAAAUGAAUUGUAGCAGGAGUACCCUCCUUCUCUUGACUUCUCUUCUCUUAAAAUGAACUUGAGUUAACUAAAAUCAAAUGAAUUGUAGUAGAAGUAGAAGAUAUUAAAAUUCAGCAAAGUGCUUUCAAAAGCACUUAACUGAAUUUUUAUGCACCUAUGUGCAUUAAUAUUCAGCAAAGUGCUUUUGGAAUCACUUAACUGAAUUUUUAUGCCAAGUGCUUUCAAAAGCACUUAACUGACAACAACAAUAACAAAGUUAAAGGAAAGGAAGAUGGUUGUACUCACAACAGUACACCACUGCUCUACACUACAGCUUGCUGCAUCACAGCCCUCUCACACAAUGCCAGAAGAUACAAAGUUAAAAAAAGGUACUCCGGGAUAAUAAUCCAGUAAGUUUCUUCUAGUGUUGAUCUUGCUUUGUCAAUGUUUAUUCCAAUGCUAUGACCACUGUGUUUAUUCCAAUACUGUUAAAAAAAGGUACACCAGAAGAUACAAAGUUAAAAAAAGGUACUCCAAUGCUAUGUUUAUCUGUUGACCACUGUAUUAAAACCUGUAGGAUAUCUAGCCUCAAAUGUUAUGACCAAGACCAACUAACAAAAGCCUGAAACUGAAUCUUGAUACUCCUGCUACGAAUACAAUCAAGCCGAGAAAAUAAAUGUGUUGUCCAUAUGACAUUUCACUAUUUUCAGUUCCAGAAAUACACAUUGAUGGACUAUGUCUAGUGUUUUUGUUUACUGAAUUUCAUUUUGUUGUUUUAUUGUGUCUCCCAUUCUCUUUACCGUGCCUAAUUGGACAUGCUUACUCUUGAUUAUGCUCCGGUUUAGGUCCUGGUUGGUACUGCCAGCAGUCUUGCCGGUCCAAGCAAUCAAGAUCAUCAGCAAGUCAAUAACGGAGACGGUCGAGCACUGUCAUCACACUGAACCUGCAACACCAGUGAGAUGACUGAAGAUUGGGUUGUGGUUGGAAUGAGAGGAGAAGCAAAUCACUUGACCAGUUGAAUCCUUGUGAGUGCAACCCUCUAUUUCAUUCCCACUUUGUUGUUGGCAAAGUGAUUUGUUACUGUAUGAUCAUCUGCUUCUUCAGUGCAACAUUCUUCAAAGUAUGCCAUGAAAACUUCCAAAAGAAAAAAAGUAUGCCAUGAGAAUUUGGUUAUCUGAUUUUUUUCUUCUGUAGGGGUGUACAAGACGGCCGAGCUGUGGCAGGUGAAGGAGCCGCUGCCGCUGCCCGCGCCGAAGAAGCGCAACUACUCCAUGGUGUUCACCCUCAAGGAGAUGGAGGAGGCCACCGGCAUGUUCAGCGACAAGAACCUCAUCGGCAAGGGCGGCUUCGUCCGGGUUUACAGGGGCGUGCUCAAAGAUGGGCAGGUACGUUCAACUUCAGAUGAUGUUGUUGUUUUGUCUCUUGGUACAGUUUUCAGAUUACUGAGUAUGGGCAGAGUCUGAACACUUCGAAAGCAAAUACGUCCCUUAAUUUCAGAAGAUUGUGGUGUUUUUGUCAUUUAGCUUUGUGUUAGCACCAAUGAUUCUGUUUGGAAGAGAACUUCCUCUUUGGUUUGAUACACAUACAUUAUUUAACUGUGAUUUAGAGUUAUGAUUAUUUGAUGUGGCGAACAUAGAAUCCUGCCUGCGCAUUUUGAAGCAAGACUCCUGUGAUUAUUUUGUACCCUGAAUUCAAGUAAAUUAAGUUACCUGUACCAAGUUGAUUAUUUAGUUCGAUGAGUAAUUUUCUGUCCGGAUAUGAUGAGCAGAGCAUAAAAAUGAUUGCUUAUCUGUAUACUGUUGCUGCUGUAGUUUAAAAGGCUCAAGAUCUUCUUCAGUUAAUUAGGAGUGGCAGCACUACUUUCCCUGGUUUUUGAGUCGCUGAUUAGUCGCCGACUAAUCGCCAAGUCGUUUUCCAAAAAUCAGCGCGACUCGCGACUAUACAGCGACUUAGGGCGACUAUACAGCGAUUCGUCAACUAUACAGCGACUUUCGUCGACUAAUCAGUUUUACCAAUGUUCAAUUUUGAGAGGGAGUACUCCAUUUAUUUUGUUUCGCUCAAAUGUUUAUUUUGUUUUCGUGGUACCCCUUUUGUGCCAAUGAAAGAUCUUCCUGUCAGAGAGGGCUUAAGGAUCUUCCUGUCAGAGGAGUACAUUAUUUUGUUUGACAGGAGUAUUUCAAGAUCAGUACAUUAUUUUAUUUGACAGGAGGGCUUAAGGACCUACAGUAUCAUGGUGAUUUCAUAUCAAAAUUGAGGAGUACUCAUGUUCAUUUGGAGAACUCAAACAGCAAUUGAUAUGCAUCAAAAUUGGGAUCAACAGUAGCAUGGGGCCUUAUCAUUCUGGUUUUUGGAUGACUUAGUUAAUCAAAUUCCUCAAUUGAGGAACACCUGAACUUGUCAUUCCGGUCUUGGGAUCAACAGUAGCAUAUGGACUUAUCAUUCUGGUUUUUGGAUGAUUUAGUUAAUCAAAUUGACAUCAAUUGACCUAUUUUUUUGAAUCAAUUGCAGAUUCUCUUGAUUGGAGUGGAGAGGAGCAGAGACGAGAGGAGCAGCAGAAGUGGACAGCGCAGCGGCUGACCUUGAGCUCUUGAUUGGAGUGGGGGGAGGCGGCCGCCGAAGGAUCUGUAGCCAGCAGCGAAGGAUCCGAAGUUGUGGCAGAGCAGGCAGCCGGUGAGAAGGGCGGCCGGCGAGGGAGCUGCGGAUCUUGGCGCGGAAGGGCGGCCGAUGAGGGAGCUGCGGACCACGGCGGGGAAGGGCGGCCGGCCGGCGAGGGAGCUGCGGACCGCGGCAGGGAAGGACGCUGGAGAUGCGGAUGACGGAGGAGCCCGGCGAAAGGGAGCAGCGACGGCGGAGAAGCCUGGCGGAGUGGAGGAGCGACGGAGGAAGACGCCUCCCGAUGGAUUUCAAAUCGGGGGUAGUAUUGUACUUUCACACUAUUUCACCUAGUCGGAAUGAUGCCCCCAACGACAAUUAUUUCGGAACGGAGGGAGUAGCUUUUAUUUGGACCAAGCAUCUCAUGUCUCUUUGCUCAUCGUCUUGUGGUUAUGCCNNNNNNNNNNNNNNNNNNNNNNNNNNNNNNNNNNNNNNNNNNNNNNNNNNNNNNNNNNNNNNNNNNNNNNNNNNNNNNNNNNNNNNNNNNNNNNNNNNNNNNNNNNNNNNNNNNNNNNNNNNNNNNNNNNNNNNNNNNNNNNNNNNNNNNNNNNNNNNNNNNNNNNNNNNNNNNNNNNNNNNNNNNNNNNNNNNNNNNNNNNNNNNNNNNNNNNNNNNNNNNNNNNNNNNNNNNNNNNNNNNNNNNNNNNNNNNNNNNNNNNNNNNNNNNNNNNNNNNNNNNNNNNNNNNNNNNNNNNNNNNNNNNNNNNNNNNNNNNNNNNNNNNNNNNNNNNNNNNNNNNNNNNNNNNNNNNNNNNNNNNNNNNNNNNNNNNNNNNNNNNNNNNNNNNNNNNNNNNNNNNNNNNNNNNNNNNNNNNNNNNNNNNNNNNNNNNNNNNNNNNNNNNNNNNNNNNNNNNNNNNNNNNNNNNNNNNNNNNNNNNNNNNNNNNNNNNNNNNNNNNNNNNNNNNNNNNNNNNNNNNNNNNNNNNNNNNNNNNNNNNNNNNNNNNNNNNNNNNNNNNNNNNNNNNNNNNNNNNNNNNNNNNNNNNNNNNNNNNNNNNNNNNNNNNNNNNNNNNNNNNNNNNNNNNNNNNNNNNNNNNNNNNNNNNNNNNNNNNNNNNNNNNNNNNNNNNNNNNNNNNNNNNNNNNNNNNNNNNNNNNNNNNNNNNNNNNNNNNNNNNNNNNNNNNNNNNNNNNNNNNNNNNNNNNNNNNNNNNNNAAGGUAACCACCUAUUUUUACUCAAUAUAUGGUGAUUUGGUCAGUUGAAAUAGUAAUUUCCCAAUUAUCCUAGUGGGGUUGAGAUCUCUCUGAGUCCCGGUAGUGAAUGCUAAAAUUUAUCACACAUAUAUUCUAGAAUAAUACAUAGAGAACUUGCAUAUUGAAUUACCUGCGAAAAAAUCAUGCAUAUUGAAUGUAGGAUGAACUAGGAGUAUACCGGUGCCUUUUUUAUUCGUUCAGAGUUCAAACGCAAACUGAGCACUCUCAAGGAUGGUCAUGCAACCCUAAAACGAAGCGAGAAAACAUAAGAAGUGUAAAAGUGCAUUCAACUCAUGUGCCCUAGCGACAAAACUUAAUAAGAAGUAAAAAAAAACGCUUUCAACUUAUGUGUAAUACAACCCCUAGAUGAAGAAACCAGAAACAAUGGAUUUUAAGUCUUCAAUUCAAAGAUAAAAUACGUGUAAUAUGCCAUAAAAAUAUGCUCCCUCCAUUUCUUUUAUUUUACUCACAUAUAAGAUUAGUCUCAAGUCAAAUUUCGUAAGGUGUGACCAAGGGUAAGUUCCGACCGCACGAAAGGCGUAACGAUCUGGGCAAUGUCUCGGAGAGAGGCUCGGUGAAAUAGACAUGUCUGUGAAGAUGCGGACUACCUGUUCCUAUGAAGCUUUAUUGUUUCCUGGGAUUGGCUUUGGGCCUUUCCUGUGCAACUUAGGUGGAAGGCGAACAAAGCCCCCUUGGGGGGGGGGGUUGGAGCCAUCAGUGAGAUACCACUCUCGAAGAGUUCAGAUUCUAACCUUGUGUCAGACCCGCGGGCCAUUAAGCCGGAUAGCUUCUCACUUGCUAUGACUUGGACCUUUUAUGGCGGAUCUCGGCGCACAGACUCCUUUUUUCUAUAUUGUUAGAGAGAGAAUUAAUAUAUGAUCUAUUUGAAGCUGCUACAGGCAUGCGAAUGAUGCGCAAUUUCGCAUCGGAGGAGUAGCCAUCGAUCUAUAUUAAAAAAUAUCAACAUGUGCAAUACCACCGUCAUAAAAAUAAAUUUCAUGAUGCACUGAAUGUCGUAUCAUGAAUGUUGAUAUUUUUCUAUAAAGUUGAUUAAACUCUAUGAAGUUUGACUUCAGAUAAAUCUUAUUUGAAGAGUAGAAAGAAACCGAGGAAGUAUGUUUAGAAACUUCAUCUUGACGACAAACCAACUAUUUUUAUGGCGUACAUAACAUAUUUCACUAGUCAAAUUAAAGAUCUAUAAGAACUCAUGUCCGACUUACAAACCUGCGUACAAGUAGUAGAGACGAUUAAAGCUACUCCUCUGACCUGAUUACUACACUACAAGCGCCGAGCGGCGAGCCUGGCCUCCCGGCGUUCUUCAAUGCGGCGAAUGUGUUUGCGGGUGCAAGUCUCGGAGCAGAACGGGAAGAACUCGCGUGGAAUCCGAUGGGCGCCGAUGCCACACCCCACGCACGGACCCCGUACCCGCGUCAGCACUGGGAGAAGCUCGUACCGCCCCUGCUCGUCCACGUGCACCGGAUCUCCGAGCGCUAUGCCGAUGUGGGGCACCCACCACUCGUUGCCCACGCACCUGAUGCAGAUCCUCCAGCCGCGCUUCUCGAUGCGGAGCACGCAGUCCCGGAGGCGCGCGUGGUCGCCGUGGUGGGCGCAGACGUCGGCGCGGAAGGACUUGGAACAGUGAAUGCAGAAGGCAUCCCUUGGUAACGGCGAGGUGUAGUCCUGCGCCCUCAUGAACUUGGCUACAUCCGGCGGUAUCGGGUACCCGUCCGGCGCCGGCGCCGUCCGGGUUGGGAAUAUGGGCCGGCCUUCGGUGUCAAGGUCGAUGGGGAGGACCCGGAGGUCCGGCCACUCCGGGUGAAAGUGGUGAUUGCCGCAGCAGUGGGAGCAGUAAGCCACGUUGCAGCGCAGGCAGAAGCGGUCCCGGCGGCACGUAUCGGAGAAGUGGUUGUCCAAUUGCAGAUGUUGCCUUCCGAGGCGCACCAGACCCAUGGGUAUCUCAUCUGCGGGCAGAGCAGCCGGCGAAGACAUCGAUCGGUUCGAUUUCUAUCUAGUUGAUCGCAGGGCCAUCCAUGUCAUGGCUAUAUAUAGACCCAUGGCACGUCACGCGCCCAAUACGAGGUAGGGUUCCGAGUCGGCGACUGCAUCUGCGGCCAUUACGCCGGGGCGAUCGCUCACAAUUCGGAAGGCGUAGAUUAAUACUAGACUAGAAGGGUUGGCGCGCUGCCGCGCGGUUGGUGUUGUUGAAUUUUCAUAAAAAAGUUCAAAGCCUGUUGAGCCGGCGAGGCCAACUCAUUCAUAAAAAAGUUACUGUGUCUGUGCAAAAUAUAAGACGUACUCCCUCCGUCCCAUAAUGUAAGACGUUUUUUUAUACUAGUGUAGUGUCAAAAAACGUCAUACAUUAUGAGACGGAGGGAGUAGAAUAUAAUUUUUUACUUUUUGGAGAAGUAAAACCUCAAUAAGUUUGACCAAAUUUAUAGAGAAAUAUGCCAAUAUUCAUAAUAUCAAAUCACUAUCGUUAGAUUCACCAUGAAAUGAUUUUUUUUCUUAUCGUCGAUGUUGAUUUUUUUUGCUUUGACCUUGGUCAGACUUAAAGAAAUUUGAUUUUCAAAAAACAGAUACACAUUAUAUUUUGGAACGAGUAUUUGGGUCGGCGAGUGAGGGAGAUGAUGGAGUGUGUAUUCUUUUUAUUUUACAAUACAAUUUUUAAUGGGCCUUUCACGAUGUGAUUAUGUAUUAUCUGCUAACGAACCCAUACUUAUAUGAGGAAUUUUCUACAUCGGUGGAUGCAUAUACUCUAUUGAUGCUACAUAUCAUAUGUUGGCGUUUCUUUUUUUUCUAGGUGGUGAGAGAGUGCGCGUGACUUAUAUCUUUUUAUAGGCUGGUUGUUGCCUAUUGAUUCAAAAAAUCGUUGACUUUGUCAAAAUCAUGAACCAAAUACAAAAUUGUAUACCUCAAUUGGGUGAAAAAGCUCCAAGACUAAAGAGCAUAAUUGAUUAAAAGAACUCAUUGAGAAAUUAUUGACCCGGUCAAAAUUGAAUGAUCCAAUUCUAAAUUGGAGACCUCGGUGGAUUGUGAGGCUGUAAAAAUUAGGAAGCAUAGUGUACUGAACUAAAGAGCUGCUUGAUAAAUUGUUGACCAGAUCAAAAUUGGGUAACCCAAUACUAAAUUAAAGACCUUAAUUGAUUGUGAGACCUUAAAAUUAUGAAGCAUAGUGUAUUAGGCAUCUCCAAUAAACCUUAAAUUCAUCCAUCGACCAGUACUCAGGCACUAAUGUGGAAGCCGUCCAUCCAAAGUCGGGCGUGGCUCCCGUCUGUCUAUAAUGAAGAAUAUUUCAUCGAGGCCGGGCGUUUAUUGACUCCAUGGCUAAUCCAGUGAAGGCGAACAACAACUACAAUGGUCCAGGCCGCUUGUCGGCUUAGGUCAUGGCCGACUGUCUUUUCGUCCGACUUUUGGGUAUCGCGGGAUCUAAAGGUCGGGCAACUGUGCGCAAUACAACAUGGCCGAGUAGACCAUGUGCCCCAUUGGGCAUUGGCGCCGUUAUGAGGCGGUCCUGUCUAGGGCCGAGCAGGUGGGCACAUCCGAAAACGUUCAAGCUCAAAUUGCAUUCAGAAGUGGUCAAGGAAAAAAAGAGUAUAAUGUAAUGCCUCUAAAUGUUUUCCUUUUGUGUUUCUUUGGCCUUGGGCCAUGUACAUAGUGUACCUUGUUCAUUGCAAUAAAAUGAAGAGCUCCGUGACAGGUUAAAAAAAUUGAGCAAAUAUUUGAUGCAUAAGGUUAGAUGGCCGAUUGGCCGCCCCGUGUCUAUAGACGUUUUGGGUGUCUGAUUUGAUGAACAGCAUUGAGGAUAUCCUACUUGGGAAUUUUUUAAAGCGAGCGAUUGCCUAUCAAAACGCACUUUGCGCUUACAAAUUGGCCAACUGUGCAUAUGCCAAAGUUUCAAUGGCAGCAUCAUCAACCACCGGAUGAUGUAUCAAAAUUAGAAUGAAAAUAUUACAUAUUACAAGUCAAAAACAAAACAGCAACAAGCAAAGAAUAUGCAUCCAUAGAACUUAGAGCAUGGUCAUGUUUACAACUGUUAAAACUACUACUCCUCUUCCGCCUCAAAAUGUAAGAUUAUUUUUUGCACUAUCAUAGUGUCAAAAAUGUUAUUAUAUUUUGGGUCAGAGGUAGUAUAAUACUGCUGAGUAGAAGGCUAGAACAGCAUAGGACACCUUCAGCCUUCACUUUGCCUGCCUCAUACCAACAUCAAAACACACUUUGUGCUGACCAAAUUGGCAAAUUGUGCAUGCCAAGGUUUCAACGACAGCAUCACAACCACUGGAUGAUACAAGUCAAAAACACAAUAGCAGGCAGGCAGAGAAUAUGCACGCAUUGAGCAUGUUCCAGGUUUACAGCGGUUCAACUUAACACACUGGACUAUAUUGCUAUACUAAGUAGAAGGCACAGGACACCUUCAGCCCUUCACUUAAACCGCAGUUUGUCAGGAUGCCGGCGAUGGUCUUCAUGUGGAGUUCUUUGGAGCAGCCUCACAAAAAACUGGCCAAACUGAAGGAUCGAGUCUUCACUUAAAUCGCGGUUUGUCAGGAGGCCGGCGGUGGGCUUCAUGCAGAGUUCUUUGGAGCAAAAAGCACCCUCACAAAAAACUGGCCAUACUGAAGGAUCGAGUCAUCGGGAGAACUGACGGGUCCAACAUACUCAUCAUGAAAAGUCCCCAAAUUUUCAUUUCUCUUAACCGCGACAAUAUGUUGGAACAGUUUCACACUCCCAGAUAUCUUGUCAUCAAACAGCACAAUCUCAUCGUCAUAGCCAGUGCUUGAAGCAGUGAACUUCACGUGAUGAGGAUGGUCAACCUCUGCAUAGACUUGUACUACCGCCUCAAUACUUCGUGCAAUGAUCAUGUAUUUCAGGUCCAAGUUGCAAUCAACACCAGGAAUCCGACCACCCAGCAUAAUAUCAAAAUUUGCACGGACUUCAAUCUCAGCAUAUGCAGAAAGUAUAUGCUUGUCAGCUGAUCCAUUCCCUUCCUUCUUUACCCAGAGAUCAACUUCUAGUAGUGCCUCGUCCAGUACAUAUAUUCCUCGACACGGGCUACAAAGAGGCAAGUCAAAGGAUUCC
rnacentral:lncRNA from 1 species